UUCUCAACGGUGACGGUCAGUACUCCAUCUUGACAAACCGCGGAGAUCUUAUCAGUAUUCGCAUUCUCCGGCAACGCAAACUUCCUCAUAAAUUUGCCUACCCUCCUCUCCAUUCUCACGUACUUGACGCCUUCCUUCUCUUCCUCGCGCUUCCUCUCUCCGCUGAUCACCAGCACAUUGUCGUCCUCCACCUGAACCUUGAUGUCGCCGGACUUCAGCCCCGGCAUGUCGACGAUGAAGGUGUAGGAAUUCGGGUACUCCUUGACGUCAGCAGGCGUCGCCGCCAUGGCCUUGGCGUCGCGGACGUAGGUGCGAGUGGGGGCGCUGACGGACUUGUCGGAGUCAUCGGUGGCGUCUAGCAUGUGUUGGAGGGCAGAGAAGAGUGGAGAAUCGAAGCCCAUCAUCCUCGAAUCCAUGUUGGGUUCCAGAGAUUUGUUGGUGUGAGAAUGUGAACAACUGCAAUUGCGAAUGUAGAAGUGCUUGAAUGUUGGAAGGGAUCGGAGGUAGUGAUGUGGUUUUUAUAUUAGACGAGUUGGGAAACAGAGGAAGGUUCUGGAAACAACAAGAAGGAGGAGAAUUGGGAGUUUGUAUCUGUUGGCUCUGCUCCAACGGUUCCAGAAGUUUGUGGAAGUUUCUUUAAAAUGACUAAAGUACCCCUCAUUUGUUCAUAAAAAUUACCUUUUAAAAGAAGUUCUAUUUCAACUUACACGGUAGUUCACAAAUCUUUUAUCAUAUUAUUGUCAACAAGCUAUGGUUUUGAUCAAUGCUUGAUGUAAAUUUUUAUUUUGAUUUUAGAAAAAAAAUAAAAAUAAAGACAUAAUUCUAAAAGGUAUUAUUACGGUAAAAAGUUAAACUAAAACUUUGAGAUAAAAUCAUUUUUUAGGGAACAUUUAAUAAAUCAAUUUAAUAACUUAAAGUAAAUUAAUAAUUUAAUUUAUAUUAUUAAAUAAAUUAAGUAUGUUUGAUAAAAUAAUUUAAUGAUAUAACUUAAGAAUAAAAAAUAACUUAAAGUAACAAACAAAAAUAAUUAAUUAAUUCUUAAAUUUAUAUCUUUAUUUUAAUUUUUUUACUCUUAUUUAUCCGAACUAUUUUCAUAAUCUUUUUUGUUAUUUCAUGACUUUCAUUGUUACUCAAAUUACUUUAUCCUAAUUAUAUAAUUUAUGAAGAUAAAUAUAUUAAUUUGGUGAUUUAUAAUAAAUUUUAAUUUAAUUUUAUUAAAUAACCUUAAUAUUUAAAAUAAGAAUUAAAUAAUAAUUUUUAAGUCAAUAAUUUAAAUAUAAUUUAACUUAAAAUCAAAUUAAAUAAUUAAAUAAUAAAUAAUAAAUUUUACCAAAUACCAUUUUAGAAUUGUUUUUAUAGUAAAGUUAGUUAAAUAAAUACAGAUUUUUUUAUUAAUAAGAGUUUUUGAACUUAGAUCCAACUUGUGUUUUAUCUAUUAAAAUUUAAAAGUUAUAACCAAUUAAGCAUUAACAAUUAAAAAAAAAUUACUCUUUAUUUCUAAAUCGUACAUUAAUAAUAAUUGACUAAUAAAUUAUGAACAUGGAUAAUUUGCCCCUUAUCGGUAGGAGCAUAAAUUACAUGGCAAGUCAUGUUGGGUACAUUUAACUUGGAUUGAACAAGGCGUAGAAGGAUUAAAUAGAAGUAUAUCAUUGAUGAUAAUAUUGCUUAAAUUUAUUUAAUGUCUUCAUUAUUCUAAUACCAGUCAUUAUAUUUGAUCAUUUUCAAAGAGAACAACUCUUCCCUGAGACAAAUAUGGUGUCACUCUCCCAAUCUAAAUUACAAAUUUAGAUUAUCGAAUUCCCUACCCAAAAUCCAAUCUUCCCAGUUAAAAAAAAAAGACUUGUAGUGAAGUUGUCAACCAGAGGAAAUACCACACCUUACUAUGGCUUUUUAAUUGCCGUUAAAUCUUAAAAAUUCUCCAGGAAAAAUGAAAACGAGGCAAGGAAGAGAAAAGGCAGACUUUAUUGACGGUACUGAAAAAUCAAAACUAUACAUUAUACUGUAAUGAAGAGAUCAGUAUUUUCAUCACCCCAAGCCAUUGACCCAAGAUCAAACCCAGACAAAGGCUCCUGUGGCACAGCAACAUUACCACAUUAUUUACUACUAAAACUCCAGAAAAACCCUCCCAAAACCCCCUACAUUUCAAGCAAUUUUGACCUCAAUGGUCUUGGGCUUCUUGGGUUCCGGCGGUGGCAGCUUCUCGACGGUGACGGUCAACACCCCAUCUUGACAUACAGCAGAGAUCUUAUCAGUAUUCGCAUUCUCCGGCAACACGAACUUCCUCAUAAACUUCCCCACUCUCCUCUCCAUUCUUACGUACUUGGCACCUUCCUUCUCCUCCUCUCGCUUCCUCUCUCCGCUGAUCACCAGCACAUUGCCGUCCUCCACCUGAACCUUGAUGUCGCCGGACCUCAGCCCCGGCAUGUCGACGAUGAAGGUGUAGGAAUUCGGGUACUCCUUGACGUCAGCCAGCGUCGCCGCCAUGGCCUUGGCAUCCCGGACGUAGGUGCAAGUGGCUUAAGGUUGAGGGAUUCAAAGACCUUGUUCGAACUUGUGGCAGGGGAUCAAAGUCAGUGGCAGUGCUAGUUAUAGAUUAGCUGCUAAAAUGAAGGAAGUAAAAAAGAAGCUGAAAGUAUGGAACAAAGAGGUUUUUGGGAGGCUGGAAUGCAACAAAUCUUCAGCCCUACAACAAGUAGAUUUCUGGAAUCGGGUGGAAAGCGAGAGAAACUUGACUGUGGAGGAAACUAAAUUAAAAAAGAAGCAAAAGAAACCUAUAAAAAGUGGGUUCUGUUGGAGGAAGCUCAUUGGAGAUAGCUUUCAAGGGAGAUUUGGCUAAGGGAGGGGAAUAGAAACACGGGUUUCUUCCAUCGAAUGACAAGUAUUCAUCGUAGAAACAAUGCUUUUGACAGAAUUAAGGUUAAUGGGGAGUGGCUGUCAGAGGAGCAGGAGGUGAGGGAAGAAAUUGUUAACACAUUUCAGUAGAUGCUCUCUAAAGAUAUGGAAUGAAAGGCGAAUAUUGGAAGAAUUCAUAUUGAUCACAUCAUCCGGCAAGAAGCAGAGAGUUUGGAGGUCCCAUUUACAGAGAUUGAGAUUUAUACGGCGUUGAUGGAGAUGAAUGGGGAUAAAGCCCCUGGUCUGGAUGGCUUUACUGUAGCUUUCUGGCAAAACGCUUGGGAUUUUACCAAAGAGGAGAUUCUGGAUAUGUUUAAAAAAUUUCAUGAACAUAACUCUUUUGUUAGAAGUCUCAACAAUACUUUUUUGGUAUUGAUCCCUAAGAAAAGUGGGGUUGAGGAUCUUGGAGACUUUAGACCUAUCAGUCUCUUAGGGGGCCUUUAUAAACUUUUGGCUAAAGUUCUAGCUAAUAGGCUAAAAAAAGUGAUUAGUAAGGUGGUCUCCAUUGCCCAGAAUGCCUUUGUAACAGGAAGACAAAUUCUUGAUGCGUCAUUAAUUGCUAGUGAGGUGAUAGAUUCAUGGCAGAAGAGAAAAGAGAAGGGCCUUAUAUGCAAAUUGGAUAUAGAAAAAGCUUAUGACAACAUCAAUUGGAAAUUCUUAAUGAAGGUCUUACAAAAAAUGGGUUUUGGGGCUAAGUGGGUGGGAUGGAUGUGGAGUUGCGUGUCCUCUACCAAAUUCUUAGCUCUUGUUAAUAGAGUACCAACUGGUUUUUUCCCUAGCACUAAAGGGCUUAGACAAAGAGAUCUUCUAUCCCCUUAUCUUUUUUGUAAGGAAUUUGAGGCUAAUCCAAACUAUGCUAAUCACCCUAGAGAGGGGGGGUAAAUAGGGUGAUGGUCUCUUUUUCACAAAUUUAAACUAUGCAAAAAUAAGAGAUAAUUAUAUGCAAAUAUAUAAUAAACAAAAUAAACACAAUUACAUAUAAUUUAAAAGAGUUAGGGAAGAGAGAGUGCAAACAUGAGAGUUUAUAGUGGUUCGGCACUUCCUUGCCUACGUCCACUCUCCUCAACCUUUUAACCGAGUGAGGGUUCCACUAUCUUGAAGUUUCAACCAAACUUCCAAUCUCUUUACAAUUGGAUUAUGGUUCUAAUUCACCCUCUUAGACUUUUGGCUCCAAGCACCUUUUACACUUCUUAAGAGUUAUCCCACUCUUGAACAACCUCUCAAGUGAUACCCCUCACUUGAGAAAAUUCAUCUAAAAAAUAUACAAAGAUUGAUCUCACAAAGAUCCUAGUAAUAGAACUUUAGGCUCAAAAAUACAAGAAAAACUAGGAUUGAAUGGUACACUAAAGAUAUGCAAGUUAUGAAACAAUGGUGCACUCAAAAACACUCUUCCAAGGCUCAAAUAUAAUCAAGAAUGAUUUGGGAAGGUUAAGCUUAUGAAACAAUGAAGAUUGAAGCCUUUUUAUAGAAGAAAAAAGUCAAACUAGCCGUUGGGGGUUCGACCGGUCGAGCUAGGUGUCGACUGGUUGACUAGCCGUUAGGGAAAGUGACCGUUGGGCCUCAACCGGACCUCAACCGGUCCUCAAUUGGACCUCAACCGAACCUCAACCGAACCUCAACCGAUUGAGGUUCAACCUUGACUGGGAAGAGAAUGCCACUGGGAGAGAGAGAAACUUUUUGGCCUCCCUCAACCGGUCCUCGACCGGACGAGCACAACCGGUCGACCGGUUGAACCAGUUGAGCCAUUUUUUUGGCUCAACACUCAACCCUUUUCAACUUAAAACCUUUUAACACAAGUUUGAAAAUCAUUUAACAGAAGGUUUUAGUUGAAAACAUGAAAUCAUCCAAUUCUUAAGAUAUUUAAAACAAUAUUACUUUUGGAUGAUUUUGGUUCAUAAAUAAAUAAUGAAAUGCAUGAAAGUCCUAGUGCACCAACAACCUUACAAAGAGAUCUUAAGAAGCUUUGGUCUUGAAAAAAACUCUUCUCUUUGAGGUGGUCUUCUUCUACAUGAUUUCUCCUUGGCUUGAUUUGUCUUUGGAUUACCACUUUGGAAGUCGUCUUGCCUAAUCACACUUAAAAUGUAGUCAUUAGUUUUAAACCUUGUUUUGUUAUCAUCAAAAUCAAGAUUAACCAAACCUUGGUUUCACAUCUUUGUUAUGGGAAUGGAAGUGUUGGACGUCCUCAUCAGGAGAGCUGUGGAGGGGGGAUACUUAUCAGGAUGCAUAAUUCGGGGUGGUAGUAGACCCUCUUUGAACAUCUCCCACCUAUUUUUUGCUGAUGACACAAUAGUGUUUUGUGAGGUAAGUAAAGAGCAAUUAUCUUACCUAAGUUGGAUUCUUCUUUGGUUUGAAGCAGCUUCAGGCCUUAGAAUUAAUUUAGCCAAAAGCGAAAUCAUCCCAGUUGGAGAAGUGGAGGAGAUUCAUGAGCUGGCAGUUGAGUUAGGGUGUAGGGUGGGAUCCUUGCCCUUUCAAUAUUUGGGACUCCCUCUAGUGGUUCCUAAUAGGGCUACUUCUAUGUGGGAUGGAGUGGAAGAGAGAGUUAGGAGGAGACUUGCGCUUUGCAAAAGGCAGUACAUUUCCAAAGGGGGGAGGAUCACUCUUAUAAAAAGCACCUUGGCUAGCAUGCCAAUAUACCAAAUGUUUAUUUUUCGAAUGCCCAAGUCUGUUGCUAAAAGAGUAGAGAAAGUUCAAAGGACUUCCUAUGGGGGGAGGACACUUAGAGGGGAAAAUUCAUCUAGUUAAAUGGAAUGUGGUUUGCACAGAAAAAAACAAGGGUGGGCUAGGCUUAAGGAAAAUAGCCAUGCUAAACAGAGCCUUGCUUGGUAAGUGGAUUUGGAGGUUUGCUUGUGAAAAAGAUUAUCUUUGGAAGCAAGUGAUCACAACGAAGUAUGGGUAAGAGGAUCAUGGAUGAAGGUCAAAGAAGUCUAAUGAGGCGGUUGGAGUAGGGGUGUGGAAGGAGAUUUUGAAAGAAUCUGAUUGGUGCUGGGAUAAUCUAGUGUUUCUAGUUGGGAAGGGCUCCAAAAUCAAAUUUUGGAAAGAUACUUGGUGCACUGACACACCGCUGUCCCAUUAUAUCACUUACCUCUUUGUUCUGGUCGCGCAUAGGGACGCAACAAUUGAGGAGAUGUGAGACCAAAAUUCUGGUCAAGGAGGCUGGAACCUAAUUUUUUUUAGAGACUUUAAUGAUUGGGAGUUGGAUAUGGUUGGGAAUUUGCUUCAUAUCUUGAGGGGUCAUAGGCCUUCUUUGGAGGAAGAUUCAAUUAUGUGGAGGCGAGGAAGAAAUGGUCUCUUUAGGGUCAAGGAAGCUUAUAGGCUGCUGGACAACCCUAAUGACAUAGUUUUUCCUUCAAGGAGCAUCUGGGUGGAUGAGGUGCCAACUAAAGUUGCUUUUUUCGCUUAGGAGGCGACGUGGGGGAAGGUGCUCACUCUGGAUAGGCUCCAGAUAAGAGGAGUGCAACUCCCUAAUUAUUGUUUUUUGUGUGGUUGUGAAGAAGAAAAUGUAAAUCAUAUUCUUAUACACUAUAUAGUGGCUAGAGCUAUGUGGGAUAUUAUUCUUGGGUUAGUAGAUGUUAAAUGGGUCUUCCCAAAAACUGUAAAGGAGGUCUUAACUACCUGGAGGGGCCCAUUUGUAGGGAAGAAAAAGAAAAAUGUUUGGAAAUUCAUACUGUUGUGUAUCUUUUGGACGGUUUGGAAUGAGAGGAAUAUGUUAGCUUUUAGGGGGGGGUGUUGAAUAUCCAGAAAUUAAAGAAUUUUUUUGUUUGUAACUUAUGGAGCUAGGCCAAAGUGUAUUUAGGCGAGGAGUCUCUCUCCCUUAUAGACUUUUUGGAGUGGGUAGCAUCCACUUAAAGGGAGGUAGUCCUUUUUUAGGCUUUAACUGCCUUGUAUACUCUGUGGCUUUUAACAUUUUUCUAAUGCAUAUCUUGUUUUCUUAUAAAAAAAAAAAAAUCAUUUUGUUUUGGGGAAUAUGAAACCAUUAAAGGUCAAUGCAUCCUACGAUUUUCAUAAUAUUUUUAAAAUUCUUUUAAUGUGAAUUCAUCUCUUCUAUUAGAUUUCUUUGGUUAUUAUGAUCACUUUCCUUUUCAAUAAGUGUUUUAAAUUUAUUAAAAGCACAAAAUACUUCAAUUUUUUCCUUUAAAAAAUACAUCCAAAAUUUUAUACUAAAAUCAUGAAUGAAAAACAAAAAAUAUUUAUUCUUACAAAAAAAAAAGUUUGAAUGAAUCGGAUCACAUACAUCCGAAUAAAUAAGUUUUAGAGACUUUUUAUUCUUAUACAUGCUUCUUUUGAAAAUUAUUUUUACAGCAUGUUUCUCAAAUAAGCAUCCUUCACAUUAUUCAUUCAUUUUUGGAAAGCAAUUCUCAUAUUUUUUUUGUUCUAACAAUUUUAAUUUAUCAAAAUUAAGAUAUUCAAAUCUUAAAUGUCAAAUCCAAAAGGAAUCAUUGACAUGAGAUUUUAGACAUUUUACAAUAUCAUUUUAUAUAUUUAAAAAAUAACAUUGCAUUUCUUGUCAUAGACAUAUUUACAUGCUAUCUCUUAUUAAAAGACUUUGAUUUUUCAUAUAAAUAUCAGUCUUUUUUUAAAAACUAGCCCAAACUUAAUAUAUUAUUUGUCAUGUUGGGUACAUAACAAAUAAUGUUCAAGAUAAAUCGAUGCAUUCCAUUCUUAUUUUACCUUUGCCUAGAUAUAUAAUAAUUCUUUCCCCACAAAAUGGACUUAACUUUGAACAGUUCCAAAGAUGGGUGAGCCCCAAAAAAAUGGCUAUUUGGACAAACUCUAAGGGUUGUUUGGGCUUGUCCAUUAAUUUGGGACAUGAAACCCACUAAAGGCUAAAGCCAGAAGCAGACUAGUCUUAUCCAAGAAGGUAGAACAUAAAAGUAUAUUACACACAAACGUUAUGGUAAUAGUUAAAAUAAAACUUUUGUUCAAUCACUCUUAAAUCUUACAAAAACCUUAUAAUUUCAGGGUAAUACUUCUUAGGAAGAUCAGUUUUCCCAUCUUCUCUACGCAUACAAUGAAGCUUCCAACCUGAAGAGAGAUACACCAAAGAAGAAGAAAAACAGAGCAGAAAGGCUUUCAUUCAUACUCAAAACUACAAUAUUUAUAAAGAAAUCAUCAGCUUCUAUGUAGAAGCCAAUGACCCAAUAUCAUACCCAGACCAAAUUCACAGAAAUCCCAAUUAGAUCAGCUUAUCUGCAAUUACCCACUCAGAAUCACGGAGAUUUAAGCGAUCUUGACCUCAAUGGUCUUGGGCUUCUUGGGCUCCGGCGGUGGUAGCUUCUCAACGGUGACGGUCAGUACUCCAUCUUGACAAACCGCGGAGAUCUUAUCAGUAUUCGCAUUCUCCGGCAACGCAAACUUCCUCAUAAACUUGCCUACCCUCCUCUCCAUUCUCACGUACUUGACGCCUUCCUUCUCUUCCUCGCGCUUCCUCUCUCCGCUGAUCACCAGCACAUUGUCGUCCUCCACCUGAACCUUGAUGUCGCCGGACUUCAGCCCCGGCAUGUCGACGAUGAAGGUGUAGGAAUUCGGGUACUCCUUGACGUCAGCAGGCGUCGCCGCCAUGGCCUUGGCGUCGCGGACGUAGGUGCGAGUGGGGGCGCUGACGGACUUGUCGGAGUCAUCGGUGGCGUCUAGCAUGUGUUGGAGGGCAGAGAAGAGUGGAGAAUCGAAGCCCAUCAUCCUCGAAUCCAUGUUGGGUGUCAGAGAUUUGUUGGUGUGAGAUUGUGAACAACUGCAAUUGCGAAUGUAGAAGUGCUUGAAUGUUGGAAGAAAUCGGAGGCAGUGAUGUGGAUUUUAUAGAAGACGAGUUGGGAAACAGAGGAAGGUUCUGGAAAGAACAAGAAGAGGAGAAUUGGGGGUUUGUCUUUGUUGGCUCUGCUCCAACGGUUCCAGAACCAGAAGUUUGUGGAAGUUUCUCCUAAAUGACUAAAGUACCCCUUAUUUGUUCAUAAAAAAUUACCUUUUGAAAGAAGUUCCAUUUCUACUUACACAGUAGUUCACAAAUCUUUUAUCAUAUUAUUAUCAACAAGCUAUGGUUUUGAUCAAUGCUUGGUGUAAAUUUUUAUUUUGAUUUUAGAAGAAAAAAAAAGACAUAAUUUUAAAAGGUAUUAUUAUAGUAAAAGUUAAAAUAAAUUUUUUAAAUAAAAUCAUUUUUUAGGAAAUGUUUAAAAAACCAACUUAAUAAUUUAAAGUGAAUUAAUAAUUUAAUUUAAGUUAUUAAGUAAAUUAAGUAUGUUUGGUAAAAUAACUUAAUGAUAUCACUAAAAAUAAAAAUAAAAAUUAAUUUUUAAAUAAAAAUAAUUAACUUAUUCUUAAAUCUAUAUUUUUAUUUUUAUUUACCAUCAUUUAUCCGAAUUAUUCUCAUAAUCUAUUUUACUACUUCAUGAUUUCCAUUGUUACUUAAACUACUUUGUCCUCAUUAUAAUUUAUGAAAAUAAUCAUAUCAAUUUGAUGAUUUACAAUAAAUUUUCAGUUAAUUUUAUUAAACAACCUUAAUAUUUGAAAUGAGAAUUAAGUAAUAAGUUUUAAGACUAAUAAUUUAAGUAUAAUUUAACUUAAAAUCAACUUAAAUAAUUAAAUAAUAAGUAAUAAGUUUUACCAAAUAUCAUUUUAAUAUUGUUCUUAUAAUAAAGUUAGUUAAAUAAAUAUAAGAAUUUUUAUUAAUCAUAUAAUAGAGUUUUUGAACUUAGAUUCACUUCAAUCCAACUUGUGUUUUAUCUUUUAAAAUUUAAAAGUUAAACAUAUCUAAGCAUCAACAAUUUAAAAAAAUUUGCUCUUUAUUUCUAAAUCGUACAUUAAUAAUAAUAGACUAAUCAAUUAUGAGUAUGGAUAAUUUGCCCCUUAUAAAUUGUUGGUUUAAGGGUAUGAAAAAAAGGACUAGUCCAAAGCACACAAAUAAAUAACGUAAUGAAUAGUAAGAAAAAUUUAUAGGUUGAGGUGUAACAAACAUUGUCCUUAAAAUAGAUCAACUCUCCUCGAAGACGAACUUGGUACACUUAGGUACUAGUGGUCCACCUUCAGGAUUCAAUAGUCAUUGAGUGCACUUUGUAAGCGAGACGUGUACAACUCAGGUUCAUGAAAAAUUCGUAUUCAUAUUUAGAGAGUGAUGAGUGAUAUGCUUUUAUGACUAAUAAAAUAAGAUAAAAAAAAAAAAGUAGCAUAGAUCAUCGCACACGUACGCAAAGGGCCUUCCACGCAAGAUGCAUGUGGGGAUCGAAGCCCCACUCAAAUGGGUUUGGCCCCAAUGGGCGCGCAAGACUCACCCACACCUCUUCACAAGCCCAUUGGGCUAAGGAAGGUUAAUAAACCCAUUAAAGAUGUUCAUCUCUUUCCUAUGUCGACAAGCAAAAAAUACUUUUCACAUUUACACUCUUCCUGCUAUGCAAGUCAAGUUGGGUACAUUUUGUUUGGAUUGAACAAGGUGUAGAAGGAUUAAAUAGAAGUACAUCAUUGAUGAUAAUAUUGCUUAAAUUUAUUUAAAGUCUUUAAUAACUUUUCAGCUUUGUAACUUCAUUAUUCUAAUACCAGUCAUUACAUUUGAUCAUUUUCAAAGAGAACAACUCUUCCCUGAGACAAAUAUGGUGUCACUCUCCCAAUCUAAAUUACAAAUUUAGAUUAUCAAAUUCCCUACCCAAAAUCUAAUCUUCCCAAUUUAAAAAAGACUUGUAGUGAAGUUGUCAACCAGAGGAAAUACCACACCUUACUAUGGCUUUUUAAUUGCCGUUAAAUCUUAAAAAUUUUCCAGGAAAAAUGAAAACGAGGCAAGGAAGAGAAAAGGCAGACUUCAUUGACGGUACUGAAAAAUCAAAACUACACAUUAUACUGUAAUGAAGAGAUCAGUAUCUUCAUCACCCCAAGCCAUUGACCCAAGAUCAAACCCAAACAAAGGCCCCUGUGGCAUUAUUUACUAUUAAAAACCCAGAAAAACCCUCCCAAAACCCCCUACAUUUCAAGCAAUUUUGACCUCAAUGGUCUUGGGCUUCUUGGGCUCCGGCGGUGGCAGCUUCUCAACGGUGACGGUCAACACCCCAUCUUGACAUACAGCAGAGAUCUUAUCAGUAUUCGCAUUCUCCGGCAACACGAACUUCCUCAUAAACUUCCCCACUCUCCUCUCCAUUCUUACGUACUUGGCACCUUCCUUCUCCUCCUCCCGCUUCCUCUCUCCGCUGAUCACCAGCACAUUGCCGUCCUCCACCUGAACCUUGAUGUCGCCGGACCUCAGCCCCGGCAUGUCGACGAUGAAGGUGUAGGAAUUCGGGUACUCCUUGACGUCAGCCGGCGUCGCCGCCAUGGCCUUGGCGUCCCGGACGUAGGUGCGGGUGGGAGCGUUGAGAGACUUGUCGGAAUCGUCGCCGGCGUCGAGCAUGUGUUGGAGGGUUGAGAAGAGUGGAGAAUCAAAACCCAUGACCCUCAAAUCCAUUUUGCUUUUCAGCGAUUAGUCUCUGAGAUCUGCUAAGAUUUGUAAAUGAAAAUGUUGGAAUUGAUUUUCUUAUGAGGAAUUCAUGCCGGUGGUGUGGUUCUUAUAGGUGGUGGGUUUGGGUUUGGAAGCAGAGGAGUUUCUGGAAGAAGAGAGAAGAGCAACACUGGUAGCUUCCGGAGCUUUGACUCAAAAUAGUGUGUUUUAAAAAAAAUUUCAAAAAAUAAAGUUGUUUUGAAAAUAAUGUCCGAUCUGAUGCGUCUUGUGUCACAUAAACUGCCAUGUCAUAAAACCGUAGUUGGUGACUACGGUUUUAUUUUUCUAAAGUGGUUAGAAACCAUAGUUACCAACCACAGUUUUAACUUUAAGUUUAAAUAUAGUGCCUAUUGUUUUAAUAAAAUUUAAAAAUAUAUUUUUAUAUCAAAUUAAAAAUAUCAAUUAUUUAAUUUCGUAUAUUAUUAUUUUUAAAAUAAUGAAAUAAGUAUAUUUAAAAUCAAAAUAAUAUAAUAUUUUUAUUAAAAAAAUUAAAGUUAUAUAUAAAUAUAUAUAAAGUUAAAACCGCAGUUGGUGACUACGACUUUGACCAUCUUAAAAAAAAGUCAAAGCCGUAGUCACCAAUUACGACUUUAAACUUAAAGUUAAAACCGUUAUUGGUAACUACAAUUUCUAACCACUUUAGAAAAAUAAAAUCAUAGUUACCAACUACGAUUUUAUGAUAUGACAGCUUAUGUGGCACAGACGCAUUAGAUCGAGCAUUAUUUUCAAAACAACUUUAUUUUUUGGAAUUUUUUUUUAAAACGCACUAUUUUGGAUCAAAGCUCUAGCUUCCGGAAGUUUUAUGGACCUUCUUACAAGUUAAAACGGAAAAAGUCAAAUUGACUAAAGUGCCCUUCUGUCUCUAUGGCUGCAAAAUCCCGUUAUGUGGACGCCUUGAAUGUUGUUGCUGUAAUUAAGACAGCAAUCUAAAUUUUUUCACCGAUACCCUUUUACAGUAUCCGUCUCCCGUGUAGAAGUUUUCACCCGUGGGUAACCGAUAAGAACAACAAAACAAUUAAAAUCUCUAUAACAUUCCCCAAAAAAUAAAAAAAUAAAAAAUUGUUCUCAAAUUAGAUAAUCACCUAACAAAACAAAUCUAGAAUGUUUGAAUUGAUUUUCAAUUAAAUUAUAUUUAAAUUAUUAAUUUAAAAUUUAUUAUUUAAUCAAUAUUUUAAAUAUUAAAAUUAUUUAAUAAAAUUAACUUAAAAUUUAUUCUAAAUUAUCAAAUUAAUAUAUUUAUUACCAUCAAUAAUAAUUAAAAUAAAACAUCGAUAAAAAAAUAAAAUAAAAAUAUAGAUGUAAAAAUAAAUUAAAAUUAUCUUUUAUUUUAAAUCAUAAUAUUAAAUUAUUUUACCAAAUAUACUAUACUUAAUUUAAUUAAUGACUUAAUUUAAAUUAUUAAAUUAAUUUACCUAUAUAUUAUAAUCUUAUAAACACACCCACCUACAAAUUUUCAAGAUUUCUAAAAUAUCCUUCUUUUUAUAAUCUUUCACAUGUCUUUUUUCUUCCUUUUUUCCAAAACUUAUUUGUUAGCAAAAGGAUAUUUAAGGUAAAUUUAUAGUUAAUUUCAACUUUACAAAUUUUAAUAAAAAAUUAUUACUUAGAAAUAAUUUAAAAAAUAUUUUAGAAGUGAAAAAUGCUGAAAACCCAAAAAAAUAAAAGGAAAAAAAUUCAUAGUAAUUCAAACUUGUAAUACUAAACAUAGAAAGAAAUUAUGUCGGAAAAUAUAGUUGCAAACAACUUUGUGAAUAUUUGAAAUAUUUUAAGGCUAUUUUGCAAUGUUUUAAAAAUCGGAUUGAUUAUUGAAUAAAAAAAGUUAUCGGUACAUGGUUCACUAGUUGGACCGUCGGUCGAACCGCUAUCGAACCGGUGACGUCAUAAAUAUAUAUUUUAUUAUUUUAUAUAAUAUAAAAAAUUAAAACAUUAAUAAAUUCUAUGUAAAUUUUGACAACAUCUAUUUUGUUUAUUGAGUAACUUGAGUUUUGUCACAAAAUUUUUUACCUGUAGAAGUCAUCAAUUAUCAUAUAUGAUAUUUAUAAAACAAUAUAAGAUGUUAUACAUUCAUAAUAUCAAUAAACUCAACAUUAUCAAAUAAUCAAACCAUUACUAUCCUAUAAUAACCAAAUUAUCAAAGAGUUAUUAACUUAACACAUUGUCCAUAACAAAUAAUACAAAUAUCAACCAUAGGUCCACAACACUAAAAUAAUUACUCAAAAUAAAAACAUAACAUGUCAAUGUUUGAAUAUUCAUGAAGAUUUUUGCAUACUAAUAAAUAUAAAAUUCAUGUUUUCAUUCAUUUUGGAAAUUGGAAUAUGGAGAUUGAAAAUGAGCAUUUGAAAAACCAAAAAAAAAAAUUAAAAUCAUUUGAACCGGUUUUUUUCCUCAGAACCGGCCGGUUCGUCUGGUUCACCGGUUGGACCGCCAGUUCAAGCGGUCCAAUCCCGAUUCGGUCUCCAUCCGGUCUAAUGACCGGACCGAACCGGAACGGUGACCGACCGACGGUCCAACCGGUCUAGUCCGGUUUUUAAAACCAUGCUAUUUUGGUUAUUUUAAUAAAAACAUUUUUGUUUUUAUUUUUUUAUAUUUUAAUUUUUUUUUAAAUAUAUCUUCAAAACAAAAACAAAUUCAAGCAUAUGUAAUCGUGACCCAAUUCGGUUAGCAAAUCCAAAAUCUAAUCCCAACAUAAAACCUUAAUAUAUAUGGCACCUUAAAUUUGAGGUAAUGAAAAUGGCACACUAAAAAUAAGGGAAAAGGUUUCACUCGUAGAGAUGAAGAUUGAAGACUACAUACUGACUUGGGAGACAUCGGGUACAAGAUCCCAAAAACCAACACACCCUCAUAUACACCGAACCCAAACACAACCCAAAAUCACGCAAAAUCCAAGAAGAUAUAAACACAAGCUCGUCACAUCCAUGACCUCAAAUUUCCAAACCCCAAAGAUCUCAAGCAACCUUCACCUCAAUGGUCUUGGGCUUCUUCGGCUCCGGCGGUGGCAGCUUCUCAACGGUGACGGUCAACACACCAUCUUGACAAACCGCAGAGAUCUUAUCAGUAUUCGCAUUUUCCGGCAACACAAACUUCCUCAUAAACUUCCCCACCCUCCUCUCCAUUCUCACGUACUUGGCGCCUUCCUUCUCCUCCUCCCGCUUCCUUUCUCCGCUGAUCACCAGCACAUUGUCGUCCUCCACCUGCACCUUGAUGUCGCCGGACUUCAGCCCCGGCAUGUCGAUGAUGAAGACAUAGGAAUUGGGGUACUCCUUGACGUCGGCCGGCGUCGCAGCCAUGGCCUUGGCGUCGCGAACGUAGGUGCGGGUUGGAGCGCUGACGGGCUUAUCAGCGUCAUCGACGCCGUCGAGCAUGUGUUGGAGGGUUGAGAGUGGAGAAUCGAAGCCCAUGAUUCUCAAGUCCAUAUUGGAUUUUCAGACGAUGAUUGAUGAGUAGAAUCUCUAAGCUGCUUCUUUCGCUGUGUGAAGAAAUGGGAGGUUGCAGUGGGGUUUUAUGGGUGAUGGGGUUUAGGAGAGAAGGCAGACGGGAAGUUUCUGGAGAGAGAUGGAAAUGGAUAAUUGAGACAUGGAGGGUUCCAGGUGGUUCUCUUCGCUUUUUCCACAUGCUUCCAGAAUUUGACAGAGUUUUAAAUGACUAAAAUGCCCUUCUACAGGAUCCACGGUAAGAAACAAACAUGGCUUCCCUCUUCUAGACGUUUGUUAAGGAUUCUUUCCCUAUUGAACGGACUUGACUUUGAAUUGGCAAGAUAAAAAAAAGAAAAUUCAUGGGCCGUCCGUGCAAUUGCACAAAUACUAAGGCCCAUUUGGGCUUGCCCACUAAUCAGAGAUAUGAAAGCCAUUAAAUGUAGAACAAGAUUGGUAUAUAGAAGAUAAAAAGUAUAUUCCACACAAAAAUAUGAAAUAAAAAGGGUCUUCCAUGAUUUUAGCCUUAGACAAUGUAUAGCCUAGAAUAGCUCCCUAAACUUUCUCUCUGUAUCUAUGUAUCUUUGGACUCGGUUCCGCAGAAAGAAUAUAGAAGAAAACCAUUUCAACAUGAUAUCAGAGCACGAUCCUAGGAUCUCUGCUCCACCCACCCAUUGACCAGAAAAAAUUACUGAUUGCUUGGACUCCAUGACGGAAUCCACUGACUUGACUAAGUCCAUUCUUGAGGACUAAACAACCAAGAUGACAGAAGCUUUGAACAAAGCCCAUACCUCAUCCCACCCAUCAUAUUCUCCCGCUGCCCCAAUCGGCAUUAAAUUGGAUGGCUCCAACUAUGUCUUAUGGUCUCAGGUUGUUGAGAUGUAUAUCUCUGACAAAGACAAGUUGGGAUACAUCAAUUGUCGAGGGAUGGAUGAUCAACUCUAUGGAUUCUACCUUGAUAGGUAACUUCAUUCGCUUCUCAACAAAAAAAACAGGUACGGGAUUCUAUUGCUAUAACUUAUUUAGAUGGGACUGAUACGUCUCAAGUGUAUGAUCUCCGGCGUCAUGAGACAAGCUGGCGGACCCAUUGAAAAAUAUUAUAAUGAUCUUCAAGACUUGUGGCGCGAAAUUGAUUUUCGUCGUCUUAACCCAAUGAAAUGUGUUGCUAUAAUUCAAUCCUAUAGGAAGAUAGAGUUUACAUCUUCCUCGACGGAUUGGAUGACCGACAGGAUAAGGUUCGGACUGAUGUGCCGCAAUUACAACCAUUUCCUACGAUUGAAUAGGCCUAUGCUCAUGUUCGAAGAGAAGAUAUCAAAACAGGCUGUAAUGACUUCUGGUGCAGAUCCUAUCCCUGGUGUUGUUAUGACGUUUAAAGGAUUCAAUACUGGUGGAAAGUCGAACCCACCUUCUAAGCCUAAGGCCCAAUCUGAUGAUGGAAAAUGUACUCACUGUGGGAGCACCAAACAUACCCGCGAAGCUUGCUUCAAACUAAUCGGGUAUCCAGAUUGGUAGAAUGAUUUUCAGGCAUGGAAAAAGCGUGAAAGUGCUGCUAUUGCUGAAAGCACGGGUUGCGCUGCUAUGGCUAAUGCUAAACCUCAAUUAUCUUUCCUCCCCCAAAUAGAGUUACCAAAUGAUCCCACGCUUCCACACAAUCAAGGUAAUUGUGGGCAUCUACUUCUUAGCUCUACUCCGCGUGAUGAUGGUGUUUGGAUUAUUGAUUCUGGGACUACAGACCACAUGACAUUUGACUCCAAUGAUUUCUCCCAUUUCACUCAACCAAGAAGAACAUGUAUUGCAAUUGCUAAUGGGGUCACAUAUCCGGUUACAUGGUUGGAACAAUGACUAUAUCAUCAUCUCUCUCGCUAUCUCACACUCUACUUGUCUCUUCCCUAUCAAACAAAUUGAUGUCUAUAAGUAAAGUUAUUACAGAUCUCAAUCGGUAUUAAUUUAUCAUACAUUUUGUUUUCUUCAGGAUAUUCUCGCCAAGGAGAUUAUUGGACAUGAUACUGAUUGGAGUCAAAAUAUGUGCUUUAAUGACACAUAUUCGAUAUGAUUUACAUACCGAAGAACAUACUCAAAUCACCCAAUUUGACCUAAAUUGAUAUUAAGUCCUUAACCAUGAAUUUAACUUGUAUUUUAAAGAUUUAUCUUGUAUUAAAGAAAAGAAAAUGAUGCAAAUUGAAUCAUUUUAGAUUUUGAAAAAUUAAAAAAUGAUUAAAUGAAAAAAAUAAGCAAAUCAAGAUUUAUAGACCAUGAGGAAAGAUCAUGAGUUUAAAAAAUGAUAAAUGACCAUUAUUAAGUAAGAAAGAAUGUAAGAAAACAUAGGAAAUGAAACAUGAAACAAGCUGCAUGGAAAUUUAGAAUUCAAAAACUUCUACAACUCGUGGAAAUUUAGAAUUCAAAAACUUCUACAACUGACGGACAUACUCAUGAAAGCAAUGUCCAACAAAAACUUCUACAACUCACUCAACAAAUGGGGCAUUAGAGAUACCUACGCACAACUUAUCAACUUGAGUGGGAAUGUUGGCGUGACCUGUUAACAGGAAACCGAAUAGUCUUUUAUAGGAAGCCUUUAAUUGUAAAAUCCCUUGCAGAAAGAAUAUAGAAGAAACCUAUUCCCAUAUUCCCAAAAUACUUGCCUCUUGGGCUAAUGGUCCUCACACACGCGGGCCGCAGCAUCCCGUUGCUACAGUCUUGAGUGCUUGCAGGUCAUUGACUAGUUGGAAGGAAGCCUGAAUGAAGAAAGCUUCACUCAAACAGACUCUAAUAGCAGUUGUGGAUAUAAAACAAAACAAAUGAAACCUAAAACAACAUAGCCCACACCACCACCACCGUACAUAAGUCUCUGCACACAUAAAACUCAUAUUUAUUCACUAUUUUCCACAUUAAUUUACAUAGAUACCAGAUCCACCAUAUCCACCAUAUCCAUGGAUCACUUGAAACAAAGCCAGACAAAAAGGUAGCACACAGCCAAGUUCUCAACUAGAGAAACUUCGACAUGGUCACCCUCAUACACUUAUAUUACCAUACCAUAUCAUAUAUUUUAUAUAUAAACCCUUGUAACCCACAUAACUUAUCCACCAACUUUGACCUCAAUGCUCUUGGCUUUCUUCGGCUCUGGCAGUGGCUUCUUCUCAACAGUCACAGUGAGCACGCCGUCCUGAUAAACAGCCGAUAUGGCUUCGGGAUUUGCAUUCUCCGGCAGCAUAAAGGUCUUGAGGAACUUCCCAAGUCGCCUCUCCAUUCUCAGGAACUUCACGCCCUCUUUCUCGUCCUUUUCCUUCUCAUGCUUCCUCUCUCCAAACACCACCAGCAUGUUGGGUUCCUCGAUCUGGACCUUGAUCUGGUCCGGCUUCAGACCCGGCAUGUCCACCAGGAAGACGUACGAGUUUGGGUACUCUUUCACGUCUGCUUGCGUCGCGUUCAUGGCUUUGUGGUCGCGCACGUAGGCUCUCGAUGGUUGCUGCGUCUUCGGCUCCUCGUACAUGUCUAUCAUGUCAUGGAGGGCAGACAGCAUUGAUGAAUCCAAACCCAUUAUCCUCCAAUCCAUCUUCCUCCUCUUCUUUUCCUCCUCCUCCUUUCUCUUCUUAUGGGGUACAUGGUUUUUUGUGGGGUUUUAUAUAGCACUGGGGUUUAAGGGGGAUGACUAGGGUUACUGCUGGGUUAUGGUUGGGGUAAGAUUAAAGGACGAUCGGGGACGUUAAAACCAGUGAAAUUAGGACUUUGAAUUGGCUUUCGGUAUUGAUUCUGAAGGAACUGAAAGUGAACGGCUGUGAUCGUAGCUACACUUUCGGAACAACUCGGUGGGUCUUGUUUUUUUAUGGCUGCAACGUGGUGGGUUCCUGAGGCGUGUGCGAGUCACUUGGCAAUCAUAUAGAAUGACAACUGGUCAGUUAUGGGGGCUGUUUGGCUACCUUGACAUCUAUAAUUCUUCCCUGUUAAAAGAAAAAUCUCAAUUCCAAACUAGCGUUUGGUUCCUUGGAAAUCUAUACCCCAUCUUAGCAUUGAAAUCACAAGUCUAAAUUAGAGGAAGAAAAUGUUUGUAUGUACGUAGGCUGAGACAUAGAAUGGAAAGUAUAAUGAGUAAAAACAAUAUCAAUAAAAACAUUUCCAAACUAAAAAUCAAUGCCUAAAACUCAUAAUAUGUUAUGUUAGGUAAAUUUUACAACUAUUACAAUAUAUAGUAUUGUUUUUAUCUCCUUUCUUAUACUAAAAGCUAACACUAACAUUUUUUUUUUCCCCUCAUACAAGACAAAUCAGCUAGAGCUAUAAUUAUGAUCUUGUCUCCCAUAAAAUAAAAUUUAGAUACCAUGUUAAAGUACUAACCUAGAGAAAUCGACAAUAACAAUAUGGUCAACUUGGGUACGUACUAAUUUCAAGUGAGACGGUGAGAUUAUACAUACUCCAACUUUAUUUUAUUUAUUUAUUUAUUUAUGAUAUCUUACAGUGAUAUUAUACAUACUCCAAAGUCCAAAGGGACAACCAGACCCCAACCGCAUCAAAACAAACUUCUAAGAAAAAGGGGAUCCAACGGCCUUAAAACAAACCCAAAAAGGAAAAGCGCACGCAGAGCUUGAAGCCAUGUCUACAUAUGAGAUGAUGAAGUACAUGUGGUUAUUUGCCAACUCGGACCUCAAUCCUCUUGCAUGGCUUGGUCUCCGGCAGAUACUUCUUCUCCACAGUAACGGUCAGCACACCAUCCUGGUAGAUGGCGGAUAUGGUAUCCAUGUCUACAUUUUUAGCCAACACAAACCUCUUUAGAAACUUACCAAACCUCCUCUCGAUCUUCAGGUACUUCACCAUUUCUUUCUUAUCCUUUUCAUCCUUGUCCUGCUUCCUCUCUCCGUAGACCACCAGCACGUUCUCGUCCUCAAUGUGGACCUUGAUUUUAUAGGCCUUGAGCCCCGGCAUGUCCACCAAGAACACGUAUGCAUUUGGGUACUCCUUGACGUCCGCUUGGGUUGCCGCCAUGGCCUUCCCAUCUCUCACGUAGGUUCUUGAUGUGGCGUGCGGCACCGGCUCCUCGUACAUGUCUAGCAUGUCCUGGAGAGCCAUCAGCAUUGAGGGAUCAAAACCUAUGUUAGUCAAAUCCAUCUUCUUUCUUUCUUUCUUUCUUCUUGGUCUGUGAUGGUGUUUAUAUAUGGGUGUGAGUGGUGGGUGGGGUUUAGCUUUUGGCUAAAGCUACCCAUGGAUUUUCGGGUCGAGAGUGAAGGACAAAUGGAUGAUCAAGAGCGGUUGAACUUGUUGAAUAUUUGAUGGGUUCUUGGUGAGGGAUUGAUCCUGGUCAGGGUGAUUUUUUUGGGCCAAAAGUAGCUGGCAGCCUAGCAGUGAAGUCGGCGGCUCUUGUAGGUUUCUUCCCAAGUAUGGUGGCUCUUUGUCCGCGGUGGCGAUUGGUUUUUCCUGUAUGAAACGUGGAAGGUAACUGGAGGGUCUGUUUUCCACGUGGCUAAAGGGAAUGACAGGUAAGCUCUGUAGAAUCCAAGUGGCUUGAGGGAAUGACAGAUUGGCGGCCAUGGGGUUCUGUUUGUUUGCAUUCAGGGUAGAGAAUUUCCUACUAGAAUUUGAUUUAUGAAAGGUUACAAGUGGAAUCUCUUCACAUGAAACUCAGUGAUAAAAAGAUUAAGAGGAUUGGCAGAACAGUGUCGACAUAAGAUAGAUACAUGCCCACUACUCGAAAAUUCAACCCAUAUUUAUUUGAUGGUAAUUCUAAGAAAAACUUUCAAUCUUUUUAGCAAAACAAACUAUCAAACAAGUCUUUAAUAUUUUAUAUAAAUCGUUUGGAAAAAGGAGAUCCUACAUGUCAUAAGUUUUCUAACAAACAAAUUCACACUUGGAGCUUUGAAGAGGCAUCCAAAUGCCUGAAGGAGAAAUAAACGAGACACUCUCACAAGAGUAGGGAGGAGAACCCGUGAACCUAAAGGACAACAAGGCUCGAAGACCGGAAUUCUUGCACCUUAUAAGAGGCACCCAAAUGCCUGAAGGAGAAAUAAAGAGACACUCUCACAAGAGUAGGGUGGAGAACCCGAGAACCUAAAGGACAACAAGGCUCGAAGACCGGAAUUCUUGCAUCUUAUAAGAGCCUAAGAGGCAUGCACCCAAAUGUCUGAAAGAGAAAUAAAGAGACACUCUCACUAGGGAGGAGAACCCGAGAACCUAAAGGACAAGAAGCUAGGCCCGAAGAUCGGAAUUCUUGCAUCUUAUCCCUAUUCUUCUAUCCUCUCAUUUUCUUUUGUUUAAAAAUGUAAACAUCUCACUGAUCUUGGAAUCAAAUGUCUUCUCCAACGAUGAAGCUGCAGAGAGACUUACCAAGUGUAACCCACCGCCAUCUUAAUAAACACUAUUAAAGGGAAUUGUUGUGAUCACUUUAUUUAUAUAUAUAUCUAUGUGUAUAGCCGAGAGAACCCACCACAAACUUGGUAAAAGACCACUUUAGGACCUUUUCUUAAAUAAUUGCUUUCCAAGAUCUAAUAGACCACUAUUUAAUUAUUUGAAACGAUAAAAUUAUACUUACGUGAUAGUCCAUAUCGUCUGGGUAUGGGAAUAAUAUUCAUAUAAUUGAGAGUGAGUAAUUAUAAUUAGUAUCAAAAUCAAAAUUUAUAAAUAAUAUUAAAAUUAAUUCUCCACCCUUAUGUAAUUGUAUGUAUUUGACCCUUUAAAGGGUAUUUGUCUAUUUAAGUGAUUUCACAAUCCUAUAGGAUAUAUUACAGAUAUUGUGUCUUCUAUAUUGAGGUAUGUGCAUAGAGUUAAUGUAAUAUCUUAUAUAAAAUAGGGGAAAAUUUCAUAUAUAAUGGAUUGAGUGGUCUCAUAUUAAUUUAAUAGGAUUUAUAAGGAUUAAUGUGAUAUCCUACCUUAGAUAAUAAAAGAAGGUUUACGUCUUAUAUAUGUAUUCAGUUUCUCUUAAUGAAGUAGACUUGAACGAUUCUUUGGUAUUUUUUAUAGUACAACCAAAUGUGAGAGAAUCAUUUUUUUUAAACGUAUCAAACAUAACUUUAAGAAAAUCACUUUGAAUAAUCCUUCAAAAAUCACUCUAAUAUGAUUCUUCUAUAAUCAAUUGUGAUAAAUAAAACAAAAUAAAAUUACUUUAAUAAAAAACAUCCCAAACAUUCUCUUUAACUUAUGUUUGAUUCCCAAAAAAUAUAAAAGAAAAAAAAGGCCAGAAAGAAAAUAAAGAGAAAAAAUAAAGUUAAAAGUCAAUAUAUUAUUCCUAUAUAAUGCUUAAAACUUAUUUUACUUUUUAACUGUUUUAUAUAAAGAUUAUAUAAUUUAAAAAUAAAUAAAAUUUUAAUUAAUUUUUUCUUUUCUUGAUAUUUUUGGAACCAAACAAAACCGCUAAAACCUUACCUCUUUCCCCAACAUCAACAUCAAGUAUGAUUAAAAAUAAAGUUUUAUGGAUAAAAGUUAUUUCGAAAAUAUAGACAUUUUUAAUUUUUAAAAACUAUUAUCGAAAACAGAGUUCCGGUCGUAGCCUCCACUUCUUUCUGAAGUUACACUUGAAUAAGUCGAUGAAUUGAAAAACAUUGAAGUACCGAGGGAUUGGAACUACAGAAUAAGCGACUCAAAGGAACAUUACACUUAUGAUUCUCUGAAAAACUAAGGUACGUAGAAAACAUCACAUUCACAUAUGGAGAUAAAACAACAGACCAAAACAUAAACUCAUAAUUAAACUAUAAGAACAAAGACACCAACAAACAGCCCAAGAUCGAUGCAAACUAUAUCAACCAACCCUAACCGGAAUAUUCCUAAUCUUCUUAGGCUUCAGCAAAGGUUUCUUCCCAACAGUCACACUCAGCACACCAUCCUGGUACGCCGCCGUUAUAGCAUCAAUAUUAGCAUUCUUCGCCAACUCAAACUUCUUCAUCAACUUCCCACGCUUCCUCUCCAUUCUCAGAACCCUCACAAGCUCCCUGUCUUCCUUGUCCAGCUUCCUCUCUCCGCUCACCACCAUCGCCUUCUCUCCUUCAAUCCCUAUCUGUAUCUGAUCCGACGUGAGCCCCGGCAUGUCCACUAUGAAGACGUAGGCGUGUGGGUACUCUUUCACGUCCGCCAGCGUUUUGUUCAUGGAUUUGCCGUCGCGAACGUGGGUUCUUGAUGGUUGUCGCUGCUUCUCGGGUUCUUCCGACAUCUCCGCCGUGUCAAACCGGACUGCGACCAUUUUCGAUUCGAUCUCCGUUGUCCUUAAAUCCAUCUCGUUCUUCAGCUGCUCCGGUCUUUGAAUUAACUGGGCUUGUGGUAGUUUUAUAUAUCAGCGGUGCUGCAGUGUGGGUUUGUGCUCGCGGCGAAGAUGACUGAUGGGUCUCAUGUAGAGGUAUUGUUAAAAUUUUAUAAUAAAUAUAUAAAAAAUUAUUUAUUUUGCAAAUGGAUUCGCAGAUUGUAGGCUUGUAACGUGGCGGCUUUGGUCUUUUAUGGCUGAAACGUGGAGGGCUGGUAGAGAGCCUGUGAUCCACGUGGCGAGAUAAUGACAGCUAGGCAGACACUGUGAUCCACCUUCAUAUUUUAACAACACAAAUUAUCUUCAUCAAACACUUUUUUUAAUACAAGGGUUAAGGGUAAAAUGUUAAAUCAUCUUUUGGGUUAUUUGCACAGCUGGGUCAAUAAUUCUUUCAUUGAUUUUGUUAAAAUUUGACUAGAUUUGGACAAAUUUACCCCUCUGGUUUAUUUCUCCAUCCAUUUGUAUCUCUCUGACUCUUUGAGAGAUCCAAUGUAGCUUCAUUUGCAGAAGUUUAAGGCUAUAAUUUAAGUUUAAAAAGUGCUUUUUUUUUUUAUAAAUAAUUUUAGAAAAUAAUUUUUAAAAACAAUUCUUAUAACCAAUUCUAUAACUUUUACAUGGAAUGCAUUAUUUUUAAUCAUUUUUUAUAUUUAUAUAACUAUUUUUAAAAAUAAUUUUGAAAGCAUGAUACCUUUUAAAAAUAUUAUAAAACUAUUUUUUGAUUGUGAAAUGUGUUUUUUUUAGUAAUUUUUAUUUAUUUAUUCUCAAAAUAUGUUUUUUUUAUUCUCAAAAACUGAUUCCUGUUUUUGAAAACAGUUAUUAAACCGGAACUAAUUAAACUUCUUAAUCAGAUAUCAAUUUACUGCCAUUUAACAGCAAAAUUUGAGUAAUUUUUUCUUUCUCAUUUUACACAAACUCAACUUAAUUUAUUCGUCAUUUUACACAUGGAUACCAGGUAGAGUAUCCCACUCCGAAAAGCAACCAAAAGGGUAACAGACACACAAACUUACCACCAUAUAUACAAAACCCGCUAUAUCAUAUAUAUAUAUAUAUAUAUAUAUAUAUAGAAGUAACAUGUUCGCUGCAGGUUGGAUCUUUCUCAGCCAAUUCGGACUUCAAUCUUCUUGGCUUUCUUGGUCUCUGGCGGAGGGUUCUUCUCAACAGUGACGAUAAGCACACCAUUCUUAUAAACCGCUGAUAUGGCUUCAGUAUUUGCAUUGACCGGCAGCACAAAGCUCGAUCUUGAGAAACUUACCAAUCCUCCUCUCCAUUUUCAGAUACUUGACCAACUCUUUCAUGUCCUUCUUCCUCUCCCCUUGCACCACCAGCACGUUCUCAUCCUCAAUGUGGACCUUGAUUUUUGAGCCCCGGCAUGUCCACUAAGAACACGUAUGAAUUUGAGUACUCCUUCACGUCCGCUUGGGUUGCGACCAUGGCUUUCCUAUCUCUCACGUAGGUUCUUGAUUUGGCGUCCGGCUCCGGCUCUUUGUACAUGUCUAGCAUGUCUUGGAGGGCCGCCUGCAUUGAUGAAUCCAAAUCCAUCUUCUUCUUCUUCUUGUGCCCUGUAUAUUUGGAUUUAGCUUGUGGUGGAGGCUUUGUAUUUGGAUUAAUGAGCCGGAAAGGGUCUGGGGCAACGGUCUUGUUUCUGAUUUGGAAAUUGGUGGGUGUUGGCCUUUUAUGCAUGAAACGUAGUGGGUGGCUGCAGUUUGUGUCAUCAACGUGGCUUGAGGAAUGAAACUGGACUGACUGCCAUGAGGGAAUCACUGCAGCCAUGAGCCUGUUGCGAAUGACAGGUGCACACUCGAAGGUUUGUUGGAUUGCCUUUAGUAUGGGUUUUUUUUUUUUUUUUUUUUUUUUUUCAUUUUUAAAAUUUUUCAUAAUAAAAAAGAGUGUUUUUAAUUAACACGUGUAAGGAAUUAAUUGACUAAAUUGAUAAAAUUAUUGGUGAACAAAAUGAGUUGAAUUUUGUGGAAGUUGGUUACGUAAGAGUUAAAUUUUCAUAAUUUUAAUGAGCUUUAGGAAAAUCUAAAUAAAAAAACUGACGUAAAAAAUUAUUUAGGUCAUAUAAAAUAACGUCAUUUGAUUGAGAGAUGCGAGGAAAGAUAUUGUGUUUAAAAUCAUGAAUUGCCCAUAUUCGUCUGGACGUUUAUCAGCCAUCGCUGACCUUCCUGCUUGGUGUUGGUCUGAAUCAUCUUCCCAAACACCUCCUGGUGGGGUUAUUCCAAGUUCAAAGGACACAGUAGCAAUUAGCGAUGUCACAACCAUUAAUGCACUUCGCUUUCUGCCUAACCAGUCGAUGUGUUCAUGCUUCACAACAGGCUCUUUGGAACUAUCUUCUCCAUCUUGGAUAGCUGUGUGGUUGGAAACACCUCAACUAUAUCGCUAUCAGAUCUUAUUGAUGGUGAGUUUUUCUUUCUUGAGGCUCCGGCACAUUGAAGGGACUCUUUGAUGUCUCUGUCUCUUAAAUCUCUUGGACUUUGAUAUAGAGCAUCCAGUGCUGUGAUUCCAUUUGCAUUUUGGGCAUUGACUUCAAUCCCAGUGCUAGAGAGCAAAAAUUUUAUGACCUGCACAAAAUUUGCAAGCAGCAUUCUUCUCAGAAAUGGAACCAAGCGGAUGAUCGGAAUAUCUAAUCACUAGAAGUCUAGAACAUAUAUCUCACUUCUCUAUUCUAUGUCUAAUAGUAUGAGUUCAUGUUGUGACCAGAAAACAAAUGAGACAUUUGAAAGGAGAGUUCUGGUCUCAAGUGUUUUGAACAAGAGAUGCCCAAUCCUAAUUUGAAGAUUUUUUGCUGGGUUCUGUUGCUGUGAUAAAUGUUACUUGGUUUGUCUGGUUAUUGCCCUGAAGCAAUCAAAAGAAACCAGGAAAGGCAGAUGAUGUUGUGCAUGAAGAAGCUUUAAUACAAACAUACUAAAGGAAAAACACAAAAAUAAAGCAAUCUACACACAAAAGUAUACAAGGUUUUAACAUAUUUCGAUCAAAUAUGCCUACCUUCACGGAUGAAAGAGAACAUUCCACUAUAUAGUGGAGAGUAUUAGUAUAUUACAAACGACAGAAAUGAAUACAACUAAUCAUCCCAAAACAUCUCACAUUUCCUCACUCUUUAUAUCUCCAACUUGAAUUAUGAACCUUUUUAUUCUACCAUGUAUCUCUCAUUGUCCAUCACAUCUAAACUUUGGUAAGUCCUCUUGCUCCACCGGGUGUCUCACGCUCUUUUCACUUUUCUAUUCUCCAUAUAGAGUUCUUAUAUAAGUUCAUCUCUCUUAUAACCUUUUCCCUUUAUCACCUAAAAUAUUUAUAGAGAUAUUCCUACCAGCUUUCCUUAUUUUAUAAAAAAUCUAAUCAUAUUCUUAGAAAAUAUUCUAUUUAAUAUUCAUUUUGAAAAAGGAAAUAUAUUCCAAUUAGGAAUUUGAGACAUCUCCCAGCAGUGGACACAAGGUAAAUGUCAUUCAGGUGGUAGGAUCAUUUGGCUGAGUCUUAAACAUGGAGUCAAUGUUAAAAGGUUCCAAGGCAUAUUAAGAAAGGUAUUCAAUGGAUAGCCACAUCCUUUACAUUUGACCCCAAAUGAGAAAGAAAAGCAACAUUUAUUCCACCAUUUCUCUCGGCCUUACAGGCAGAGCUAAUGGCACAUCCUGAUUCAAGUCCUGAAAGGGGCAAACUUGAAACAGAGCAAAACACCAACCCACUACGCAAAAAGGCCUAUCUGCAAUCAGGCUAACAACUACAAAGCUUGUUCCUAAAGGUUAAAAGGGGUUAAAUCACAACAAUGGAGCUUCAUUUUGGUUUAUUGAUCUGGCUUGUAACAUCCUAGUACUCUGUCUCCUAAAUAUUUCAUAUAACAAUCUCAGAACCAACACAUUUCUCUAAGUAAAUUACUGGACAAUGUAUGGUGAAUUCCAGCACAUUUAGGGUUUUCAUGCUAAAAGAAAAGAGGGGUCAUACCUCAAUUUGCUUCUUUGCCACUGCAAGAUGCAGAACAGUGUUGCCAUCAUCAUCCUUCCAAUUCAUAAUCCCGUCUUCUCUAUCCAUGGACUCUACCAAAACCUUCAGGGCCUCCAAACGAUUAUACUUCACACACAAGUGAAGCCCAGUCUCUCCUCUGCCAGUCAACACCCUAGUCGCCUCCGGUUUAACUCGCACCAACUCUGUCAGAACCUUGGCUCUGCCCUUGAUUGCAGUAUGAUGGAGAGGGCUCCUCCCAUCUGAAUCCAACACAAAGCACACAUCAGGGAUGAACGAUAGUAAUUCCUUCACUAUUUCCACGUACCCUUUUGCGCAUGCAACGAGUAGAGGCGAUGAUCCACGGGAAUUCAGAGUUUUAGCCAGCUGGGGCCUUCGACCCAGUAGUUCUUUGGCGAGAUCUGAGCGACCCAGAAGAGCUGCAAUGUGGAGAGGCGUAUCAGAGGCAGAAGAAAGGUCUUCAUGGAGAAAUUCAAGCAGUGAAGCAAUGGAGCCACCCAUGGCCGCUUCAUAAAGCUUCUUCUCUCUUGUUUUCUCCCUCUUUCUCUCUUCUUCCUUCUCAUCAUCCAACAAACUCAGCCGCCUCAUUGUCCCUCCCCCUUCUAUGCUUCUCUGUUUCUCCGGUUUGUGCAUGUUGAGGAAGCUGCUGUCGCCAAUCGAAACGACAAGGUUUUGGUGUUCAGGCAUGGAGUAACGACAUCAUUUUAAUCAAAACGGUGCUGUUUUCAAAAGUCUUAACAUCAUCUUCUUCCGUUUUUGAAUGGAAUAAAAAACGCGGCCUUCGUUUUGGACCAGUGGAAUCAUAACUUAAUCCACAGUCCUAUUUUAAUCAAUUCCACUUCAUCUAGAAGCCCUCUUCUAAAUUUGUUCAAAAGUCGAUAUCACUGGCUCGGCUUAUAUGAUUUAUUUAUCAAGUCAUAUAUAAAAAUUGUGAAUUUAAGAACCAAUUCAACGAAUUUGUUGAAAAAUCUAGUAUUCAUCCAAUCAAAUUAAUAUAUCAUCCUCCACUUCAAAAUAACCAAUGCUCUGCAAAUGUUCUUUCAGUUCAAAGCCAAAUAUUGGUCAUUGUCAUCUAUUUCUCAAUACCUGCGAAGGGUCCUUGCCACAGGAAUCAAAGUAAGCUUUCUAAAUAAUUCCAUUGGUAGGGAAAAGAUUUUCAAGAAAUUAAAUCUUUAAUAAUCCAACCAAAAUCUGUACUCCAUACCUCAACUUAGUUCAUCUAUUGCUGCAACUUUGUGAAUUAUUCUCUAUCCAUCAGUAAUACUGUAGAGUCCAACUUGACACCCACUACCACUAGAGAAGAUAACCCCACAAACAAAAGAAAGGCGCCACCACUAGUGGUUGGAUACAGCUGAUUCGUCCCACCUUUGGCCUAUUUCAAGUUCAUAAACAUGCUUCCAUCAUUGUCUUUUUCUUUCUCCACUCAGUAAGUUCUGAACUAAUUCAAGUCCACACAUUAUAAGCACGAUAUCAGUUCGUGAUGAACAAUCUAAUUCAUCAGACGGUCAGCUCUCUCAAUUUUCUAACUACAGGGCAAGUGGGCAUUCCAGAGUGGUCCUUUUUUGGGAGAGUACUUUUAACCCUUGCAAUAAGAGAUCAACAAAUCAGUCAAGAAGAUGACAGGACUAUCAGAAGAAAGUAUGAACAGGCCAGUCAGUCAAGAAGAUCAUUUUAUGCUCAGGUCACCAGGACAACUUGUGCAAAAAUGGAUCUAAAAGAAGAAUGAACAUAGAACAUCACAAACCCGAAUUUCUGAUUCUGCUUGACCUUUUCUUCGUUGGGUAUCCCAAAAUAGGGCUAUGUAUCAUGGUCGUCUGAAAUAAAAAACAGCAUAAAGAUCAAUUUACAUAUAUAUUUUUUUCCCUACAUUUUCUGCUUAAACAACGGAGGAUUGUGAAAACAAACCAUGAUUAACUGCUAUUGCUUCUUUGAUUUCUUCGUAUAAGCCACUUCAACAGAUCCUCUCUUCAUUCGUGGCACUUCAGAAACUGCAAAACUACCGUACAAUAAUUAGCACAUUACCAAAUUCUAACCACAAUAUUCCAAGUAGUUUGCAGAUCCCCUGAACCUGAGAGCUUUGCGGAGACAGAAUAAGUCAAAAACCGAAGAGAGAGAGAGAGAGAGAGCAGUUGAGAUGGAGGAAGAAGAGCUAAAUGCCAAAUAUCCUUAUGGGCUAUGCAGGUAAAAUUGGUGUUUCUCGAGAGGGAAAAUUAGGGUUUCUAUAGAGAAAAAGUGCAGAAUCGCUGCCAUGGAAGCUCGAAAUGGAUUUCCUGGGGAGAGAGUAAAGGCACCGUUGGUAGAUCAACCGUUUUUUUUAAAUUUAAAUCAUUCAAGGCGGUUUAUAUAACCGCUUAACGUUAUUAUUAUUUUUACGUGAUUUAGGUUAGUGCUAGUGCGUACGGAUUAUUCUAUAUUAUUUUUUUCUCUGCAUUUUUUAUUAACAAUUUAAUUUUAAGAAGAAAAUGAUUUAGGGCUCAAAAAGUAAAGUCUGUUAUGGAAUGUUGUUUAAAUAAUAGUUUUUAUAAGACUUAAAAAUUUAGAUUGUGUUUGCAAAAUUUAAGGGAAAUGAAAUAGGAAAGAAAAUUAAAAUGAAAGAAAAAAAUUAAAUAAGUUUAGUGUGUGUUUAACAUCGAUUUUGGGAAGCAUUUCUAAUUUUUUUAAUAUUUAAAAAAUAAGAAUUUUCAAGUGUUAAAAAUAUUAAAAAUACUUUUCAAAAUCACUACCCAACACAUUUUUAAAUUAAAUAAAUUGUUUUUCUUAAAUAAUUCAAACUCAUUCUAUUCAUUUUGAUUAUUUUGUAUAAAAGUUAAAAAAAUUUAAAUCUCAAUAUGAAAAAAAAAAAAAAACACACACACACACAUUUUCUUCGUCUAAACCAAUAUUUGGCCAAUUCAUGGUAAGUUGGGGUAUUUUCUUCAUACAUUUCCAUUUGAGAUUUUUAUUUUUUAUUUUUAAAAUUUUAAAUCAUUUUAAUAUAUUAUUUUUGUAAAUUUAAAUGUUUUUUUUUAAAUAAAGUUAUUGUGGACCCCGCAUUUCGGCUCAUGCGUUUCCCACUCGAUGGCGAGCUCAAUUUUUAUUUUGAAAAAUUGAUUUUUCAUUAAGAAAAAUGACUUGGAGUCGCUACUUAUUUUUGUUUUAUUUUUUAAAAGGGUAAACAAAAUAAGAAAGAAAAACCCUAAGUGUGACUCCUUAUUUUGGAAAAGGCGGUCUACGAAAAACCGGAUCAGGUUCGGGGGUCAGGUUACUUAUCAGGAAGAUACGGUAAAAACCGUAGCACCCUUCUAAGUCCCUAAAGUCGGGUCUCUACUAAUACAAUGAAACUGACGUGGCAAUCAAUGAGAAAGUCAACGGAUAUUCACUUAAAUCAUGCAUAUGUGAGAAUCAAAAUAUGUACAAUGUGUGAUCAGAAUGAGUGAAUGCGUACCUGGGCAGCAAACAGCAACGCGCUAUCAAGAAACGGGAUUAGUGCACAAUUAAUGAAUACAAAAUAUAGCCUAUGCAUAUCGGAGUGCAAAACGAAGCUCAAGCAAAAUACAGUAAGCACGAUAAUUGACAGCCAAAAGGGGUCAAACAUAGGGCCCCCAACAAAGCCCGAUUUAUUUUGCACGAAUUAGUCUCACAAAUUCCAUUAUUUUGAAAUUAUGAAAAUAGCAUUCAUGCUUAUAUAAAAUCAAGAGAAAUCGAAGAUUAUUUGAAAUCCGAAGAGAAUUAAAACUGUUAGAGAGAAAAUUGGAUUUUUGAGAUUUAUUUGAAAAUUGGAGUAUUGGGAAUUAAAUUUAAGAGUUGAAAUUUUGGGAUGUCAAACUUGAAAGAAAUUAGAAUUUUAGAAAUCGGAAAUUAAGUUUAGAAAUUGGGAUUCAAAAAAAGUGUUUAAAAAUGAAAUUUUGAAAUAAAUAAAUGGAAUAAUAAUAAUAAGGACGAAAAUAAUGAUUAAAUAAAUGAAUGGAAAUGCUGGAAUUUUUGAAAUUAGAAAUUAGAUUUAGAAGUCAGAAAUUUUAAAGAAUUGUUUAAAAUAGAAUUUUAAGAUAAAUAAACAAACUACUAGUGAUUAAAUUAAUGUGAACAUGAGAAUUUUUCAGGAUUAGGAAUUUAAUUUGUAAAUCUGAAGUUUUAAAGAAUUGAUUUAAAAUGGAGAUAAAAUACUAAUGAUUAAAUAAAUUAAUGAGAAUAUGAGAAUUUUCGGGAUUAGGAAUUUAAUUCGGAAAUCAGAAGUUUUGAAGAAUUUGAUUUAAAAUGGAGUUUUGAAAUAAAUAAAUAAAUAAAAUACUAAUGAUUAAAUAAAUUAAUGGGAAUUUUCGGGAAUUUUCGGGUUUAGAAUUCAAUUCGGAAAUCAGCGGUUUUAAAGAAUUUGAUUUAAAAUGGAGUUUUGAAAUAAAUAAAUAAAUAAAAUACUAAUGAUUAAAUAAAUUAAUGAGAAUUUUCGGGAAUUUUCGGGUUUAGAAUUCAAUUCGGAAAUCAGCGGUUUUAAAGAAUUUGAUUUAAAAUGGAGUUUUGAAAUAAAUAAAUAAAUAAAAUACUAAUUAAUGGGAAUACAGAAAUUUUCGGGAUUAGGAAUUUAAUUCGGAAAUCAGAAGUUUUAAAGGAUUGAUUUAAAUUGGAGUUUUAAAAUAAAUAAAUAAAAUACUAAUGAUUAAAUAAAUUAAUGGGAAUAUGAGAAUUUUCGGGAUUAGGAAUUUAAUUCGGAAAUCAGAAGUUUUGAAGAAUUUGAUUUAAAAUGGAGUUUUGAAGUAAAUAAAUAAAUAAAAUACUAAUGAUUAAAUAAAUUAAUGGGAAUUUUCGGGAAUUUUCGGGUUUAGGAAUUCAAUUCGGAAAUCAACGGUUUUAAAGAAUUUGAUUUAAAAUGGAGUUUUGAAAUAAAUAAAUAAAUAAAAUACUAAUUAAUGGGAAUACAGAAAUUUUCGGGAUUAGGAAUUUAAUUCGGAAAUCAGAAGUUUUAAAGGAUUGAUUUAAAUUGGAGUUUUAAAAUAAAUAAAUAAAAUACUAAUGAUUAAAUAAAUUAAUGGGAAUAUGGGAAUUUUUGGGAUUAGGAAUUUAAUUCGGAAAUCAGAAGUUUUAAAGAAUUGAUUUAAAUUGGAGUUUUGAAGUAAAUAAAUAAAUAAAAUACUGAUGAUUAAAUAAAUUAAUGAGAAUACGGAAAUUUUCGAGAUUAGGAAUUUAGUUCGGAAAUCAGAAGUUUUAAAGAAUUGAUUUAAAUUGGAGUUUUUGUUUUUAAUGAGAUGAAUAAAUAUAUAUGGGAUAAAAAUAAUUAUUGACAAACAUGAUAUCUAAACGUAUGAAAUUGAAUGGUUGAAUAUUUAAAAUUGAAAAUUAAUUUUGGAAGAUAUUGGAGCUUCGGGAAUUAGAUUAAAAAUCUUGAACCCAGAAUCUUGAAAAUUAACUCUAGGAAUUGAGAAUUUAAAAUAAAUAAAUAAAUAAAUAAAUAAUAAAAAAUAACUUAAGAUAAAAAAUUCCAAUAUGGAAACUUUAAAAAUUAGAUUUAAGAAAAGAAUUUUGGGAAAUUAAACUUUGAAAAUGAGGAUUUUGAAAGUUAAAAAAAGAAAGGUGGAUUAAGCCUUGUUAUUGAGAAUGAAGAAUUUGCAUAAAUGAAUACAUAAAUAUAUAAAUAAAUAAUACAUUCUGAUGUGUGCAUGCAUGGAGAUGUAUAAACAAAAGGAGUAAGUGGGCUUUGGAAAUGGGCUUAGUGGGUGGCCAUGUAAAACGAACUCCAUUAACAAGUCUGACUUCUUUCGCCGCUUAGCUGCCAUGCGUUGCAUUAUAGAAGGCGAUGUCGAACCACCGCCGCUGCCAGUGCCAUCGCCACCAAGAACGACAUCACCGACAUUCGAGUAAGACCCAACCCUUUCGCUGAUGCUGAUAGAUCACAUGUCGGGAUGCCAAGUGCUUCUGCUGUGAUGACGCAGUAAUCGGCACCUGCAAUUGCAACACAAGAUCCUCCAUUGUUGUUGUAAGAAGACCCAUUUAGCUUGCUGCUUCGUCAUUGUGAGAUGAAAAGAGACAGCGAGGGAGAUUAAGGCACUCAAGGACUUGGUCUGGAGGCUUGUGGGCACCCGUUUUCCAGCUGCCGAAGCCUGGGCUUUCAUCUUUGCUGGCCGGCUUUAUCGGAAUAAUAUCCGGCGACAUCAUGAGAGAUUUUACGCACGGACUUGAAGAGAAAACCCGAAAGAGAAAAAGGAAAAAAAAAGAAAAAAAGGUAGAGAUGGGAAAGAAAGAGGUGAGUAAAGAAUUAGUUGUGGGUGUUUUUCCGGAUUGCUUAGUUUCCUUUUGUAGAGGCAAAGACACUCAAUUCAAUGGGUUCAUGCAUGGACCUGAGAGAUUGAGAGAUGUUGAUGGGCUCUUGUGACUUUCAUCAAAGAGAGAUUGAGGUAAUCGGAAAUAUAUAUAUCAACUUGCUACAUUCAUAUGUUUGAUCUGAUGGAAUAAAGAAGGGUACGUGAGAAAGAGAGAGAGAGAGAGAAAGGUUUAGUGAGCAGAUUGGAUCAGAGGCAGCAAAUGCUGCAAUGGAUCUACAUAAGGCAAAAACUGCAGCUUCAACAAAUUCAUCAAUUUAAACUAUCGAAGCAAUCCCAUCCGUUUCCUUUGCCCGGAUAUCUCCCAAAGACUCUGAGGCUGAGCCUCCUCAGAAACAUCCCAAACCAGAUUUCCCCCCCAGCAUUUCAAAAGAACUUGACAAAUAAAUAUGAGAAGAAAACAGAGCAUGCUUAUAUACAUAAAAGAGAACUGUUGGUUCUUGCCCCAUUCCACAGAUGCCGAUGGUAGAACCAAAAGAAAAACAUGGGCAUGAUCCUCAAAAAUCAAAUGCAAUGACGAGUGCACACUCAGAAUAUUCCAAAACGGGAAACAAAAUGCACAAGUAGUCUCCAAAUAUCAAAGGAAUCCGCAAGUGACUAAAAAUAGAGAAGAACAGUUCAAAAACAGGGGAAGCAAAACAGACUAAAAACCAUACCUGGACCAAGAGGAUCAGGUUGAACGGAUCUUUCGAUUCUCUUCAGCUUGCUCCCCUGUUUCUGCUCUGAAUGUCCCGCUUGAAGAAAAGCUCCCCCCUGCGAUACAUGGGUCAAAUCAUAUUAAAAGCCUUAUUUAUCUUUAAUAUAUAUUAUCUUAUAUUUAUGUUCCUAAUGGUUAAUAUAUUAACAUUAAAGCUUUAGCAUGCACAAAGCGGUAUCAAUUAUCAAAGCUUCCACGAGCACAAGGCUUAGUAGAAGAUUGGUUCUCGUGUGACAAUGUCGGUCUGAUUGAUUAAAUCAUGUUAAAAUCUUGUGCAUGUUUAAAUUAUUUUAUAUUCAUAUUCUAGUAUUAACAUAUUAGUGUUACAACUUUGAUUUGCAUGAUAAUUGACACAACUAGUGGUAUUAGAGCUUCCGGUGGCACAACAAAAGCUAUCCCAGGCCGGACCUUAAAACUUUCGUCUAGUGAACAAUAAGACAAGUCUAAUAAAUGAUAUCUUAAACAUAUGAACUACAAAGGCAAACGAAGAUUCAUAUACACUCCACUAAUUUAUGAAGUUUGAGAAAUAGUACAUAAAAUCUAGACAUCAAAUAGUAGUGGUGCCAUUGAUGAUCAUUGAGCUUGAGCGUCCUCUCCAUUUAAUUAACUUCUUUAUCAUCUUCAGAAUGAGGUCAACAAGAAGAAGAGCCACCAAGCAAGUCCAAGCAUAUGCUACAACCGUUAUCAUGCAAGAGAGGUGAUCCAGCUCAUGGUUGGGUGUGAGAGCUGUUAUGGAGACCAGAUAGGUCAGUGUCAUUGCUGUGACUGCAAUCCACAUUAUCACCAUCAAAAUCCACACAAAAAGCCUACGGUUGAUGGGCAACCCGCUUAUGAGCAAUAGAAUGAUGCUGAGAGAUGCAAGGAAACUGAUGGUGUUGGUGACAAGGAAAGAAGUAUGUGCAUCUGGGUUAUUAUCAGCCAUUAUGGAUAACCCUGCAGUGUGUGGAGUCUCUGAACUGGGUGCCGGUGCUGGGCUACCUUCAGGAUCAUAUUUUGAGUUGUCACCCCAUACAUCACCAGGAGGGCUCACACCAGCUUGGAAGGCCAUGGUGGCAAUCAGUGAUGCCACAACCAUUAAUGCAGACUGCUGCUUGUCCAACCAGUCAUCUUUCUUCUUAUUAAACUCAUUGCAGUUCUUUCCUAUAGGGCAUGGCACCCUGUUUUGAUCAUCUGCAUCUGAAGACAUGCCCCUUGUCCUACUGCUUCCAAAUUCAUAAGCAGAAAAAGAUAUGUUCUUUGCCUUUGCAGCUCCAACAUGUCGGAGUAACUCACUGAUUUCCAUAUCUUGUACAUCUCUGCGACUUUGUGCCAGAAUGUCCGAUGCUGUGCAUCCAUUCAGGUUCACCGCAUUUACUUCAAUGGAUGUACUUGAAAGUAGAUAGUUUAUGGUCUGCACAUUUACAUUUGAAAAUUCAUGAGACAAGAAGAAACAAAGAGAGUGACUUCUAUUAGCAUUAUGGUAAAUGUGUAAAUCUGGUUGAACUAUAGGAGACUAGACUGCCUUGAUGAGUCCAUCCUGUCCCAAACCCUAUGACACUGUCUAAUCGUUCAAAUGUAAUGUGGUAUAACUCCAGGGUUCGUACCAAUGGAGUGGAAUGCUUUUUGAAAAUAAUGAAACAGAAGUAGAAAUUUGAAUUUGAGUAUGAAAAAGCAAUGGCAUCAUCAUUCUGUGGGAGAUCUGCAUAACCAAUGCUAUGGAAAUGUUCUUUCAGUUCAAAGCCAAAUACUGGUUAUUGUCACCUAUUUCUCAUUAUCUGUAAAAGGGUCCCUGCCACGGGAAUCAGGGCAAGCUUUCUAUACAGUUCCAUUUAGUAGAAACAAGAUUUAUAAGAAAUUAAAUAUUUCAUAAUCCUACCAAAUCUGUACUCCAUACCUCAAGUUGUUUAUCUGCAACUGCUAGGUGCAGGAUUGUGAAGCCAUUGUCGUCCUUAGCACUCAUGAUCUCAUGAGCAUCUGCAGUUUCCACCAACAACUUCAGAGCUUCCAAUUGAUUGUGUUUCACACACAGAUGUAAUAUGGUCUCACCCCGCGGCAAGGCGGCCCAAGUUGCAUGAGGUUUGGCUUGGACUAACUCUUUCAAGACAUGCACAUGACCCCGCAUGGCUGCUAGAUGAACUGGAUUUCUCCCAUCUCGAUCACAAGCAAGGCACAUCUCAGGGUUUACAAAUAACAAUUCUUUUACUAUUUCAAUGUACCCUUUUGCUGCGGCCAAGUGAAGCGGAGAAGAUCGUCUAUAAUCUAACUCUGCAGCAAGUUCAGGCUUUUGAAGUAGAAUCUCCUUCGCAAAGUCCGCAUGUCCAAGCAGGGCUGCUAUAUGUAAAGGAGUCUCAGUAUAAUUCAGCAUAACUCUGUCAAUAAUCAAUGGAUCUUUUAGAAGCAAUUCAUACAAAGAAGUUACACUUCCUUGUGCUGCUGCUUCGUAAAGCAUUUGCUCCAUUCUCUCUCUCUCUGUAAUUAUGGGAUCUUUUUGAAGCAAUUCAUGCAAGGAAGUUACACUUCCUUCAACUACUACUUUGUGAAGCAUUUUCUUCUCUGUGUGUGUGUGCACAUAUUUCAGAACCUUAAUAUGGUGUUUGGUAUGGAAACAUUAAUAUGGUGGUUGAUAUGGUUACAUUACUUUCUCUGCUUAGGACCACCACACUGUCCAUCAGUAUCUUUAAACAUCGACUCUUUGUGGUUCACAUAUGGUAGCCAAGGAUUGCUCCCAAAUGAUCACAUAGUCGAGCUGGACAAAAAGGUAAAGAUAUUCUGUCCAUGUGUUAUAUUAGGAUUUGUCCAACAUGACACCCACUACCAUUAGGAAAGAUGGCCCCACAAACAAACAUGUGGAACAGCUAAAUGUCACAGAGCAAUUGGAGGAUUAGAGUCGAUCACUGUGAAAGUGACAUCCCUUGAGGUAAAAAUGGCCAAAUUCCUCUUUGAAUUUAAUCAAACACAACAUUGAUCAAGCCAGGAGGCAGCAACCAGAGAAUAAAGAUACCAUCAGACAAUAGCCAGGCACAUGGAACAACUCGAUUUUAGGACAUUUCUCAGGCUUGCCAGGCUCAGAAGGAGGUGCUACUGUUAGUGGUCGGACCCAGCUUAUUCCCCCACCUUCUGCCUAUUUCAAGUUCACACACAGACUUCCAUUAUUAUCUUUUUCUUUCCCUCUCUUUUCUCCACUGAGUAAGCUCCAAACUCAUUCAAAUCCACACAUUCUAAGCAUAUCACCGACUGGUGAUGAACAAUCUAACUCAUCAGAGGUUCACCCCUCUCAAUUCUCUAACAACAGGAUAAGUAGGCAUUCCCUGUUUGGGAGAGAAUUCUUACCUCUUGAACAUAGAGACAAACAAAUUAGUCAAGAAGGUGAAAGGACUCUCAGAAAAAGAAAAAAAGAAAAAAAGAAAAAAAAAAAAAAAAAAGAGCACCAACAGGCGAAAAGAAAAAGGUUCAAGCCACCAUCUUUUCCUCAUCAUUGUUUUAGAUUCUAAAAGAAGAAAAUGAAUCUAAAAAAAAGAAAACAAUGAGAAGUGAACAGAGAAGAGCAUAAACUCUAGUUUUAGAUUCUGCUUCAGCCUACUCUGUUUUCUCAGUUUGGUCAUUCCCAAAAUAAAAUUAUGUACAUCAUAAAGCGUAAGGCUUAAUUUUUUAUUUAUUUUUUGAAUUUUCUUUUCCUAAAUUUUUCUCGGUAAACAAACAGAGGAUAGAGAAAACAAACCAUGAUUAACUGAAAUGGGUUCUUUGAUUUCUUCCUCCAUUUUGCUGAUCCUCUGAACUUGAGAGCUUUGAGGAGACAGAAUAAGUCAGAAACCGCGGAAAGAGUAGUAGACCUGGUGGGUGUUGAUCUGAGGGAAGAAGAGCUAAAUGCCAAAUAUCCUAAUGUGCUAUGCGGGUGGAUAUGGUGUUUAGAGAGAGAGGAAAUCAGGGUUUCUGGAGAGAGAAAGGGGACGGAAUUGAUGUGGCACCGUAAAGCCUCCAUGGAAGCUCGAAAUGGACUCCCUGGAACACUUCAAUUUGGGUUUUGUGUGCAGAGUAACUAGAGCGGCGAUUGUCCCUCCCGCCGACCAAAGGUUAAGACAUUGAAAAUAGUCUUAUAAACAAAACUGUUGAAUGUUUUAUGGAACAAUAAAUAUGUCUUUUAUACUAGGAACAAGGAUGUGGAAAUUCAUCUUAUAAUGCAAUUGGCUUGACAUCAGAGCGGUCUCUUCAAAUUGAUAAAUGGUAGUUUUUUCAUUUAUUUUUUCAUUUGUUCAUGUACAGAGUAUAUAUAGAGUGUAAUAUUCUAAGAAUGGGAAAAAAUGAUAUAAGGAAAUAACAACUAAUAUCCUAAUAUCUCAACUUUCCUAAUAUCUUAAUAUUCCUAAUAUUCAUAAUAUCUCAAUAUUCCUAAAAUCUCAACUUUCUUAAUAUCUAAACAUUCCUAAUAUCUCAAUACUAAAUGAUACAAGGAAAGAAUAAUAUAAGAAAAGCAUUCCUAAUAUCUCAACACUCCCCCUCAAGUUGGUGCAUAGAUGUCACACAUGCCCAACUUGUCUAAAAAUUUUGAGAACACUUGACUUGAGACAGCUUUGGUGAGGAUAUCAACCAAUUGAUUUUCUGAUCGAAUCUUAGGUAAUUCCACAAUCUUAUCAUCCAACUUUUCCUUGAUGAAGAAUCUAUCCACCUCGACAUGCUUUGUACGAUCAUGUUAUACUGGAUUAUGAACAAUGUCACAUGCGGCUUUAUUGUCAUAAAACAAUCGGAUUGGUUGCCUAGAUAUGUAACCUAAAUCCUGUAAGAGGAGUCUUAGCCAUAAUGUCUCACAAAGUCCUAGAGACAUACCUCUAAAUUCCGUUUCUGCACUUGAACAAGCGACGACAUUCUGCUUCUUACGUUUCCAUGUCACAAGAUUACCACCUACAAAGGUAAAGUAGCCAGAUGUAGAUCGCCUAUCAUCCACUGCACCGGCCCAAUCAGCAUCAGUAUAUACUUCUAUACUCUGAUGAUCAACAUUUUUAGUGAACAAAAUUCCCUUCCCAGGAGCACUCUUCAAAUACCUCAAAAUACGCAUGACUGCAUUCAUAUGUUGCUCUCCAGGAUUAUGCAUGUAUUGACUCACUACACUCAAUGCAUAAGCAAGAUCUGGUCUUGUAUGAGCUAAGUACAUUAAUCUCCCCACAAGUCUCUGGUAUCUUCCCUUAUCGGUUGAUACUUGAUUAGGCUCAACACACAAUUCCAGUCUCCUGUAAAAGAUCUAAGGCAUACUUUCUUUAAGACAUAAAAAUUUCUUCACUUGAUCGAGAAACUUCAAUCCCAAGAAAGUAUUUCAGAGGACCUAGAUCUUUCAUUUCGAAUUCUUUAAAUAAAUAAUUUUGCAAAGCUUUUCUUUCUUCAGGAUCAUUUCCUGUAACUAUCAUGUCAUCCACAUAUACGAUAAGUGUCGUAAUCUUACCAUGUUGCUUUUUCAGGAACAAAGUGUGAUCUGAAUUACUUUGACGAUAGCCAAAAGCUCUCAUUGAUUUUGUGAACCUUCCAAACCAUGCUCUUGGGGAUUGCUUCAACCCGUACAAUGACAUCUUCAAUUUGCACACUUUUUGACAUUGCUUUUCUGACACCAUGCAUCCUGGUGGAAGAUCCAUAUAUACUUCUUCAGAUAACUCGCCAUGCAGAAAGGCAUUUUUCACAUCGAACUGUUGUAAUGGCCAAUCUAAGUUUGCAGCUAAAGACAGUAAUACUCGAACUGUGUUGAUCUUAACUACAGGUGCAAAUGUCUCUGUGUAGUCAAUUCCAUAAGUUUGAGUGUACCAUUUUGCUACCAGUCUUGCUUUAAAUUGUUCAAUACUACCAUCUGCCUUGUACUUCACAGUAUAGAUCCAACGACACCCAACUAGCUUCUUUCCUGAUGGACAUUCUACGAGUUCCCAUGUUUCAUUCUUUUGCAAUGAUUUCAUCUCUUCAUUCAUGGCUGCUUUCCACCUUGGAUCAGCUAAGGCUUCCUGCACACUGUUAGGAAUAGCUACAGUAGAUAAUUGAUUUACAAAUGACUUAUUUGAUUCAGACAAACGAUGGUUAGACACAUAGUUGCUCAUGGGAUAUUUGACUUUGGUAGACAAUUCAGGUUCAUACGUGGGUUUAGGAAUACCUCUAUUAUGACGGUGUGGUAACCGUUUCAUGAAUGGAUCAGGUUCCAAAAUAAAAACACCCUCAGCAGACGACGAUUGGUUUGGUAUUUCAGUGAAGACAUCUUCGGACCCAAAUUGUUGACCACUCAUAUCCAACUCACCCGCUUCCUGGUUCACUAGUUCAGAUUGUCCAGAUUCAUCCUCCUCAGAGAUAUGAUAAUCAUAUUCAAGAGUCUGAAUUUCCUUAUGGUACUCACCCUAAAGUUCAGACUCAGAUGAAAAAUACAUCGAAUUUUCAUGAAACACCACAUCCAUUGUAAUAAACAUUCGUCGAGUUGGAGGAUGGUAACAUCGAUAUCCCUUUUUAUGCAAUGCAUAUCCAACAAACACACAUUGCAAUGCAUGAGAAGUUAACUUGGUUCAUUGGUGUUUGUGUAGAUGCACAAAUGCCACGCAACCAAAAACACGAGGAGGUAGAUUUGGGAUGGUUGGGGCAACUAUGGCAUUAGUAAGAGCUUGGAGAGGUGUUUGGAAGUUAAUUGAGUUAAAAGGUACCCGAUUGAUCAAGUAUGCAGCAGAUGUGAUUGCUUAUCCCCAAUAAGAUAUCAGUAUUUUUGCUGCUAUCAAGGAAGCACGAACAAACUCUAACAAGUGCCAAUUUUUCCAUUCAGCGACUCCAUUUUGCUGGGGUGUAUUGGAACAAGUAGUCCGAUGAAUGAUGUCAUGUUCUUCCAAAUACUUUUGAAGAUCAGAACUCUGAUAUUCUUCACCAUUAUCACUACGCAAAACCCGAACCUUUGCAUUGUACUGAGUUUCAAUCAUUUUAUGAAAUUUUUGAAACAACAAGUUCACUUCAUCUUUGAUCUUCACCAAGCAUAACCAUGUCAUUCUGGUACAAUCAUCAAUAAAAGUAACAAACCAACGUGAGCCACUCAAAGUUGGGACUUUGGAUGGGCCCCAAACAUCAGAAUGUAUAACCAUAAAAGGAAACGAACUUUUAUUCAAAAUUAACGGAAACAAAGCACGAUGACUUUUAACCAAUUCACAAAUAUCACAACGGAAACCAGAAAUAUAACUCUUUGCAAACAAACUAGGAAACAAUUUUUUUAAAUAACCAAAGGAAGCAUGCCCCAGACGUCGAUACCACAACCAAAUUUCAGACUUUUUCUUCUCCUCCUUAGAUCCAUCUGCCAUCAAGGCUUGUUGCAACUUAUUUGAAUCCUUUGACUGCAAGUCCAAGUAAUAUAGUUUUCCCCGCUUAAUACCACAACCAAUCGUCUAUCUUGUUUGGAUGUUCUUAAUCACACAAAAUUCAGGCCAAAAAAUGACAAUACAAGAUAAGGCUGCAAUGAUUUGAGAAACUGACAAGAGAUUGUAAUCUAGAGAUGGAACAACUAAAACAGAAUUCAAAUUCAAAGUAUCAGUAAGAGUUAAGGAUCCUUCCCCAAUGACUGGGGUUGUGUUACCAUUGGUUGUGGAAACAAUUUUUUGUGAGGAAGGUUUAAGGGGUGAAACCUGUCUAGAAUCAAAAGUCAUAUGAUCUGUAGCACCAGAAUCAAUUAUCCAUGCACUAUUAAUAACAGGUGUAAAAGUAUCUAAAAACUUAUCACCAUGAUCUGUAGCGGCUACCAAUGCAGAGGCUUUCUCAGCAACAUUAGUCUUUGUUUUUAUUUCGGCAACAGUUGCAGUCAAGGUUUUCUUGGAAUCCUUCUUCCAUUGAUCACGAUUAUUAUCAUUAAUAACAAAGUGGUGAUAGCCUAAACAUGAUCUAAAGGUCCAUGGUUCAAACCCUCGGUUCCUCAUUGUUUUCCUGGUCAUACCAAGAGUCGUUGCUUUGAAAUUGUGGGACAUCCAGACUGGUGGGAUCAGUCUUAUUGUAGUGAGUGCAUUUGAAGGUUGACUUAUCAAUAUUAGGGCUUGUCUUAGGAUGGUUGAUCGUUGUCGGACUACCAUAGCGACAAAAUAUCCAGAAUUUCAAUUCCAUGGCUCUGAUACUAUCUUCAAAUUGAUAAAUGGUAGUUUUUUCAUUCAUUUUUUCAUUCGUUCAUGUACAGAGUAUAUAUAGAGGGUAAUAUUCUAAGAAUGGGAAAGAAUGAUACAAGGAAAGAAUGAUAUAAGGAAAUAACAACUAAUAUUCUAAUAUCUCAACUUUCCUAAUAUCUCAAUAUUCCUAAUAUCUUAACUUUCCUAAUAUCUAAACAUUCAUAAUAUCUCAACACUAAAUGAUACAAGGAAAGAAUGAUAUAAAGAAAGCAUUCCUAAUAUCUCAGUACGGUCGACUUCGUUUAGCCAAUCAAUCAAGAUUAUAUAGACGCUAACUCAUCAUCUAAAGAAGUUGUCACGUUCACUUAGAUUAUGUUUGACUAACGUGUGUGUGUGUUAAAGUUAAAGUUAUGAUUAAUGAGUACGAUUUUAAAAUAAAUUUAUUAUAUUAUUUUUAUUUUAUAUUUAUUAAAAGCAUGUAAGUAAUUAAUAAAUUUAUAUCAUUAUUUUAAAAAAAAUCAUAUAUAUUUUUAAUUUGAUAUCAUUAAUUACAAUUUUAAGUUUAAAAUUUAUGAUUUUAAUUAUUUAAAAUAAAAUAAAAUUAUAAGCAUCAACAAUGAUUUUAAGAAAUGGAUACGGAUUAUAUUAGACAUUAUUUUAGAGGUGGUUUUGAUAUAUGAAUUUUUUUUAAAAAAGGCUUGUUUUUAAUCAAAACUCAAAAGUAAUAGGCAUGACUCUCGUGACAUGGGGCACUCCUUAUUAUCAUGAAGAUAGUCAACUAGCAUUAUACAUGUUACAAUCAUUAAUAAAAAUAUUAUCGGACAUUAUACAUGCUAACUGUAUAUAUUAAUGAUGAUAGAUAAUCUAAAAUAAUGAUUCACGUACAGUUAAGUUACAUCACAAAGACAAAGGUGAAGUAUAAAAUGGUGAUACAUUACACAUAACAAACGUCCCAAACCCUAACCCCUUCAACGAUAGUAACAAAAAAAAAAAAGUAAGGGAUCAUACGUAUACACACUCAGUAACUUUUAACGCAUCAAAAUGAUAUGUUGGUGUGGUUUGCAUACACUAAACUUGACUGCAGUCUUCUUUCUCUCCAACAAAGUUUUCCCAACUUUCUAAUUGAAGCUACCAAUAAGCGAAUCGUGUGCCCCACUAGAACAAGAGCCAUCACACCACACCACACUGCAACUCCGACUACUAUUAUAUUAGUCACUGCUGCCUCUGCACUGUCUGGUGUGAGAAAGGUCAUUGCAGUUCUGUAAGUGAGGGCCAUGGAUGUGAUGGCCACCCACACAACCACAGUCAGCAUCCACAUGAAAAGGCGGUGUGUGAAAGGUAGUCCGGUGAUAAGCAUCAGGAUUAUGCUCAAUGAUGAUAUGAAACCCGUUGUGUUGUAACUGAGGUAGAGACGGUAGUAUUCCUCGUUGCUGUCCGCCAUGAUAGCUUUCCCUGCUGCAUGCGAUUUUCCAGCUUGUGUAUCCUGGGAAUUCUGCGUUGAGUUGUCUUGCCACGCACCUCCAGGAGGGUUCACUGCAGCUUGAAACGCCAUUGUAGCAAUGAGCGAGGCCACCACCAUUAAUGCAUCCCGCUUCCUUGUCAGCCAGUGCUCUUUACCUUUGCUUUUCAUACUGCGAUCACCUUCUGAGGUUAGCUGCAGAACUUGGGGAUGAUGAUUGGGCAAAUGAGUGUUCAUUGCUCUCAUGGCUCCAGUGCCUCGAAAGGCCUCUCCAAUGUCCAAGUCACCCACAUCUCUGAGACCAUGUACUAAAAUGUCCAGUGCUGUGAGCCCACUUGUGUUUAGAGCAUUUACUUCGACUCUAGUAUUGCUGAGCAAAUAGUUUACAGUCUGCAAAAUUCAUGUUCAUUAUUAUGUCACUGAGAUAUAUAAAACUGGAUCGAUAGGAACGUUGAAAACAUAAACCUUGAUCUCCUAUUUGUGUUUGGCUCGAGUCAAUUACUCAAUUCUCAAGUGGGUUAGCACUAAAAAACCAGGAUUAUCCAUUCUAUAAUCUCUUUCAUUAUAUUUAUAUGUAUAUCCAUUCCACAUACAUGGACAUAAUGAAGCAUAUGGAAUCUUUCUAACAAAGGAAGACCGCUAUUCUAAACUUUAUUUUCAUUAAACUACCAAUUUUUCUAAAAGUUUAAGUCAUUAAAAGAGUUCAAACUUACUAUAUCCAUAAGAAUUAUGUCUCCUAUCUCUAUGAAUAUGAAGGAUUUUUUCCAUUAUUACUCACUAAUUAUAGUGGAAUCAACAAUGUAGAGGUAAAAAAGAAUUUUGACCCCAAGACCAUUGAUGAACCAAUCCCAUAAAUCCACUUACAACAAAACAAGUUUUUUAUAAGGUUUCUAGUAGAAUAAAAAAACCAUUAAACACAAGCAAAAUACAAACCAAAUUUGGGUUCAAUAUACAUAUUAUUCAACUUAACACCCUCCUUUAUGCAUAGUAUGGUCUCAUACCCACACUUGGAGAGACAGGUAAAAUUUGAAUUUAUAUCCAAUAGAUAGAGACAACCUUAAUAAGAAAAAAAGAUACCAAAGAAUUGUGGGGAGGUGACCUGAACCCACAACCUCCCGUCAAACCAAAUUCUGAUAUUAUGUUAAAUUAUUAAUUUUCCUAAAAACUUAAACUUGUAAGAGUUGGGCUCAAUAUACAUAUUAUAUCACUUAACAAUUCCAACUCCUUUUGUUUAAAAAGUUCAAGCCCUAACUACCCAAAGGAAGUGGCAAAUGAAACUAAUAAGGUUUGGGGUCUUUAAUUUUAGGUUUAUUUUCACUCACCUCCCUAGUGUUUUAACUAAAUACACCUUUAUCUCCAUCAGUUUGAAAUUAUAAAUACUCUAUAUAUCCUUUUCAUUUAUUAUUUUUAUUUACCUUCCUUCUCAUUCAACAUAAGAGAAGCACUUGAUAAAAUUUUAAAUCAAUUGGAGUUAUAUAUAUUUAGUCAAAGGGAGGUGAAUAGAAUUAACUUCUGAUUUUAUGAUCUUCUUACAUGUAUAAAAAUAUUUCGGCUACGUAUAUGUAAAUAACAUUGUAAGCACGAUACAAUAGAUUGGGCUGCCCACCUGAUAUGUCAAACUGAGCACAAAAUCUAUGUAUACAGACAUCAUCCUAAGAAUGCCAAUCCUGAUAUGGCUAUGGAAUUCUAAUGUUUAGCAGGGGGAGAUGUUUUUGACCUAAUUAUAGAUCCCGGUGAUGAUCCAUACCUCGAUCUGUUUAUCAGCAACCGCUAAGUGCAGGAUGGUGAAGCCAUUGUUAUCCCUAGUAUUGACUAAGUCAUUGUGAUCAUCCAUUGUCUCCACCAAAAACUUCAGAGCCUCCAGCUGAUUUUGUUUCACGCAUAGAUGCAAUAUGGUCUCACCCCUUUCCGCCCUGGCCCGAGCUGCAUGGGGCCUGGCUCUAACCAACUCUUUCAGCACAUCAAAGCGGCCUUUCAUGGCAGCAAGAUGAAGAGGGUUUCUCCCAUAUCUGUCACAAGCAAAACACAUAUCAGGGUCAACCAGUAGAAAAGCUUUGACUACUUCAGUAUACCCUUUUGCAGAAGCCAAGUGAAGAGGCGAAAAUCCUCGAGAAUCCAGCUCUCUGGCAAGUUCAGGCUUUAGGCAUAAUAUCUCUUUCACAAAAUCUGUGUGCCCAAGCAUUGCUGCUACAUGUAGAGGAGUUUCUGUGAUGCAAUCUACAAUAACUCUAUCGAGAAUCAAUCUAUCUUGUUGAAGCAGCUGCUGCAAGGAAGCCACACUCCCUUCCAUUGCAGCUUCAUAAAGCAUUCUCUCCAUCCUCUCUCUCUCUCUCUGAGCAACAUACACCAAGACAUACCAGUACUUUCAUAUAUAUAUAUUUGAAGGAAUGCAACGAUUUUCAUAUUUAGUCAAGGUAUGCAGGAGCUAGCUUAGAUCAAUCUCUCCAAUUUCUCAAGGCCAAGUGUUUGUUGAUGAUGUAUGAAAUUUUGUUUAAAAGUCUCAAGAUUGAGGGCUAUCUGGACAGGAGACUUGCGCAUAUUUACCAUGAAAGCUAUAACAUCAAUUGACUUGACUGUACAAUAAUGUAUCAUUUUAGGCGUUUGAAGUCAUAUUAUACCAUCCUACUUAACCUAAUGAAGUCCUACAAAGGUGUUGAAGAUGCCAAUAAGUCGGAUAAUGACACGAGCUCACACUGCUUAAAAUAUAAAGGGUGUAUGCAAUCAGAACCUUAUCAAAUGUCAAAGUCUUCACAGAAAAUUUGGGAGUCAUUGUUUUAUACUUUAUGGCAUGGAAAAAACAACUUACCAAACCCUAUGCCCUAACAUCUGUAGAUCAAAGACUUAGUCAUUUCAUUUAAAAAUCAAUUGAUUCUCGGUAGGGUUUAUUUUAUCCCCACCCUUUUUAUAUGGCUUGACAUCGUACUCGUUUUUACUCAUCCCAAGGUUUAUAAUAGGGACUAACCAUCACAACGAGGCUUAACCAUCAGGCCCUUUACUCAUCUCGAGGCUUAUAGCAGAGCAAGCCAUCUUUGCCCUUGCACAUCCAAUCUAAGGUCAUUUCUUCACCUAUCACUUUCCCCGUAAAGCAACAUAAUUGCUUGCCUAGUAACAUCUAACUCAGGUACUUUGUUUGUGGGUUAAGGGCCUAAGGCCCAACAACCCUAUAUAAAUAAACUUGCUCUAUUCCAAAGUGAUACCGAGUUUAACGUAUCGGUAAAUACGAAUCUCAGUACUUAAACGAAUAUAUCAAAAAUAUAAUAUAAAAAAUAUUGAUGAAUAUUUUUACACAAAUAUCGAUUAAAGAUAAAUUAUUUAAAAUUAAUAAAAAUAUUGAAAAAACUUUCAAAAAAAUGAUAAAAUAAAAAAUAAUAUACAUAUUAAAGUAUUUUAUAAGAGUAAUUGAUAUUAUUAAAAUUAAAGAUAAUAUUUAUUAAAUUUUUAUAAAAAAAAUUAGUUUAAGUUCUUUUAAUAUAUUUACAUUCAUUUAUUUUAAUAUUUUUAAAAUACUUUUAUUAAGUCAUGUUUUAUUAUAUUUUAAAUGAAAAAUUAAAUUAAUUUAUAUAAAAUAUUUUAUUUAAAAUUUAAUUUCUAAAAUUUUAUUAAAUAUAUGUGGUAACAACUUUUUCUAUUAAUAUUAAUUUAUGUAAAUAAUUAAAAUUAUUAAUAAUUUAUCUUAUCAAAUUAAUUUUAAUUUAUAAAAUAUUAGAACUUUCAUAAUUUUUUAUAUUAUAGCAAUUUUUUUGGGUAAAAUUAUACUUAUAAUAUUUUAAAAUAAGAAUAUUUAAAAUUAAAUAAAAUUGAAAGGAUAAAUAUAAGAAAAUUUUAAGAGUGGGGGGAAUGGCAUCACCCAAAAAAAGUGGCAAUUUUUCAUAAAAAAGUCUCCCAUGCGGGCUUCCCACUUCCCAUUUUUUGACAAAAUUUCAUAUAUAUCGCCGAUAUUUCUGAUUUUUUUAAAAAGAUCCCCAGAUAAUGGGUGGAUGAUUUCGUGUCGGCUUACCUCCAAUAUCCGAAAUAUCGUCGAUAUUUCGAUGAUAUUUUCCGAUAUUUUCAUCACCGAGUGGGAUACAGCCAAAUUAAAAGCCCAAGGUGGCCAUAUCCUAGGAGCCCAGAAUCCCUGGAGCCCAAACUAUGUGACUGAUAAAGCCUCCUCCAUAUGCUUUUUGUGGGUGUCUUCCUUCUUCUAAAGAGCUUUCCAGAACUCAAAGACAGUUUUGUCCCUUCGAAGCCUAUUAGGUGACGUAGCUAUCUGAUUAAUUAUCUACUCAUUUACGGCAACCAACACCAAGCUCUUUAAUUAAUGUAAACGGAGUUGGGUGUAGCUUAGAAAAUGAUUAGUUUGAUUCCGAUCAUAUAUAAAAUAAUAUUAAAAAAAAUUAAAAAAUAAGAAAAUAAAAAAGUGGGUUAGUAGUAUUAUACAUCUCAAGAUAAGACGGACAUUAAACUAUGAUAUAAAGAAGCGGUGACAUAUAUAUAUGAUUAAAUAAUUAGAAAUGGGACCAUUACAAUAUUCAUUAUUAAUAUUAUCCCGGGAUGGACACCAAUAAUAUUCAUGAAAGCACACAUUAAAAAAAUCAAGGUAUUUGGCCAUUAACUCGUCUCAAUUGUCAUAUCAAUACAAUGAGACGAUAUUUUAUCAUUAAAAUUAUUUGAUUAAAAGCGGCAUUGAAAACCCAUUUUAACAAAAAUACCUUCAUCUUUUUUUUAUAAAAAUAAUCAAUUCUUUUAAAAUAUACUAUAAAUACUUGAAAUAGUUAAGGGUAUUUAUGUCAAUAAUUAGUUACCCUUCAAAUAAAAACAUAUAAGGGGAUAAAUUCACAAAUAUAGAAAGUAUUUUAUCCAAAAAAAUAUAAAUAUAGAAGAAGAACUUAACCAAGAUUAAAAAAAAAUAUAAUAUUGAUAUGAAUAAAGUGAAGAAGAACAUCAUCAAGAUUCAAAAUACCCUUAUCAUUUUUUAAUAAAAAUAACCAAUUCUUUUAAAACAUAUUAUAAAUACUUGAAAUGGUUAAAAGUAUUUAUGUCAAUAAUUGGUUACUCUUCAAAUAAAAACAAGCGCAGGGAUAAAUUCAUAAAUAUAAAGAGUAUUUUAUCCAAAAAAAUAUAAAAUAAAAAUAUAAAUAGAAAAGAAGAACGUAAUCGAGAUUCAAAAAAAAUAUAAAUAAGAUAAAAAAUAUCAUCGAUAUGAAUAAAGUGAAGAAAAACGUAAUCAAGAUUCAAAAGAAAUAUAAAUAAGAUAAAAAAUAUUAUCAAUAUGAAUAAAGCAAUUAGGGAUAAAAAUAAGUGAUAAGAGCAUAUAAAAUUUUACAUGAUUAAAAUAUAAAACUUGGAUACGGUAUUUUUAUAUUAUAAAAUUUUUAUGAAAUAAAUUUUGUCUAAACUAUUAAAUAUAUGAUUGAAAUUAGAAUAAUCAAUAUUAAAAUAAUAUUAAAUUGGGGAUUGGAUUCUUCCUACCAUCAUUUUAUUAAAAUGAGCAUGUAACUUUACCUUGAUGUUUUUUUAUUCAUCCACGUUCACCCAAAAGCCCUAGCCCUAAUUACACCUUCUCUUUCUUUUUCCCAAUUUUUUAAAAUGAUGAAAUAAAAAAAAAUUCAUAUCCUAAUUAAACUAAUUUUUUGGAAAAAAAAUGCAUAAAAGAUGAAAAUAUUGACGUGGCAUGGGUUUUUCUUAUUUUGUAAAAGGCCUCUUUGACUAAUGUUGUAAUAAAAUGAUGAAUUCACGUAUUUUUCCAUAUAAUUUGAUGAUAUAAUGCCAAAAAAUCAGAUAUAUUAUCCAAUAUUUUCACCAAAAUUUGGAUUUUUGGAUUGGAAUUUCAAAUUAAAGAUGGGUAAGCUCAUAAUUCCGUAUAUAUUUUUUAUUUUUUUUUCUUAUAAAAGAGGAUAAGGAAUUUGAUGAGGUUCAAACAAAAAUAAAAUUAUGUUGGAUUUUGAAUUACCCUUCUCAAGAUUACUUGUACAAGCAUCUUUGAAAAAUUUCUCUCAAUUUUAAUGAGGACAAGAACUUUUAAAUCUUGGGCAUGACAAAAGAUAGUACAAAAUGAUGGCCCAAAAAAGUCUUCAAUGAAAUCGAGAUUAUGAUGAAUCUUCCUAUUAAUCAUACUAUUUAUUUAUAGUACUUUCGUCAUUAGUAUUUUUAUUAAAAAAAAAUUUUAAAGGGAUCAAAUAAGUUUUCAUAUAAGUUAAAAUAUAUAUCAAAAAAUUAAUUUUUAAAAAAUCAUAUAAAAAGUGAUUCCUCAAAUUUUAAAAAAUGGGAGUGUUUUUAACUUCUUCUUUUUUCAAAAUCACUUUUAAACCAAUUCUAAAAGCUCAUUUAAAAAUAAUUUUAAGAAAGGGUUGUAGGACCUUAGGUCCUACCUAAUCUUAUAGUACAUUCAUUCAAGCGUUCACGAUAAACACAAAGGGAGUUGAUGGACGCGGCUAACCCUUCAAUCUGCCAACAAUCUCUCCCCCAGCAAUACCCGUGGGUUCAAACUUGUGGCAUUGACUCUAAUACUACUUGUAAGAUCUCAGGUGCUCCCAACUUUCCUAAAAGCAAUUAUUGUUAGAAAAAACGUAUACCCUAACCUUAUAGUGCAUUUACCCAAACGCUCACGACGAACACAAGAGGAGUUAAUAGACGCAGUCAACCCUCCAAUCUAUCAACCAGGGUUAUAAUAUUUAUUAAGACGAGAAAGUAUUUAAAUUUUUUAAGCUAGAAAAUUACUUAUAAAACAUUUAGUAAAUGAUUAUUUCAAAAUUUAUUUUUUAUUUUUUAUUUACACCAAAACCUUAGAUGAUUUUUUAAAAAAGUAUUUCCACCAAAGCAAGAGUGAAAGUGUUUAAAAUGCUUUUGGAAGUAUUUUAUUUAAAAUAUUUUUAAUUGAAAUAUUUUCUCUAAAAAACAUGAAAGCACUUUUAAAUUUGUUCAAAACACUCUCAAUGAAUUCUAAGAACUGAUUUAGGAGUAAUUUUAAGAAGAGUUAAAAGUGCUUAAUAAAAUUUUCUAAAUUUUGCUAAACCCUCAAUUUUUGUCUAGAAGUGUUUUAUGUUAAAAAUGUUUUUUUUUUUCCUAAAAUUUAAUAAGCUCUAAAUCUAUAAGAAAGAAAAUUCUAAGAAGCACGUGAAAAACCAAUAAUUUUGAAACCAGCAGCCACACCCUGUGGGUGACCCACAAGUGGAUGAAACCCAGCAGCUGCCAUACCCGUGGGUCACACCCACAGAAACCUGGUCAUUAAACCCACGAAAGUUAAAAAACAAAUUAAGGUACACUGCACCCUCGGCAGCUGUAGCCGCACACAAUCUUCCUCAAAGAAAAAGAUUUUCUUUUUCCUUUCUUUUUUUUUUCCUGAAAAAGUUCUCGAAAAAUUGACCGACACGUGUCGGACUCCUCGAUCCGCAAACCCCUCGCUAAAAUCCACAGCCUUGUCCAUCACUCUUUCAGUUAAAGCUUGGCUCUUUUUCUUUCCUCCGCCUUCAUGCGUUAUCCAUGAACGCCACCUCCACCCAACCACUCUCUCUGCUCUUCCCCGCCGCCGCCUCCUCCUCCCCCUCCUCCGCAGUUGUUUUCUCUCUCUAGAUGGAAUCCACCAUGACCGUCGACAUAUCUGCUGUGAGCGCCGCCCUUGAUUCUGAUUGUGUCCAGCAAUGAUCCACCCUUUUAUGGUUGUCCAUGUUCGUUCCCAGAUUUGGUUGCGCAGAAGGCAAAAAGCUUUAUUUCGGGGCUGAACUGAUCUGCAGUAUCUAAUUUGGUGAUUAUAUAGAGAUUUGAGGAGUACCUAACAAGUAGUUUGAUAGUUUGAUUCUUUUGUGGGUAUAUUUUGGUAUGUAGAGUAGUUUCUUUGGAGAACGCGAUUGGGUAUGUUUUGGUAUGCAGAGUAGUUUUGUUUGGAUAAAGACUAGGUGAAAUAGUUGAGAUUUUGGUGUUUCCAAAAUUUAGGAUUAGGGUUUUUGUUUUGUUGCGAUCUAGGUUGUUUUUAGCUGAUUUAUAUAGCUCAGAAGUGGGUUUAGGGUUUUGAUCUGCUGGAUUAGAGGUCUUUGGUUGGGUCGAUUUUGCACCCAAAGUGUUUGGUGAAAGUUAAAAAAAGAAAAAAAGAAAAAAAAAAGGAAUUUGUUAGAUACUUAGAUGUCCAAGGAGGGUAUGGCUUUGAGUCUGUGAUUGGGUUUUAAAAGUGGCGAAAAUGAGUUUGGGCGCGGCCGAGGAUGAAAAUUCAACGUCGGAGAUUCAUAUGCCGGCGGAUGUAGAUUGGCAUAUGCUUGAUAAAUCAAGGUUUUUCAUCCUUGGUGCCGCUUUAUUUUCCGGUGUGUCCGGCGCCCUUUAUCCCAUUGUAGUGCUAAAAACGCGACAACAGGUUUCGCCUUCGCAAAUUUCUUGUUUCAGAAUGUCCUAUUCCAUGUUGAACCACGAGGGUUUGAGAGGAUUUUACAGAGGAUUUGGCACAUCCCUGAUGGGAACAAUCCCGGCUCGGGCCCUUUACAUGGCUGCCCUUGAAGUCACUAAGAGUAAUGUAGGAGCAGCAACUCUGAGAAUAGGGUUUUCCGAAACAACUGCAGCAGCUAUCGCUAAUGCUGCUGCAGGGUUGAGUUCAGCCAUGGCCGCCCAGCUUGUUUGGACUCCAAUUGAUGUAGUGAGCCAAAGGCUUAUGGUUCAAGGCAGUAGCAAAACAAUCAUUCCCAAUGUUAAUGCAUAUAAGUAUCGUGGUGGCAUCGAUGCAUUCAGCAAAAUUCUGUAUUCUGAUGGACUGCGAGGCCUAUACAGGGGGUUCGGGAUUUCGAUAUUGACUUACGCUCCAUCAAAUGCAGUUUGGUGGAGUACUUACUCUAUAGCUCAUAGGCUCAUCUGGAGUGGGAUUGGAUGCUAUUCCAGUAAUAAAGAUGAGAAUGGUGGAGUCAUAGGUUCCAGUUUUAGGCCGGAUUCAAAGAGCAUGGUGGCAGUUCAGGGGUUGAGCGCCGCCAUGGCCAGUGGGGUUUCAGCUUUAAUCACCAUGCCACUUGAUACAAUUAAGACGAGAUUGCAGGUUUUGGAUGGAGAAGAAGGUGGAUGUCGAUCGCCAACCAUUGGUCAGACAAUUAAGAAUUUGAUGAAGGAAGGUGGACUUGGAGCUUGUUACAGAGGAUUGGGGCCGAGGUGGGCUUCAAUGUCGAUGUCUGCAACAACCAUGAUCACUACCUAUGAGUUCCUGAAAAGGCUAUCUACUAAGAACCAAUAGAGCUUGACCUCAGAAGCAGUAAGAAGAAAUGAAAAAACAGAUAUAGAAUUGUUGUUUGGAAUCCCUGUAAUCUGAUUAAUGUGUAAUUUACCUUACUUUUCUUGUUAUGUUGAAUAUCAUUGCAUAUCCAUGUAUAGCAAUAAUGGCCUUUUAGUUCUUUACCUUAGAACAUUAACUUCCUCUUUUUAUCAGUAUCUGCAACUCCAUAAACAGAUAAAUCCGUAAAUGAAGUUUCAGGGGAUUUAGCUGGCUGUGAAGGUUGUAAUGGGGUAGUAAUGGGUAUGGCAGAUUUCACAUAGCUUCAAUUUAUUUGUUGUGUGAGGCACUGAUAUCUUCCACUUUUAUGACUUCCUCUUGAGAAAAUGAAAAAUUAAAGAAUGAAAACUGCGAGAGGGCGAGGAUGGCUUUUGACUCUUGCCCCACAGCGUGAUGAAGAGACUGCAUAGGAUCAUAUUUAGCUUACCUGCACGAUUCUCCCCAUCACAUCCUUUUUUUAGUGGAAAGAUUCAUUAAAAUGUAAAUAAUCUCAUGAUCUCAACUACUAAACAUUGCGCACGGCACCUCGAUUAAAAAUAAUCUUUCUCGGCCUUUUGGUUGAAGAUCAAGAGUCAGAACCCUUUCUUUUAAAAAAAUAAUAAUAAUAAAAGGGUUGGGGGGAAGGGGAAAAUUAUGGUAUCUCGGGAAUUUUGUUGUAAGUGGAAAGGUUUACAAGUCACCACAACCCGCUUUUUGCAGAAAUGGAUAUCGGGUGGGAGAACCUGUGGCAGACAGUGGCAGAAAAUGAUGAAUAAUGAUUCAUAUGUGAAAGGGAUGAGCAUUUGUUUCUGUAUUGGAUCAGAGACGAGGCAAAACCAUGGGCUGGAAUGAAAACCCAUUUGCCAAUUUGAAUUCCAUGGACCACCCAGCCACCAGUAAGAACAUAUACCUGAGUUUCUGUCCGAAUUUUCCAAUACCGUCCACAAAAGUUAUGUUUCUGCUGGCGUGAUGGGUUUAUUCAUGGCAUAUUGGUAACCACCAUUUACAAUCUCACUUCACGAAAACACCACCACCCAUAUAUACAGACCCAAAAAGCCUGGAAAAAAUGAUAAGAAAAUCUUGGGCGUCUGGGACCAGGAGAAACCUCAAUCACAAUCAUGUUAAUUAAAAAUUGCAUUUUUCACAAUCCCCAAAUAUACCUAGAUAAGAUUUGAGACCCAGUAUCAGACGACUGUUGGAUGGAUGACCCUUCAUGACAUGGGGGUCCAAGUCAAUUUUGUAAAUACAUUGCCAGUGGAUGUCCUUAAUUUACUUAGUUUUCAGGUGGUGCUUUCCCAAUGGGACAGCAACCAAAGACUAGGGGCAGGCUAAACGAGGAAACCGAGUGUGGCCAUUGAGAAUAUAAAAAAUUACUUAUAUGGACCCAGCCAACACUGGCUGAAGUGAGGAUGGAGUGGGAUAUGUUUUCCAAGUUCAUUGUUGGCCAUGAUUUGAUGCGUAGGACCACUCUUGCCUAGAGAGUGUGGCAAGUCUAGAAUCAUUCAAAAAUUCGUAGCUCUGGGUUUCCACCCAGGCACAAUUAAAUGCAUAAAAGGGUACAUCAUAUGAAAGGGUUGCUAUCUACCAAUCCUCCUAGAUUGUGAAAGCAUAGAAACGAUGUAAAAGAAAAUAAGGAAAAGAGACAAAACCAGUACAGGCGAACCUAUUCAAACCAUUCAAAGGAUGAUAUGCUGAGAAAACAUUUGAUUGCAUACUGAAGAGUCAUGGGCUCCUUGUCAUGGACUCUGAAUAUCAGCACACAACCUUAAUAGUGAAUUGGGUACAAGUCGUAUCAUUUAUGCAUUUUCCUCUUUUUUUUUUUCCAUUAAAAUCAUUGAUCUAUGUUCAUGCAAACAAAAACAGGGGAGCAGAGCAACAAUCAGAUAAUAUAAGAUAAACAUCAGCUUAAUUCCGAACUGAAACACAAGUAGAGCCUAUAAAUACAGGUGAAAUCAAGCAAACAUAAAACAAGUCUCUCCACCAUGGCAGGGGGAAAUGACUCCCCACCUGAGUGUAUGAUCUAGAAUCAAGUGAACUGCAUGUUUGCUACCUACACAUAAUAUCCAUGACAAUUGCUAGAAUAAAAGGACACAUUGUCAUUGCAGGAGACAAGGAACAAACCUAACCUACUAGACAGUUAGCAAAAUCCACCAUCCAAGAAUACAGAGGAAGAGCCCACCUACCCAGUAACUAUCACGCUCGUGCUCUCUUGUUGCUGCAUGAUGGACAUUUGUACUGCUUAAUAUGCUCAGCCCUUGCAGGAGUGAUCUUGACACACUUUCCAUGGAACCAUUUCUCACAGACAUCACAGCAGAUCCAGAACUCAUCAGAUGCAUAAUUCUCUCCACAUGCCCCACACAGUGUCUCCCCAUGUUCCUCUUCUUCUUCCUCCUCUAAACCUUCCUCAUCUUCAUCCUUUGCUUGCAAUGGCUUUGAAUAUUUACCCUGAGAUUCUGAGCCACGCUGGUUUUGCCACCAAACAAAAGAAAAUAAUAAAAUAGCAUCCAAGCAAAUUUAUGGAAACAACCAUAGGUAAUAAUUCCAUGCAUCAAUUCAGUAAUAAGUAUACACAAUACUAAGAAGAUUCACAGUAGAGAAUUAUAAGCAAAGAAACAAAUUAUCUGCUUUCAAUUUGCACAAAUUUCCUUGCACCUAAUCACUCCACAAAACAACAACCCUCCUGUCUUAAGGUUUGGAGAAAUUCUAUAACUCCCCAAGGCACAAUGAUUUCUGGGUUGAAUGCUAUUGUAAGUAGCAGUGAUGAACUAUUCAUUCAAGAAAAAAGGAAAUAAAGAAUAUUACUGCCAAUCUAUUAACAAGGCGAUGCUGGGCACCAUAACAUAUCAAGAAUCCAUGGUUUAUUAGUGGUCAAAGUUGUUUGCCACAAAGUGGCCUCUUUAUAAUUUUCGUAAGAUAUGUACCAGCAUAGCAGCACUAACCUAAAUGAUGCCAAGAGAAUACCAAUAUCACUCAACCAGGGCUUUUGAUUUUUACAAUGGGGUUAGGGAAAUAGAAGUCCUUCCCUACCUUAGAGUUUGAUUUUGAUUUGUUGCUGCUGUGAUUUGAGACUGAUGACUUUUCCUUAACUUGUUUCUUGGCUGUUCCCGUUACAACCUCAAAUAUUGUUGGAAGAUCAUUUAUCAUGUUAAAAAGGCGUUUCCUGCAACAAGAAUACCCGCAAGAAAUCACAGUCAGUAAAUGAAACCAUAUAAUACAACAUCAAUAGACAACAAAAAUACAUAGCAAAUUGCAAGCACACCAUGUUUUAGCCAGAGUUAGCAAACUUCAGAGCCAAACAAUGGAAGCAACAGUCUUGUGCUCCCUAUCAUGAAACCCACAGUGAGGAUACCCCCAAACCCCCUCCCCACUUCUUUCUUCUUUCUCCCUUUUGCCUUUAACUUGCUGAAAUACAUUGUUUCUGUUGACAAUGUACAACUGCAGCAAGCUUGACCAGAAAUAUAUUAAAGAAAUAUACCCAUUUUACUAUUCACAAGUUAAAUGGGAGAGACUUGGAUUCAUUCAUAAACAGAAAUGAAGUAUCCAUUCAUAAGAGACAUGGAAGACAAAAAAAAUUGAUCAAUCAGAAAGAGCAAAGGAAUUAAUGACACAUGUUCAAUGCCACAUAAACAUAAGACAAACAUAGAACUCAGGUCCAAGCACUUCCAUAUUGAAGAAUGAGAUCAAAAGGCAAGGCUCCACCCCAUGGGCUUCUAAACGACAUGCAUGCCCAAAUAUCACAAACACACUAAUACUACACUAUCUAAAGCAUGUUUACUCCAUAAUCCAUUUCACUAUACACAUAUUCCUCCAUUCCCCUUCCUAUUUGCCAUGAAAUGGGCAGAGACUGUAUGCUUGAAGAAUAUCCAUGAAGGAAUUUAUAACAUAAAUAGUAAAGAAUAGUGAGAAUAACCCAGCUAAUGAAUAGCAUAGGUUAGUCAAAAAGCAUACCACUAAGAUCAAAAAUAGGAAAUAAUAUCCCUCCAGGCUCAGUUGUGUUACAGGGUCAAAUAAAGCAUCAUUUCUAGGGUAAAGAAGAGCAUACCUGUCAGCUUUAUCAAAUCCAAAUCUAGCACCAAAAUAAAAGGCCACAGCAAGUAACCAUGCAUCACUGUGGACAGCGACCAAAGAUAACCAAUCCUUUUCUUGCAUCCCAUCUCUGGCAAAAUUAAUACCUAGUGCAGGCUCAGGAAGCUCUGGAGGCACCUCUUCGGCAGGUAAAUUGACUUCCCACUGCUCACUGGGAAAUCCAUAAAGGCAUAGGUUUUCCUUGUCUGUGGUUAAAAAAAAUAAUUUUAAAAAUGUACAUAAAUUUAAUAAUUUCAUUCAUGUUUGAAGAAAAUACUUCAGGCUCAAAUUUGAAAUUUUAGCUAAAAUGCUAUGGAUGUAAACAAUAAAUAAUGUGUUUAAGUAUUUUAAUGUAUAACAUGCCCUUUGGAACAAAUUAACGUGCUUGCACUGUUACAUGCAUUAUAUUAAAAGACAGAUAUAAGUACAUUUUUUUAUAGACAAAAGAUAUAAGUACAUACCAUCCCAAAAAAAAGUAAAUAAAUAAAAACAGGAAAAAGGAUAACAAAAUUUAGAUAGACAUUUGGAGUACUAUUUUCCAUGUAUGAAUUGCACCCAAAAAAACACAGAAGGAAGAAGGAAUAGAAAAUCCAUAACAUUCCUUUGGGUAUAAAAAUGAAUUAACAUCAAUAUAUGUUAAAAAUACUACCAAUAAGAGCCCUAAGCCAGUAGUUGAACUACAAAUGUGGAUCUAAGAAAGUUGGUCAGACAGAAAUAGCAAACAAAAAGGCUAAGCAAUUUAUGCAUAAAAUGGAGUUUAAGAGAAAAGCCUGGUAAAGUUGUUUACUAUCAAGUCCAUUUUAAGCCUUUUGGGAAGCUCUUCUUCAAAUUUCCUUCCAGCCUACCAAAAGUGUCCAAGACUCAACCAUGAGAAAAAUCUCCAACUCCAAAAGAACAAGAACAAAAUGGUUUCCAUAGAGUCCCAAAUUAAUCCUCCAAAUCUGAGUUUUCCCAAAUUUGAAAACACAAUCACUCAAUUUAAAACUUAAAAUACUUGGAUCUAAUGAAAUGCUAAGCAGUAGCAGUCACACAAGAUAAUAAGCAUGGAAACAAUCACAUAUCAAUUCCUAAGAAAAUGAUAUAUAGUGAUUCCUCUAUCAAGAAGCAGUUUUUUUUUUUUUUUUUUUGAAUAAACGGGAUGACAAAUUGGGUUCAUGUUGCAAGUUCUUGAACCAGCCCAACCCAAUCCAACUGAACCCCAACAAAACCAAAUAAUUUCCAGUUCUAACCCUAUUGGAGAGAAGGCAUAAAAAGCAAACAAAGUAGCAAGAGUAGAGAAAGCUAUAGUCUCCUACAGGUCAUUUCUUUCAUAAAACCCGAAUACUUCCUAUAACAAAUAGGGAAAUUUGGUUGCGUGCAGCUAGCAAAUGAGGUCAACCAAAACCCUUUUAAAACAUUAAAGAGCAGCCAAUUACAUCAUGCAGGAAGAAAGUUUCUUUGUUUAUCCUUGGCACGUAUUUAGCACUAAAUUAUUUUCAACAACGCCCCUUUUGGUCAAUUUUAGAGCUUACUUUAAAUCCAGCCCAAAUAAUACAGACACUAAAAAGAAACAAGAUUGAAGAGUAUCGGAGAUGACAAGAAAAACAGUACUUCAAAGCGAAAAACAAUCUAACUAGCUAGAAAACCCUCCACAUGCAUACGAAAUUGGAUUAAACUUAUAAUCCCCGAUGUAUAUUUCACCAAAAAGGAAAAAACAAAAAUCCGUGUUUGGUUCCACAGCAAACAUAGUGAACGAAAAUGACACAAAAAGAUUUAGCUGUUUCGGUUUCUUGUUUUUUUUCUCCAGGAGUCGCAAACAACCAAAAUUCCCACAUUUUCUCAGCAACCAAGCAGAACAACACAAAAUCCCAUAUCAUAAGAUCGAUAAUAACAGAAACAGAAACCCUAACCCGGAUCGCACUGCUGAUAAAAUUCUUCAACAUCUGCAACGACCAAACAAAGCCCACAUUCAAACCUCAAAAAAUAAAAUAAAAAACCAAAAUUUGAAAAGGAUAAAAAAAAAAUUAAGUACCAGUGGUGAGGGCUUUUAUCAUGCCAGCUCUUCGACCCUUGAAGUCCCUAAAGACCUCCUCGACUGUACGAGGGUUGUAUGGUGGACCUCCGUCCAUGCCUCCUCUGCUAUCAGCACAAAGCGUAGAGACUUGCGGAGCAGACUGUAGAGAGAGUGUGAUGGAGUGUGGUGGUAGAGAGAGAAAGCGAGGAGGGAAAGUUGGGGAAAUAUUUGACCUCUGAAAGAGGAGAGAGAGUUUAGAGAGAGAAAGAGACACUGCGGAUUUGAAUCGGAUUGAAAUUGGGGGGAUUCAACUGGAUUUAAUAAAUGUGGGAAGAGUCCGGGAACUAUUUGAUAUUUUGAUUAUUUUCGCCUAUUUUGGGCUGACGAAAAACCCUAAAACAGGCUAAAUUAUUUAAAACGAGGGAGUGGUUCAGAUCUUGCCACAUCGUCCAAAGCUUUUCCAAAGUCAGAGGCUCUGACGUGGCGAGAUCUGGAUGCGGUGCUGCAAGUAACUUACUCUGUGCUUACCACACGCAGGCUUUUCCCUUUGAAGAGGUGUCCGUGACAAUUCAAAAUUGAAACUAAAGUUUUUGGAACUCCUUUUGUAUCUUAUAUAUAAGUUAAUGUAGAUAUCUUUCUACGUAAUUUAAAUUUGCUAUAUAUAAUUUUUUUUCCAUUGUUUGUUUUUUUAUUGCAUAUAAAAAAACUAAAAUAUUUUAUUUAAAAAUAAUUUAUUGAUAUUAACCAUAUAAAUUCAUUAUCAAUUUAAUUAUAUUGAUUAAUAUCAACAUAUUAUUUUUAAUGAAAUAAAAAAUACCAAAAAUAUCAAGUAAAAAUCAAACAAUUCAUGACAUAUUCUAUUAUAUAUGAAGAAAUAAAGUAAUUUCAGAUACGGAUAUCUUGAAAAAAAAUUUUCUAAGCUUAUGAGAAAGGGGAAUUAAUUAUUGCCUAGGAAAAACAAAUUUUUAAUGUAAUAUUUUUUUAUAUAUAUAAGAAAAAAAUGUGUUUUUGUGCACACUUUUGAAAAAAGAAAAAGAAAAUAGAAUUUAGAAGAUUUAAAUUUAAUAUGUUCAAUUCAAAAUAAUUAGGAUUCGAUUUAUUGGUAUAGGUAUUACUUUUUACUUAAGAUUGGGUUACUAAAUUCGAUAUGAAAAAUAAAAUUUUAAUUAUUUUAUUGGAUUCUUCUUGUCAUUUUCAUUAUUAAGCUACUUCAAUAAAAUUAUCCAUAAAUAAGCUCUUAUAAAAUAAAAUAAAAUUAAGGUUUUGAUUUCUUAUGAGUGAAUCUAAUCUAAGCUGUCCUAAGAGUUUUCAGUUGAUUAGAGCUCGACCUAGCCAAUGUCACUUCACUAUUUACUGAAAAAAGUUUCUCUGGUUGGAUUCUACAAGCAUAUAUGUUUACUCAAUCAUGAAUUGAACAGCAAACAGCCAAGGGUUCAUAAUGAAAAAGAACAAUGCAAAGCUUCAAUCUCCUCAAAAUGGAAAAAUAACAUGAAGUUUUUAUGUUAGAAUAUUUUCCAUUCAUGUACUAUGUCAAAAAAGGUUAGCCAACAAGCAUGAACCAAUAAAAAGACGGGAAUCAAAGGCAAUUGUGAAACCAUACUGGCUAGCUGAUCCACUCCAUUGAAUGAUUCCAAUUGUUGUUUUGAUCCAAUCCUUACCAUGUUCAUCUAUCAUUGGAUGAUGAAAGCAUGCCACUGGGCUCCAUUUUCGGUCUCCCCCACCUUGCAUCUUAUCCAGCUGAUGAAUACCACAUUGCUGUUGGAGAUUCUCUUGAAGCCACGGCAAUUUCUGAUUGAUGGGUGGCUUGUUCUUGUUGGGGCAUGGCUUGGAUUGCUCUUGUGAUGAGACCUGCAUAUUCCAUGGGAUUAAUGGGGGAAUGAAUCUUUAUCCCAUCUGCCCUAUGUAGGGUAAUGUGAAGUUUGUGAACAGCUUUUUGUCUUUGUCCAUAGGAUUCCAGAGCAUUUUUCUGCAAUGACAUGGAUAGGGUAUAUGUUCUGCAUAAAUCAGGACGAGCCAAAAGGUGGUGCCCUCCCAUCAUCACUCAAUUAUUACUUCAAAGAGAAUAUUCGUGGUAAGGGAAGAAAACCAAACCUUUGACAACCAAGAUACAUGCCUUGUUCAAGAAUGCAAACCUUCUAAUACUAUUUGCCAGUGGUCUGCUCUUCCCUAAAGUUUCCAAUCUUAAAAACAAACUUCUUGAGAUAUUCCUUGAUGAGAAAAAACAGUUGUCCCAAUUCAACCUUGGUUCAAUUGGAAUGAAGUUGAACUCCAAUUUCUAACCCUGGGAGGUCAAGGGAUCAAAAGGUUUUUCAUAGGAAUCAAUCCACUAUUGUUUUCAUCCUCCAAAACCCCUCCCAUCUGUUCCAUUACAGCCUAGCUGGCCUCCUUGUAUUCCCAUACUUUGCUGAUGUUCCCUCCGUCCAUUCCCCAAAUUUUUACACAAAUGCUCAUCUAAAAUCCUUCUGUAUUUAUGGAUAUCAAUUCCAGGGCAUCUCCUAGACAUCUCCUCAAAAAACUUCUCAACCUCAAAUGCCUUCUCCUUUGCUGACAACCCCUUGACAAAAGCCAAAAAGCUCUCAAGAUUUAUCACGUAACCCAUAUCCAGCAUUUCACAAAAAAGCCUCAUUGCCAUAUCUGCAUUUCCAUCCUCACAAUACCCCUUAACCAACCAACUAUACAUGGAGGCAUCAAGAUGAUGACCAUUUCGGCACAUGUCAUCAACAAACUCUUCGACUUCAUGCAUCCUACCUUUAGCUUUACAAAGACCAUCUAUCACUGUACUAUAUGAUAAGAAGUUUGGAGUGCAACCCAAUUGUUUCAUCUGCCUCAGUAUAAGACCAGCUUUAUCGGUCUUCCCGGACUCCACAAGAAUCCUAAACACUGCAUUAAAACUAGAAACACUUGGAUUAAUGCCUCUACUCUUCAUUUCCUUUAGAAGUGAAAUUGCGUCAUCUGCUUUCCCUAUUUUGCAAUACUCGUUUACAACGACCCCAUAUGCUUUUGCAUCGGCUUCCAUUCCAAGACCAACCAUCUCCUUGAGAUGUCUAGCCGCGUCAUCUAACUUUCCCACAACACAAAGACCCUUCAGUAUACUUGUAUGUGUAGCAACAUUAUCCUUCAGACCAUUUAAUCUCAUCCUUGUCAUCAUUCUUUUUGCUUCAUCAACAUUUCCAUUCAAACACAAACCAUAGAUUAUAGCAUUGUAUGUCAACACAUUUGGUUCACAAUUCCGACUGACCAUCUCUUCCAUAUACUUCAUAGCUUCUUCCAAUUCACCUCUUUUACAAUAUCCAUCAAUUAAAGUAGUAUAAGUCACAGUGUCAGGCAUACAAUCCUCAGUCUCCGUCAUCUGAUCCACAAUUUUCAUUGCACUCUCCAUUAAACCCUUUUUACAGAACCCAUUAAUCAUGGUAUUGUAAGUAACCAAAUUUGGCUUGCAACCCAUUUCAUCGAACACAUUCUUCGCAUUUUCAAUCAUGCCCAUUUUACAAUACCCUCUAAUGAUCGUUGUAUAAGUGGAAACAUCAGGUUUAACCACGCCCUCCUUCACAAUUUGAUCAAAAACCGCCCUCGCUAGCAUAAUUCGGUUCGCUUUCACAAAAACCCCUAAAAUGGCAUUAUAAGAGAACAAACACCGACCCGAUUCCAUCUUUUUCGCGCGAUGAAACCAAUGAAUUGCCCCACGAAUAUCACCGCGAUCGCCAUAGGCUUUGACAAACUUAGCCGCAGCAAAAUCAGAGAGUCUGUGAUGAGAUUGAAGGAGUGACGAUGCUGUGGAGAAGAGGCCGUGAGAGAUGAGAAGAUCAGUGAUGGCAACGUAACAGAGGUGGGAAUGGGAGUAGUUAUUAGGGUUAGGGUUAGGGUUUGAGGCCCAGUUGAAGAAGAAAAGGGCAUGGUAAGGGUUUUUUUGGCUCUUUAUCACUUGGAUCACAAGACUAGGGUUUAGAAACGGAGCGAAUUGGGAGAGAGGGGAGAUGGAAGUUGGGGAAUUAGGUGUAGGGUUUUGGGGGUUUAGGGUCUGGAGAAACGAGGUUAUGGAGGACGCUGUGGAGAGGAGUUGAGCAAUGUGAGAGGCGAGAGGCGAGGCGUGAGUGUUGGCUAGGGUUCGAGCCGCCAUUGAUGGCGGUGAUGGAGAUCGGUUACAGAGGACUUCGCCGCUGUGGCAGCACAGAUGAUCUUGGCCAUCGAGUCUCUGUGCUGUCCAGUUGAAUCUGGACCGUCCGUGGAUGGGAAUGCAUUGAAACGACGUCGUUACUGGAUCAAGGCCUUCCUUCACCAUAAGAAGGGACGUCGCUUUGAUAUGGCCAUCUUUCCUCCGUCCGAAAAAACGGCAUCGUUUUGGUCUGAGUGUAAAACAAAAUGAACAAUGUAUGGUUCGCCUUUUCUCCCUUAUUUAUAUUUGAGUUAUUUGAUUAAAAGGUUCAUGGUAAGAACCUAAAUUUUUAAAUUUAAUUCUUUAUUUAUUUUUAUUUAUUUUUUAUAAAAAUGUCAUUAUUAUUUUCUUAUAAAAACAAUCUUCUUUUUAAAAAUCUACAUGUGAAUACUUAAAAUGGUAAAGAACCCUAUAUAAAAAAUAUAUUAUUUUUGAAGAAAAAAAUAUGAGAAUGAUUAGAUUCAUAAUUUAUGAAUUAUUUUAUCUCUUUUAAUAAAAUAUUUCUUUAUAUUUUACUCAGGCCCUUGCGGUUCAAUCAAAUCCAAACUGAGUUUGGAUUGACAAAAACAAUUUAAUUUACAAUUUGGCUAAGCUUGAAAAAAAUAUAUAUUAAUCCGUACAAAAUUCAUAUUGAACUUGAAUUGGGGCUCCAUUAUUCAUGUAACAUUUGAAUCAUGUUAUACUCAAAAUCCUAAAUCUACUAAAUGUAUUUUUUCCGUAACUUUUGAUUGUGAGAUAGUUUUAUAGUUAUGUAUUUUGAUUAAGUGACUGUUACAUGCUUCUUGAAUCAUUUACUGUAAUUCUAUUAAAAUAUUAGACUUGGUUCCUGAAAAAAUUUAAAGGAAAAUAAAUAAAUAAAUUUAAGAUUUAUAUAUUAUUUUAAAUUCAUUUCACUUAUUUUAAUUUUUUAAGAUAAAUAUUAAAAUAUUUAAAAAUAUAUAAAAUUUUAAUUAUAUUUCAUUUUUUAUGGGACAACCAAAGAUAAGAAGAAUCAUUUUUCUUAAUAUUCUUUUAUUUUCUUAGUAUUUUUUGGGACCAAACAUAAUGGAUAUGUUUCAUGAUUUUUUUUUAAAAAAAGAAUAGAAAAUAGGUUCAUGUUUCACAAACUUUUAAGAAAAAAUAAAAUUUUGAAAUUUUUUUAUUGAAAACAAAUCAUUGUUUAAAACAAUUUUUAUGACUUUAAGCAACUUUUUUGUUUUUCAUAUUUAUUUAUUUUAGCUUGUUAUGAGUGUUUUGUUUCCCCUCAAAAACAGUCAUAUGCCCAAAUCGUUCUCUCUCCAUGUUUUCCCCUCCUUUUCUUUUGGUCUAACAACUCUCACCAUAAGGCAUAUAUCCCAUGCUUGUGAAAACCUGCACAAGGAGAUUUCAUGAAUCAAUAAUUACAGGGUGUCUCACAUGCCUUAACAACAAAUGAGCCCAAAACUGUAUUUUACAAGCUGUAGUCUCCCCUGUCGUACAUGAAUUAUUAUCUACUUAAUCCUCCCUGUCCAAAAAGCCCAAGCUGUUCAUUGCUGUACCGGGUUUGUCACAGCGGUGGCAUGGAAUAGUACUCGCUUGGAGGCCGAAGCUUUGCCGCCCCAGUUGCUUGAGGCGCUUGUGCAAAUGUCUGGUUAGGCCAGGCCAUGACUUGGAGAUGUACGUUUUCCAUUUGAUCCAUCAUUGAGUUGAGCGUGUCCUUAAUUUCGCUAUGAUCACAGCAGCUGAUGAGGCCUGCAGAGCUGACAGUCGAAGGCAAGAGACUCCUCCCUUCUAAUCUAGCUAUCACUACUAAACUCCGAGUUUUAUUCGCCUCCUCCCACAGCUGCCCAAGCCCGGCACGGUCUGCAGCUGAGCCUCUAGUUACUGAGAAGACGCAGAUCAAGCCCUGUUCGGAUGGACGAGUGUAAAAAGACAGAAUUCAGAUGCGGGUAUGUGAUGUUUUUGAGUUAAUGUUACCUCAUCAGUUCGUUUGAUGUUCAUUCCGAAUCGGGUUUCUCCUAGUUCUGGUAUCAAUUCAACAGGGACUUCUGCUACUCCUGGUAGAUACCAUAGCCUUAUGCCUUGUACAAUUUGGAGAGUGGUGCCAGAGUUUGUCUGCCUACACCAGCCUAAUUCUCUUCCUGUCGAAUUAGUUUUCUCCUUUGAGAAAAAACUAGGGAAAAUUAGUGGUCAUUGGAAUAAUAAUCUUCCAUUUAAGGUGACAAAGUUCGAUAUGAUUUGUUAAUGCUACUUGAAUUCAACAUGUUUUUCACAUAUUUGGGUUGAGUAUAAUUGGGUUUGAAUCACAUUCAUGUCAACCUGUGCAACCCGUUUAAUAAAUAGAUAUUUUUUAAGCAAUUUACAUAACAUGAAUUUAUUCAUGUUGAUUAAUCUUAUUUUAAUUUUAAAGUAUAUAACCUAUAUUUAACUUAUUCUAAAUUUGUUUUAAAAUAAGUCAAUUAAGUCAUAAAUAUAUCGAUAAAACAUUAAUCAUUUAUGCAAAACAUAACUAAAUAUGAUUAUUAAAUAGGACUACUAAUAUAAAGUGUUAUUUAAUAAUAAGAUAGUAUUUGGGUUUAUGUUUUUAAAGUCAUUAUUACUUUCAUUGGGUUUGCAUUGACAUAUGUAGUAAAACACCUAGGUUUCGACCCGAUCCAUUUAGCACAAGGGACAAGGAAGAAGGAAGAAGAGGAGUACCGAUGUUAAAAUCUGUUCUGUUUGGAUAUUGACAAAGAUGAGAGGAGCCCCAGAAGAAACUGCAGCUGAGAACCAGGCCAUGGACCUGGCAGUAGUGGCUUCAACACUGUUCUCCCCCACUAGAGGCAUGAAAAGAAUGGAGCUAACAACCGUUGAUCUCGGGAGUGGCAGGAAGGUUCCCACCUUCAUCUUCCAAUCAUAAUUCACUCCCUUCUGGUUGAAUACCCUGUAGUCCAUGUUCACCACUCUCCUGCUCAUCUCUGCAGGAUCAAAUAAAAGAAAACCAUUACAGAAUUUCCUUAUAUGAACUCUGUUUCGUUGAUCUUUUCAUAAUCUUUGAUCUCCUGUGGACCUACCCUGCAGUUCAGUGCAUUGAUCCAAGGUAAGGUCCCCUAGAACAGCAACAUGACGCUCAUCAGAGGCGGCUCGAAUUGUAAACCUUCUUGACAGUUUGGAACACUUAUCAGUCACUACACAUGCCCUUAGUUUAAGAGUGCUAUCUCCCCUUCUAAUCUUCACCCAAAUGGCCUCAACUUGUUGACUAAUUUUCCCGAGCUGCGAACUGAAUUCUGACCUUGCAUUGAUUGGUACAAACAGUUCAUCAUCAUCCUUGUCCUCCAUUGCAAACCCUUUAAUGAUGUCCCCAGGCAAUGGCAUGUACUCAUUCCAUUCGUGGGAGGCCUCUUGCUUCACCUGCUUGACACAAACCAGUGUCUGGACGCUGCCCAUUUCCUUCUUCCUGAACAUACGACAGUACUUCUCCAUUCAACUCAUCAGCUCAUAUUCUAGGAUGAAAGGUUUGGUGGAAGUUUAGACUCAUGCUAGUAUGCGGAUGUUUCAAGGGAUGUCAAUUUUUAGUUUUAGUUCUCUUCGUCCAGAUCAUUGUGAUAGGAUUUCCCACGCCAGUUGAUUGUGAUAUAUUGUCUUCUUGUCUAUAUCAGUACUAUGAUAAAGGCAAAAUGGCCGGCUUUCCGGCUUCAACUGUGAAUUUUUCUAUGGAUCUAUGAGAAUAGACUCAGAUUCCAUUUCAAAGGCCUCAAUCAAAUUGAUCAAGACUACAGUGUUAUGGGGAAAUUUCAUUAAUUUUCUUGAAGAUACAGAUAGAAUAUUGUUGAUUUCAAUUUUUUUUUCCCAUGAAAAAUGAUGAAUUUUAUUAGUACUGAAAAAACAAAACUGAUCAAGACUGCACCCAUGAAAAAUGAUGAAUUUUAUUAGUAUUGAAAAAACCAAACUGAUCAAGACUGCAGUAUCAAGGGGAAUUUUUCUUGAAGGUACAGGUGGAAUAUUGUUGAAUUCAGAAUUUUUUUUCCCAUGAAAAAUAAUGAAUUGUAUUAGAAUUGGGAAAACCAAACUGAUCAAGACUGCAGUGACAUGAAGAAAUUUCAUUAAUUUUCUUGAAGAUAUAGAUAGAAUAUUGUUCAUUUCCAUUUUUUUUCCCAUGAAUGAUGAAUUUUAUUAGUAUUGGAAAAACCAAACUGACCAAGGCUGCAUGCAGUGUCAUGUGGAAAUUUCAUUAAUUUUCUUGAAGAUACAGAUAGAAUAUUGUCAAUCUCCAAAUUUUCCCAUAAAAAAUGGGGGAUUUAUUAGUAUUGAAAACACUUACAAAGAAUCAGAACACCACUUUAAGCUAACCACAUCAAUUAUCAUGAUCAGAAUAUCGUGGUAUAGGAAUGGCAAUUCCUCCACAAGCAUUGGUCAUCUCCUGUUUCAGCCUCUCCAUCUCAGCUUGAGCGCGUGCCCUUUCUGCUGCAUCCUUUGACCUUAAACUUGGCUUCAAUCUCACCAUCUGCCUUUGUAUGCUUUUGACCUAUAUACAAAAACAUCAAUCAAUAUCACCAAGAAAAAUCAGAAGAAAAUAAAUUCGAAAAAGGGGAAAGAGAAUGAGACCUUUCUAUAAGGCCAUCGAUCCACUCCAUGUUUGCGGCAUAUCUUCUUCACAACAGUAGGGCAUAUGUUCAAUCCCUCAGCUGCCUUGUCUAUGGGAAGAUGAAAAUACCGUGUGAAGUCAUAUAUAGUUAACUUUCCUGUUCUCUCCCUCUGCACCAUUCUUCAUUGUAAUACAAAGCAACUAAAUAAGUAAAAUUAAAACAAAAAAUAAUAUAAAUGAGUGAAAAGAGUCACCACAACCUGUGCUGCAAGGGGGAUUUUCUGAGUUCUCUCUGAGCGAUUCUCUUCGGUCUCUGGGUGAUUUAUUUGACAUCCUCCUGUUUGAAAACUAAGUAUAUUAAAGCUUAUACUGUACAAUAUAACAAAGACUAGUGUUUUUGUUUUUGUUUUUUUGAAGCACACUGACCAGAGUGCGAUGGAGACCGUUGGAAAAACUCAUCAGCAUUCAUAGAUUCUUCGUAGUCCAAUCCAACGCAGAUGGCUUCAUAAAAUAGGGAGAGUGGAUCCUGCAGCAUAGCGAACCCGGCCUGUCGACGUUCCUUGCAGUAUUGCUGCAGAAACUGCUUCACACCCUCUAUGCUUUUCUUGCAGAAACUGCUUGAAACAGUUUAUGAAAUUUACAUACAGAAUGGUAAUGGGAUUAUUAGAACCCUUAGAUUUAGAAAAUAAAAAAUAAAAAUUGCAUUUCAUUGAAUAACUGCAAGAACUUACUCAAACAUAUGAUGAUCUGGAGGGAUUCCAUCGACGGCACAGUAGUGACUUUCGAGAACAGCAUGACUGAUCAGUCCGGGUCUUCCAUGAACCUCAAGCUUUGUAGUAUACGUACCUAACAUAAUACCCACAAAAAUUGAUAGAACAGUGAUCCUUUUUUUUCAUUGAAACAAAAAAAUAAUCGGCUUAAUUAAAGUGGAAUAUCUUGAUAUGACAUGAGCAUACCAUUAGUAUGAAUUAUUUCUCUUAGAAUUUGGCAACAACUGCAACCAUAAGGGACCGGUGGCAAAGGCCAGACCGGGAGAGGAAUUGAGUUUUCAAAACUUGGAAUUUGCUGUUGGGACGUUUCGGCUUGGCUGCUUGUUUCGCCAUGGACUUCCAUGGGAGUCAGUUGAGGAUUAUCCCCAUUAGAAUCGUCACACAGUUCCCAAGCAAACGAGUCCUUGAAGGGAUCAAUGGUGUUGUCCGCAAGUUCGUCGCUGGAUUGAGGAAUCAAGUAAGGAUUCGAAUCGGGUUUCACCAAUGAAGGUAUGUCAGAAAGGUUUGGGUUAGGAGGAUCAGAGAAAUUGAGGUCUUCUACUAGUACUAAAGGGAGAUCGAAUGAGAAUGGAUCGUGAUAUGGGACGUCGUCUAAUGGGUCAGUCAUUGAUGAUGGUGGCUGUCAAAUGUAUGUGUGCGGUGGCGGCGAUAGGGUCUCAAGCACCGUGAAAGCACGGUGCUUGAGGGAUUGGAUAUGGGAUUUGAGUCAGAGUGGUGGAGAUAUGGGUAGGAAGAAGAGGGGGAGGGCGGGAAAGGUAGUUUACGACCGUUGUGAGAUUGACGGUUGGUGGUUUUAAAAUGUGAAUUGGGAUCGGUGCAUGGCCCUUUCCAAAACGGCCUUCCUUUAAACGACAUCGUUUUAAUGUAAAAAAAAUUCGAAAAUUUUUUAGGAAAAUAUUUUUGGGAAAUGCAUUUCAAGUUUUGGUACCAGCACGACGUCGCUUAUGAUGUUAUAGUCUCGUAUGAAAUGGAGAAAAUACACGCUGUCGUUUAAAUUAAGUUUCAACUUUCAUGGUUAAAAACUGAAAAACUUAUAGGCAGUAAAACGACGUCGUAUGCUCUUGUUAAGAACAUGCAAUGACGCCAACAUAAACGACGUCGUUUCGAGUUACACGCAAAGACAGACAUAAAAUGACGGUUUUCAGAACGAUAGCAGCAAAACGACAUCCUUCGCGGCAGAUAUUUGACCUGAGGCAGGAAAACGACGCCGUUUGAAUAGAAUGUAAGUACAAUAAAAUGGAGGCCCCAAAUGUGGACGACGUCGUUCAGAUCCCUCUCAUAGAAAGGAGUAACAGAUCAAACCAAAAACGGGGCAAAAAACGACGACGUUUGAUGGGUUGAAACGUCGUCGUUUUCUCAAGAACGACAAUAAUCCCUCCAUCGAAAAUCCUCCAUCGAGAGGGCCUACCAAAUAUGCAGAGAGAGUGAGAUGAAAUCAGCAGCACUAUCAGCACUUCUCUCUUCAACCCUCUCCUACGCAUCACCACCGCAUCUCAACCUCCUCCGUCCUGCCACCGCCGUCCUCUGCCGCUCACUUCUCCCCACCUCCACCCCCAAUCCCUUCCACACUCAACUCCGUACCGCCAAAAUUUCUGCGUCAAUGUCUUCUUCCUUCAAGCCCGAGCAAGCUAGGGUUCCGCCUGCGAUUCCACCACCCACACCUCCUCUCAGCAAAGUAAGAUCACCUCUCGCCCACUGCAAUUUUGUGUUGUGUCUUCUUUUCUAGGUCUUCAAGUUUUGGAUAAUUUGUGAUUUAUUUGUGGGUUUCAGUUCAAGAUUGGUCUGUGCCAAUUGUCUGUGACUGCGGACAAGGAGAGGAACAUUGCUCAUGCUCGAAAGGCGAUUGAGGAGGCUGUUGAAAAGGGUGCUCAGCUUGUUCUCCUGCCCGUGAGUUUUUAACAAUGCCUUGUGUCAUUAUGUAUAGGGGAUUCAUGAUUCACACACUAAUACAUGCGAGCAAUCUAGUGAAUUUUUUGUAGUAGAAUAAAGAAUUGAUAAUGAUUUUGAUUCCAUGGACUUUAUCGAAGAUUGGAGAUUAUACUCUCAACCUCCUCUAUUUCAAUUAUUUUUUCCUCUGUUUGCUUGGCAUUUUGGGAGCACAUUUUCUUGCUUUCUGAGCGAAAUGUGAUUAAGCAAGAGAAAGCCUUCGAAAUGUUUGUGGAAAACAUGGCUAGUUUCCUAACAUGCUGUUUGGUUGCUUGGAAAACCAAAAGAGAUAAGAAAAUCAAAUAUUUAACGUUAUUCUGAUCCUAAGAAAAAAACCUAGCCAAGUGGGAGUGGCACCCAUAUUGUCUGGAAAGUGGAGAUUUACUCUCAAGGAAUAGGUGGUUAUUGUGAAUUUGUGAUAAAAGCUACCUCCCACUCUUUGUGUUGACCUAGGUUGUAAUAUGAUGAUAUCUAUGGCUUGAAUUUGUAAUAUUUCCUUUUACAUAUUUCAGGAAAUAUGGAAUAGUCCUUAUUCAAAUGAUAGCUUCCCAGUUUAUGCUGAGGACAUUGAUGCAGGUAGUGAUGCAUCUCCUUCAACAGCCAUGCUGUCUGAAGUUUCUCAUGCCCUGAAAAUUACUAUUGUUGGUGGCUCUAUACCGGAACGCUGUGGGGAUCAAUUGUACAAUACUUGUUGCGUCUUUGGUAGUGAUGGAAAGUUGAAAGCAAAACACAGGAAGGUAGUUUUCCUACCUGCCAUGCAAUGUGUUACUGUAUAAAAUAUGCCACUCUUAUAUGGACAAAUAUGAAUCUGGCUGGUAGUAUGCUUAGACGCACUUUAUUUUUAUUAUGUCUCAUUAGGUGGUCUCAAGCAUCCAAUUAGUUGCCUUGACCACCCAGCUUGGGUGAUUAGAUGCCACUAAGACAUCUGAUUUUAUCAUGUUAUUUCAUUUUUAUUUGUAUAACUAAUGGUCAGGGUUUGGAAAUUUGAGUUUAAAUCAUCAGAUAAUGACUAUCCAUAUUAACCAACCUGAAGUUGGGCUUAUCAAUAAGCGAGUCUCCCAACAUUGUUCUACCUUGAGUGUGAGGUGUAGAAGUCUAACUUGAAGGCACAGCUUGAAUGUUUUGAACAUCAAACACUAACCUUUUGAGGAUAAUCUCUUUGAUGCUAGUUUAGUGACCAUAGUUUCUGAUAUGUUCUGUGUGGUUGACUACAGAUACACCUUUUUGAUAUCAACAUUCCUGGGAAGAUAACCUUUAUGGAAUCAAAAACUCUUACAGCAGGAGGAAGUCCCACAAUUGUAGACACAGGUCUGAUGUGCUUGCUUGUAAUCUAACUUUUCCCUUGAGGUUCACCUAAGCCUAUAUUUUGCUUUCUGCAUUUAUCAAUCUUUGGGUUUACCUACCAAUUCAUAUGUGCCAUAUUUAGGUGUUGAUGUCCCCUGUGAUUCAUCUCAACUUCUGCAAGUCUUUAUAUGAUGCUUCCAUCUUUUAAUUGCUGUUAUUGUGAUGACCUGGGGUUUCUCUGUUGUCCUUAUGCAUGUUGAAAUGUACUCAAUAAUCAAGUACAUUUUGUAGGGAAAUGGUUUCUUGUUAUGUUUUUAUUAACCUCUGGAUGUUUUACGUUACUUUUCCCUUUUAAAACCGGUACUACUUCAACAACCUAAUAUACAGCAUCAAUCUAGAUCAUAUCAUCUGAUGCAUAACUGGAUGAUCAAAUAACUCCUUGCAGAUUCUUCUGCUUGACAAUUUCUGCUGUAACAACAUGGUGGAUUGUGGUAUUUACUUUUCUCACAAUAUGAAAUAACCAUCAACUUGUUCCUGCAGAAGUCGGGCGUAUUGGAAUAGGUAUCUGUUAUGACAUUCGGUUUUCAGAACUGGCCAUGUUGUAUGCAGCAAGAGGUUUAUUUUUCCCUUACAUUGACUUGUGAACUUGUUAAUUUGUGUUAACAUUUGGCUUUUGUCUGCCCAUUGUUAAUUGCCAAUGGCUGUGCAGCUUGAUAUAGGUAUAUAUGUUAAAAUGUGAAGAUUGUUUUUACUUGUUGUCAGAAACAUUCUCUCUCUCUAUCAUGAUGUAUGCAGAAAUUACUGUGCUUUAAUAUCAAAGUCAAUGUUACUUAUAACACCUUUUCGUUAACUCAAAAGCAAAUAUUUAUUUAGAAGAUUCGUGCAGUACUGCACAUGACAAAGGGAAACUGCUGAUGUUUGGUUACAAAGUAGGAAUCUUUAACUCCUCAUUUCCAAAGGUGGCUGCUUUUCAAUUUGUUGAGCCCUCCAUCCAUCUUCCUUUCCAUUUUAUUGGUGAUACUUUUUGAAAGAGGUGUCCAAAGAUGAUCUUAUUGCUAUAUGGUUGUAACAUGUUGUAUGAAUUUUCUAAAUUUAACUUCUCAAGGGGCAGUGGUUCUGGUUUUCUCAUCCUUCUUAGUGUUAAUUUUUGUUCGCUUAGAUCAAAGUUUAUAUGUUUCUUUUGACCUGAUUAGUACUUUUCUCAGUGUAAAAUUUUGGAUCCUAUCCUUAAUGUAGUAAUUGUUAUCCUUUUCUGUCCCUUCAUUUAAAUUUCAUGUAAAACGAAUUAUGGAUGAUGACUGUUUUAAAGUUUUCCUAGUUUCCUUUCUGCAGUGUAUGUUGUUACUUUUUAUGUUUGAGAAUCUUUUCCUCCCAUGAUUGUGGUUCUAGCUUCUAGUAGCUUUAUGAAUUGGUCCCUCGCCAUUUAUUUACUUGUCAACUUGACAUCACUCUAUUAAUCAUGAUUUUCACGUUAUAAGUUUUACUGAGAGUAAUGGUGCCAGUUUUCAACAUCAGGCGCUCACCUGAUUUGCUAUCCUGGGGCAUUUAACAUGACAACUGGACCAUUGCAUUGGGAGUUAUUGCAAAGGGCAAGGUAAUAAAAUAUUUUAGUUUAUGAUAUAUUAAAUAGUUUUUGACAUACCAAUAUCCUUGUCAUACUAACAAAUCACCUGAGAGGCAACAACUGAACUGGAACUUGUGUCAGGCAGACCUAAUAGAUGCUUCUCCUGUGUAUUAUUCUUUUGGUAGUUGUCUGUCUAUAUUCUGAAUAAAUAAAUGAUUACCUUAAUUUGUCUUCUUUGAAGGAUGAGAAAAUGCCGUUGCCUUGUGCCUACCUCUUUUUAAAUGAAUUCAAACAUGUGAUUAGUGUUAAUUUGUUAUUCAAGCAUGCUUGCACUAAUAACUACACAUGAACACGGAAUGGACCAAAUGAGUGCUCCAUAUUCAGUGGUUAGAUGUAAAAAUUUUAUCUACAUUUUUCUCUGUCUAAUUAGUGGCAGACCCAUGAAUGAAUGUUCAUUUCGGAGCCCUUUAUUUCUUGUUUUCCUUCAAGUUUCCCCUUUGGCCAGGCUUAUUUCUUUUUCCCCUUUUCCUCCAUUCUAUGACCUCCUCUCUUCCUCCUCCUACACUUAGUGCUUCAGAGAUGAAAGCUUUAUCAGUGUGAAAGCAUGUGGCCUAUGCAAUUAGCAGCUUAGUUGAUGGUUGUGUUCAUUCUUGCUGAUACAUGCCUUUUUUUUUUCCAAAUGCAGGGCUGCAGAUAAUCAGGUACCUUAAAACAUCCUACUGUCUUAUUGUUUAUUAUAAAUACCAAGGUCUUCUUUUAACUAGUUUUGGAAGUUUGUGUUUCUAGUCAUGUUUAAAUCAUUUCACUGAUGCAAAUGGAAGUCUCCUGAAAGAUUUAAUGCUAAUCUGCAAAAUAUUGUAAAAUCAUAGACAGUUACUAGUUCCACAUGGACUUGUACCAAUGUCUGUUCAUCAUGUUUCUCUCCUAUACUGUUCCAAUCAUUUCCUUUAAUAUUCAACAGCCAGAAGUGCUCUGUUUCUAUCUUAUGUUUGUUGUAGAAGUUUGUGAUGAAUGGAAUGACUUGGUUUAUAAUAUAAACAAUAAAAAGUUUUAUCAUUGUGGUACAAGAUUCUUGUAAUUUGAAUGGGGAAAGUCCUUUCAUGUAACAUGUUCCAUCAAAUCUCCUUCCCUAAAAUUUAUUCCUUUAUAUAACCAACAUAUUCCAACUUCAUGAUUUUUUGACUUUAUCCAAAACUAGAUCUUAGCAUAAGGUGAAGUGGAAGGCUGACAAAGAAGAACAGUGGUAUCAAUAAAAGAAGAAAUUAAACUCUCAGUUGUGUCGUUAAAUAGUUAGAUCUUAGAAUGAAUUUCUGGAUCAUCAAGAGCUCUUCGCUUUUUGUAGUCAAUUUUUAAAUGGAAAUUAGUUCUAAUUAAGUCCUUUAUCUAUCCUUCAUAGCUGAGUUUCUGGGCCUCCAUCUAGAACCAGUGAAAGACUAAAUUUUGUUCUCGUCUUGAUUUCAGCCUGCCAAUUUAUUUUUUGCUUAGAAGUUCCCAAUUGUAAGAAAAUGGUGAAGUGGUUUAGCUAUGUGGUAUCCUGACUGUCAAUUCUUAAGGACUUUAACUACCCCUUAAUAAAUAAAUAAAAAGAGAUUCCAAGGGAUUAAAAUUGUACCAGAUGUGCAUUUCUUGAUGUGUUCCAAGUUAUUUUUCUCAAGGCAUCUUUUAAUUCUACUUCACUAGUAAGUUAGUAACUGAAGCACCACCAAUAUUUUGACAAGACAGACAGUAAUACACCCAAAUGUUCCCUUAGAACUUGAUGCUGUCUAUUUUUGUUAAUUGGUAUUCUGCAUCUAAUACCCCUGAGAAGUUUCUCUUUGGUGCUUAUUUUGUGCCAAAUUCCAAAUGACAGCUAUAUGUAGCGACUUGUUCACCUGCUCGAGAUGCUGGUGCUGGUUAUGUGGCUUGGGGCCACUCGACUCUUGUUGGACCAGUAAGUGGAUGCUUAUGUUUAGCUUUUCUUAUAUGCUGUUGGUAAACUUUAGAUGUAUCAUUGUUGAUUUGUGGAUUGUGUAUCUGAAGUUUUUCAGGCCCUUUUCAAAUUGGAAAGCUAGGCAGUCAUUUUGGUAGUCAUUAAGUUUAUGUUUGGUCCUGGAAAGUAGCAAGGAAAGAAAAGAAAUGUUAAGGAAAAUGAUGUUCUUAUGUGUGAUUGUGCCAUGAAAAAUGCAAAAGAAAAUCAAAUAUAAUUAAAUUUGUUUAAAACUUAUGCGUUUUCAUAUUAUUUAAUCUUUGCAUGGAAAAGUUAAAAUAAGUGAAAUGAGUUUGAAAUUGCACAUAGAAAUAACUUAUCAACUUAAAUUUUUUUUUUUAUUUUACUUCAAUUUUUUUUUCCUUCUACUUUUCCUCUCUAUUUUCUUUCCCUUAUUUUCCUUCAAAUUUUUCGGGAACCAAACAUAGCCUAAAGCUUUUAAAGUAUAAGUUUCUCCAAACAAUGUUCUUACUACAACCAUGAAUUUGGCAGUUUGGAGAAGUUUUGGCUACCACAGAACAUGAGGAAGCAAUAAUCAUAUCAGAGAUUGAUUAUUCUCUAAUUGAGCUCAGGAGGUGAUAUGCCCACCAACCCCAAACAUAGUUUCUGUUUCUUAGUGUCUUUUAGCUCUACUGAUUAAUGUUGAUUUUACUUUUAUCUCUUGUACUCAGGACGAACCUCCCAUUACUGAAUCAACGGCGGGGUGAUCUUUACCAAUUGGUAGAUGUUCAGAGGUUGGAUUCUCAAUAAACCAUGUAAGGAACACUAGAAUACUCUUAUGGUGCAUGAAAGACAUUCUUGGAGAAAGGAUAUUUAUGCCUGUCCAAACCUUGCAUAUAUCUUAUGUCUAGGGUUGGUGACAUGAAGUACUAAAUAAUUCCCUAGACCUUGUAUCUUCAGCCCCCAUUUCUCUAAAAUUAAGGCAAUGGUUUUACUCUUUUUCUGGUUGGAAUUUUUCUAGGAAACUGCCGAUAUGCAUGUAUCACCACCAUUGCAUUAUUGAAGCGUUUUUUUGUGUCAUAUCCCUUACCCAGCAUCAUCAACAGAAUCAUUUUCCUUGAUUCACUUUCUAUCAAGACAAACAGAGCCAAACAGUAGGGUUGGUAUUUAAUCCCAUCAGUAGCUAGAGACUCUGUAACUAGAAACAUUACUGCCCUAAGUCGCAGUUCAUACUACCAGCCAUAUGGAGAUGGACAAGAAAAUUGUGAAAUGUGGAGUAGAUCUACUUGGGUCUAUAUUAUAUUGAUGUUGAUCAUGUUUGAGUUGUUGGAGACAUAUGGUUUUCAAGGUCCAAUUAUGAUUAAUAUCUGGUUUGAAUAUAUCAAGAUGCCCAGAUGGAAAAUGUUAAUAAAUCCCUAAUUUUAAUAGGUGAAAUUCACCGUAUAAUUAGGUUUGAUCUGUUUUCUUUGUCGUUUGUUGGGAUAAAUGCCUCUUUAUACAAGAAAAAAUUAAUAAUAGAAAUUAGAGAAAAAUAAAAUAAAAAAGAAAAAGGGAAAAUGGGGUUUGAUUCAUUUUUUGUAGUACUGAGAACAAUUUAACACCUUUUGAAAAUUGUUUAAGGAAAUAUUUCCUAAAAUAUGUUUUUGUUUUCAUCAAAUAAUUGUUUUUGAAAAUAAUGUUUUAACUUAACAAACAUAUUUGGCAAAUUUUUAAUCUAAAACGAUUUUUUAAAUAUUGGUUUUGAAAAUAAAUUUUAAAUACUUUCAAUGAUUUUUUUAUAGAUACUAAUUGAAAAUAUGAAAAGUACUUUAAAUGUUUCUAUAUCGAAGAUAAAUGUAAUACCAUCAUAAAAAAUAAAUAAAUAAAACAUACUUUUUAAUAUUUAAAAUGCUAAAUGGAUUUUUUUUCUUUAAUUUUUAAAAAUUAUUAUUAAAAACAUAAUUAAAUUAAGAUUUUAUGUGGGAAAGUGUUUUCUAAAACUAUUUUAUGUUAUCUAAGGCAAAAAAAAAUUAAAAAAAGAAAAAAAGAAAACAUGUUUAAUAAUUAAAAAGUAUAAAAUGGUUUUUUUGUUAUUAAAAACAUAAAAUAGGGAAUUUUUAUUUAUUUUUUUAGAAUUAAGUUAAAAAAUAAUUAUAUAAAUAUAAAGAAUAAUUAAAAAUAAAAUAUUACAUGUAAAAAAAAUAUUUAAAAGCAUAAAGAAAUAUGAUAAGAUUUUAAAUUGAUUUUUAUUUUACAAAACAUUACAGUUGUUAAGAAUCGUUUUUUAAAAUUGUUAUAAAAAGUAAUUUUAUUUUGGGAUAACCGAUUAAAAGGGACAAAUAUCCCUCAAUAUUGCAGAACUAACCCCUCACUUAUUUAAGUCUCAAAAAUGACCCAAUUUGGACAAAAAUACCCCCUCAACUAUCUUUUCAGCCCAUUUUCCCUCCAACUCCAAUUUUCCCUUAUGUUGUGUCUCUUCCUUACCCUGCAAACCCAUUUGUUCCAUCUGUUAACUUGCGAGAAACAAAUCACGAAGGAUUUUUCCGUUUAUUGCAAGAAAACAAAAAGGCAACACAACACAAAGUAAAAACAGAAAGUAAGUUUCACUAUUUCAUUCUUUGAUUUUAGUUUUUUGAACUGUACAUAUGAAUCUUCAUCCAUGAAAUGAGAAAAAACCCUAAGUGUCUUAUUUUGGUUCAUUUUUUUUUUUUUCAAUCAAACCCUAUUUUUCAUCUUUCUGAUAUUGUGUGUUGAUUCAGUUCAUGAAAAUGGAGGAAGAAAAAAAUUCGGUGAUGAAAAAUACGAAACAAAAGAGGUAUAAAAUUUUGGGAAAAAAGAUAAGUGAAAGAAAGCCAGGUUUUGAAACCUCGUCAUCGUCAUCAAAAAAUGAGAAGAAAUCAACUGAUUCAGUAAGCAUUAAUUUUCUACUUGAAAUUUUGAUUUUUAAUUUUAUCAUUUUUAAUCGAUUAUCCUUUUUUUUUAUGAAUUUAUUUUUCAUGAAUUGAUAAUGUAAUUGUUGAAAAUUUUCUCAGUGAGGUUAUAGUCCAAGGUUUAAAGCAAUAUUUGAAUGAUUAGAAAAAACUAAACUUAACUACUAUCAAGUUUACCAUCAAAAGGUUUUGAAAUUUUGUGUAAUGAAGUUAUUUGUUAUGAAUUUAUAACGUAUUUGAAUAUAAUUUUUAUAAAAUUAUUUUAUCCAAAUAUUUAGAAUUUUGAUUUAAAUAUAUAUGUUAAGAAAAAAUUGAACUUAACUGCUAUCAAGUUCAUUGUCAACAGGUUGCAAUUUCAAAAUGGGUAUUAGGAGUUGUCCACCUUCAUCGAAGGAUUAUAUAUGUAUAUGACUUAUUGAUGGGCAUCAAUAAUAAUGCAAGAUUGCAAGUUGCCAUUAAACCAUUAGCCAAAUUGUUGCCGCAUAUAUUGAAUGCAAUAGCAUAUUAUGGGUUUCAUGGUGACACAAAAGUUAACUACCAGGAAUGGGAAAUUGAACGACUGUAAGAUAUUCCUCAACAGGAAAAUGAGUAAGUGAUCUUAAAUUUACUUUCAUAACUUAUACACUUAAUCCUUAAUAAUAUCCCUAACAUUGAUUAUCUGUGUACCAUGUAGUGGUGAUUGUGGCAUGUUUGUUAUCAAAUAUGUUGAAUACUUAAUGCACAACCAUCCAUUGAAGUCAUUAACAAGUGCUCGAAUGGACUGGUUUCGGGAAAAGAUUGCAACAGAGUUAUUUUAUAUGAAAUACUUGCCUAUGUAAUGAAUUCAUGUUGAUAUUUCACAUUUUGAUAAUGUAGUUGGAUGGUUUGUUAUAUGUAAUUGGAUAGCUUCAUAUAUGUAGUUAGACAUUUUAAUAAAUGUAGUUGGACAGGUUGAUAUAUCUAUUUGGAUAUUUUGAUGAAUGUUGUUCGAUAGUUAUGUAUACAAUUGGCCUUUUAAACUAAACUUGAAUGUUGUCAAGUUGUUAUGUGUACAAACUUGAAGGUAGUUAAGUCCACAGUCUUAAUAGAACACCUGAACUUAACUACUAUCAAGUUAACUGUGAACAAAUUUGACAGAUAUUAAGUCGAAAUCUAUUCUAGAAUAACAUAUUUAAUCUGGACUUAACAGAUAUCAAGUUGAUCUUCUAUAAACUCAUAGGAAGUUGUGUCUACAGUUGCCAUUUUAACUUGAACUUAACUAUUAUCAAGUUAUUUUAUGAACAAAUUUGAAGGUAGUUAAGUCCACAGUCUUCAGACAAAACUUGAACUUAACUAUUGUCAAGUUGUUUUAUGAACAAACUUGAAAGUAGUUAAGUUCACAGUCUUCAGACAAAACCUGAACUUAACUAUUGUCAAGUUGUUUUAUGUACAAACUUGAAGGUAGUUAAGUUCACGGUCUUUAAACAAAACCUGAACUUAACUAUUGUAAAGUUGUUUUAUGUAUAAACUUGAAGGUAGUUAAGUCCACAGUCUUUAGACAAAACAUGAACUUAACUAUUGUCAAGUUGUUUUAUGUACCAACUUGAAGGCAGUUAAGUCAACGGUCUUUAGACAAAACCUGAACUUAACCAUUGUCAAGUUGUUUUAUGUACAAACUUGAAGGUAGUUAAGUCUAUAGUCUUCAGACAAAACCUAAACUUAACUAUUAUCAAGUUCCUUCUCAAUAAACGUGAGAAUAGUUGAGUCCAUAGUUUGAGAAUAAAAAUGUAAUUUUCAUUCAUACUUUAUACAUAACUCAUCAUAACAUAUAUGUAUAAAAGUAACAAAUAUCUCCAUUUCUAUGGGUAUGCAAAAAAAGGGGAUCAUUAUUACAAUAUUCAUCUAUGUGCUUAUCCUAUCACCUUAUACAAAAAAAAGUAACUUACAUUUCCGUUCACAUGGGUACCAAAAAAACAAAAAAGCUCACUAUUACAAUUUUCAUUCCAUGUAAGUUCAUAGAGUGCCAAAGCUAUCAUGAUAUCAAGGGAUUGGUCGUUUGCAUGUUUUCCGAUUAUGCCCAUAUUGACCACAUCGACUACAACGAGAUGUGUGCUUGCCCUCUCCACCAGAAGAAAUUCUUACUUUCCUUGGUCUUCCUAUUGGACGUCUCGUUUUAGGUGGUAACACAACUUUGUCACGAAUAUGAUUAGGUACUACCCAAUCUAUUUCAUUUCCAGUUGGAUAAAUACAUUCUGAAUAUGAAGAUAACAAUGCUUUAGUAGUAAAAUACUUGGAGCACAAAGUGUAACAUGAAAUGUUGUAAAAUCUACAAGCAGCAAUAGCAUGUGCACAUGGAAUAUGAUCAAGAUCAAAUUGUCGACAUGUGCAUGAACGAGUGUCUAAAUUCACUUGAGCACUAAUGCCAGCAUAGUUAACAUUACACUCCUUGGAGUUGAUAGGUUCCACUAGAUAUGUUGCUGACAUAUUAUACCUCGAAUGAAGUUCUCCAUCAGCCCACAUGGUAAGUUCAGUUGACAUUGACAUUGCUUGUUGUUGACGAGUCACAAACCAUUUUUGAAGUAAGUUUCUCAAUUCUUCAACCAAUUGCAAAACUGGAAGAUCUCUAGCAUUUUUCAACACAACAUUAAGGCUUUCAACGAUCCCUGUCGUCAUGAUAUUAUAUCUUUUUUCGGUAAAAUAUGAACGUGCCUAUCGAUCAACACCUAUAUCCAUCAAAUAUCUUGCUGCUCUUGGGUCAAUCAUCUCUAGUUGCCCAAAUAUAAAAUUAAACUCUGAAACAUGAUAAGCAUGGGCAGCAUCAUGGAACAACUUAUGAAUUGCAGGAUUCUUGAACUUUGUCUUCAAAUUUUGUCCAACGUGAUAAGUGCAGACACCAUGCCUCGCAUGGGGAAAUACUUUAUGUACUGCUUUUUCAAUGCUACCAUGUCGAUCUGAUAUCACAAACAAAUCAUCAAUGUGUCCAAGUGCAUCAUGCAGUUUUUGUAAAAACCACUCCCAUGAGGCAUCAUUUUCUGAAUCACCAAUCCCAAAGGCUAAAUGGUAUAUCUGAUUGUUGCCAUCUUUACACGCUGCAAUAAAUAAAGUCCCUAAGUACUUUGCUUUCAAAAAUGUCCCAUCAACUGCAAUCACAUGCCUUAUUGAUGUGUGAAACCCAACAAGAGAUGCACCAAUCGACAUAAAAAAGUAUUUGAAUUGAUUAUCACAAUCAGUAACUAUAUCAGUAAUGAUACCAAGAUUUUUUUGCUCUAAAACAUAGCAAUAGGAUGAUAAAGUGUUAUAAGACUCCUCAGGUGAUCCCCUAAUAGAACCUAGAGCAAGUUAUUUGGCUCUCCACGCCUUAUCAUAACUGAUUUGAACACCAUACUGCUUUCGAAUGUCUGCUACAAUGUCUUUUGGUCAAAAUUCACAACCAACCCCUUGAUAUGUUUCUUUUAUACUCUCACCAAUCAACCAACUACUUGCAUGUCGAUUGUCACGAGACAUCAUACCUAACCGACAAGUGUGUGUUGAAUAGAAUUUCAUUAUUUGAAACAUAUUGGAAAUCCCCAACUUGGUAGCACGAACUCGCCACUUGCAUUCUUUAUCAAAACAUUCAACAAGCAAUAACUUAGUAGUGGAUUUAGUUGUUUUGAACUCAAACUUCCUUUUCAGAGCCAUCAUAUACAACUUCCUUUAUAAUUCUUUCUUAUUUGAGUGUAUUUGGUGCUCUUCUAGAUGGUCAUCACUAAUUCCACUAACUAUAGGUUGUUGCAUCAUGUUUUGUCUUUCAUUUACUACAUCUUCGAUUAUAGUGGGAUUGUCAUGUAUGAAACCAUCAUUUGUAUCAAUCAUGGUCAAGAUUUCUGCACUCUGAGUUGAACUAGUUCUGUAUGAGCCAAUUUGGGUCACUUGCUUAUCACUAGUAGGGUUAGUAUUCAUCCUAUAAUCCUCCUCAUUAAUUGCAGUCUCAUUCAUGUUCCAAUCAUGAACUUUAUACCCUUCAAGUGACUCAUUUUGAAAUCUUGGUCCAUUUUCACCAUCAAUAGUAAGAGUUUCAACUGAAUCACAAUGAAUGUGUCUACUUUUUUGCAUCAACAUUGAGUCUCCAUUCAAUUCUUUAUCAAUCUCAGAAGGCAUAUGACAUUCAAAAUAAAAAUUGCAAAUUGAUUUCUAAUUGUGAUUAUCAAUUCUCUUUUCAACUAUGAUGCACAAUGGAACAGACAGCUUACCAUUUGUACAAUUUAAAUCAAUAAAGAAUUUCACAUCCCCAUCAUCAAUUAGUUGUAUAAGACUUGUGGGUAUGUUGGCAUUGAAUACAUACUUCAUUGAAAGAAAACAAUUUGUUAGAUCUAGCUUCAGAAUUUGAUGGACAACCCCUAAUAACUCUUUAUAUGAUAUAGUUUUCGGGAUCUCAAUGCCUUUACCUUUACUUCCUUCGAAAUAGAAAACAUUUCCAUCUCGUACCCAUUCUCCUUCAUAUAAAAGCAUUAUUCCUACUUCAUCAACCACUAAAAUAACAAAAUAAUUCAAUUAGUGGCAUCAACAAACAAUAUUAGAAUAUUUUUUAGUUACAUCAUAGCAUUAGCACCAAUAAGUAGGUAUUAAUUUUAAAAAACUCAUUCAUUAUUAAAUACAUAUUAUUUCAUUACACAUAUUUAUUUUUUUAAUAAAUAACAUUAUUAAUCAUCUUUACUACCUCAAAUAAUACCAAUAAUGCUAAAGAAAUAUAAUGUAUAUAGUUAUUAAAUAAAUUCAAACAUUGUAACUCUAAACUAUUUUAAACAAUAAAAAUAUAUUUAUUUACUAAAAGAUUGGUUAUGUUAUAAUUCAUUUAAUGUCAAGGGUAAUUUGCAAAUGAUUCAACUCAAAUUGAGUAUAAUUAAAUAAAAUAACAAUAAUAUAAUGUUAUUAUAAAAUAACUAUAUACAAUCUUAAUUUACGUCAAGUUUAACUUAAUAUCCGUAAGAUUUUGAUAUAUAACUAAAAAAGAUAACUUUAUAUAUUAUAUCAAAACCCUACUCACACAUAUUUACAUCUAUAUAAAAAACAAAUAUGCAAACAAUACCAAAACCAUCAUAAAAUUCCACAAGUUUUAUUACUUACCAUCAUUUGAUUUUUUCAUAUAGACAAUGUUUCUCCACACUACACUUUUUAAGCUGAUGAUUUCCUUCUUUUAAUCCAUUUUUUCAUGGCUGUAAAUGAUAUUAAAAAAAUUAUAACAAUUUCAAACUUAUUUAAAUAUUUACUACAUCUCAUUAAAUAUUUGAAAAUAUUCAAUAAAUAAAACAUGAAAGAAAAAAAUAUGGAAAAAUAAAAAUAAACGUACACUGUUUAUCCAACCACAACUUAAAGCGCUUUAAGUUGAAGAAAUCCGAAGAGAAACUGUGUGAGACUUGAAGAAAUGCACUGAAAAGAGAGAAACGGAAUAACAGGAGAAAAUGAAAAAAAGGAGAAAGUGGAAGAAAUAAUAAAAAAUAGGUGAAUGGAGGGAAAUAAAAUUAGAAUGGGAGGGAAAAAAGAGUUGAUGUAGCUGAGGGGUAUUUUUGUCCAGAUCGGGUCAUUUUGGAGGCUAUUAAAAGUGGGGGGUUAGUUUUACAAUAUUGAGGGUCUUUUUGUCCCUUUUUAUCAGUUUUCCCUUUUAUUUUAUUUUACCUUCUUCUUGGCUCCCCCGUUCUUUUUACUUCAUUUUCCCAAAGUAGAAAACUCAGGAAUGGUGGAGAUAAGAACGAAACAGUGGGUCCGAUAAAUGCGAGAUGCAUAUGCUCCUCUGCCCAACAGCUACCUUGCCCCAUCUAGAGACAGGAGUAUUGAAGAAGAAGAUGACCUCCACUCCCUCACGUUCUUGCCUUGUGUCAAACAACCAUGCCUUCCCCACCAUUAAAACUCUUGCUCUUUUUUUUCUCUUUUUUUUUUUUUUUUUUUUCUUCUUCUAAUAACAUCUCUUCAUCAGUAUUUUCGAAUUUCAUUAAAAAAAAUUAACUCAUCUUUGGCACUCAAUGUCAACUUUUAUCAUCAUUUUGAAUUUUCUUAUUCAAGUGAGAAAUAUCGUUAAAAUAAACUCAAACAUCAAAUUGCUUUUUUUUUUUUUAAUCUUUUUGAAUACUCUCUCUAAUUUGACUUCCAUGCAUAUAAAAUAAAACUAUGACCAAAUACAAAUAAUAAUAAUAAUAAUAAUUAUGAAAGGUUUGGGCGCUGUUUGAUAAUAAUUUUAAAAAUAAUUUUUAAUUAUAUUUAAAAAUAAAAUUUUAUUUUAAAACUUAAAUAUAAAAAAAAAAAGUUUAAUUAUUCUUGAUGAAUAUAUUGUUACAUAUAAUACAAUUUUUUUUUAAAUAUUCACAUUUAUUUUGCUAUUGCUCCAAACAUCAUAUAAAAAUAUCUUAAUUUUAUCCAUAAAAAAUGACUUGCUUUUAAAAUAAUCUUUUUAAAUAGAAAAAUUAUUAAACAUGUUUUUUAAAUUAUAAAGGUAUUUUCUAUUUUAAAGAAAAAAUAAUAAUUUUCAAUAGAAAACUCAAAACUGUUUUCAAAAAUAGAGUUCAAGUUUACAUAAAUUCAAUAAGUGGUAUAAAUAUUGGAUAUUGUGGAAAUUUAAAACAAAAAAAAAAUUACUUUUGGUGGAGAGGAAGAGGAAGUGUUUAAUUUCAAGUUAGUCCAAAGGGAGGGAAUUAAAGGAGGAUAGAGAGUGCAUGCCAUGAAAGCAACAAAGUAGCAUGCAAGCGCACGUGGUGGCACCAAGCAAAGGUAGAGACAAAAACAUAAGAGAGGGUGGUUUGUCAGGUUAGGGAGGAAAAGAGAAGAAAGCAGAUGCUGAUCAGCGAAGAUCACUGUCACUGAGAAGGGAAUAUGGGUGGUGGUGCAUGCUUUUGUGGAGAAGAGAAGACCACUGCUCACAUCAUCUCUUCAACAACCCUCUUCUUCUUGGGAUCUCCACCACUACAUGCCUCUCUUUCUCUCUCUCCCUCUCUCUCUCUCUCUAUCUCUCUCCCUCCCUUUCUCUCUCUCUCCCUCUCUCUCUUUCUCAACAGUCACUGUCCGUGUCCCGAUCCUCUCUCCCUCCCACAUGUAGGCUUAUGAGCCUAUUGUCAUCCCUAUCCAUCUCCUUUAAAUCCUCACCCUUAGAUGCCUUCUCUCUCUCCCAACUUUACAUCCUAGCUAAUGAAACAUAUCCAAUGAAGACUCGAUCCACCAUGGGUUGGUGGCAUGCACAAGGGCUGAUUUGCAGGGUCUUUGUUGUGGUGGUUGAAGGCAUACAUGACUUUCGGAGAGAGAUGAAUUUAAUAGCCACUCUUUGUUAAAGCAUUGAUCAAUUGCAUACCAUGCUUUUAGUGGAAAGUGAAAGCAUUUGUUAUACCUAUAUCAACCGACACUCCUCCCCCCCCCCCCCAUCCACACAACCAUUAACAAAGUCUUUUUACUUUUCAUUCAAUAAACAUACCAUCAAGUUUCAUUAAAUAACUUCAAUACAAUUUUCUUUAUGAUGCCCAAAAAUAUUUUACUCCUCAAAAUUUUCAUCCGCUUUCCUAAUUGAGAAGUCCCAUGCCUGUUUGAUGUCUGAUCAUGUUUACAUCCUAAGUGUGUAGGAAGAGCAAUUUGACACACUAUUUCAUAAAUUUUAAGCAUCGUGGAGACAUGGGUUAGUCCAUUUAAGAUACAUUCUUAACUUAAUUUUUACAAAUUUAGAUUUUAAAAAGAAAUUAUAACAUAACAAAUUGAAUUUAUGAGGAAUACAUUUUUUUCCAAAUUUUAUUUGUAUACUAUUUUUCAAGGAAAAUAGAAAAAUAAAAUUCUUAGCAUUUUCCCUUUUUUUCUUAGCAAUUUUUUUUUUGAAAUUACAUUCAAAUAUAAGAAAUUAUUAUUAUUAUUAUUAAAUCUAUAAAAAAAAUAUUUCUAAUUUUACUGUAAAAAAAAUGAAAUACAAUUAAAAUUAAUUAAAAUUUUAUUUACUUUUUAAUUAUUUAUCAUUUUUAUAAAAGAGUUCAAAUAAACAAAAUGAGUUAAAAAAUAUACAAUAAUAAUUUAUUUAUUUUAAAUAUAUUUCUUAUUUUUCUUCAAUUUUUUCUUUUAUUCUAAUUUUCCCUUUUAUUUUUUUCUCUCAUUUUUUCCAUAGAAAUAAAAAUGAUUAUUUUAUAUUUGAAUAGGAGAAACAAAGUAAAUACAUACUAUGAAAAAUAAAACAAAAAAUAUUAAAAUAUUUUCUUUUUUUUUCCUUUUCCUCAAAUUUUAAUUUUACAACUCUCCAUUCAUUUUUUUUAUAACACUUUUGAAAUAUCAAGUGAAAAAUAUGUCAAGUAAAAUGAUCUUUUUUUAAAUAAUAAUAAUAAUAAUAGUGAGAUAUUUUUCUUCUGAUUUUAGUUAAAAAAAAACUAAUAAAGUAUUAGAUAUUAUUUGUUAAGAGGAGGUGGAAAAUCCCAGUGGACGAUGACGUGGAGCAUGAAUGAUGUUACACUGGUCAAUGAUGAGGUGGCAUUCAGGUGAGUACCCAUGCUUUUAUCACGUGCCACGCCGCUUGAGGAGAUGCAUGGGACUGGGACAGGGAUCGCCGGAGACAAGGAAACACAACCAGCGACAACGAAAACGACGUCGUUGGAUAUGGCUACGUAGUCAAACGACACCGCUUCAAUUAGUUGCGUUCGUUCCCCGGAAAACGAGCAUCAGCUAUGUAUAGUUUGGCACCUGGCAAGCACGUGCCCUCUCUCAAUUUAAAGAAGAAAAAGACUUAAGCUUAUAUUUGGCUACGGAAAGUUUUUAUAAAUCAUUUUUUAAAAAUCUUGUAAUAACAACUGAUUUUUUUUAUAUUAAUUUUUAUAAUAUAUCAAAUAUUUUCCAAAUGUGCGUAAAAUAUAUGUAAAACAAGAAUAUGGAACACAAAUAUGGAUAUAAACUUUUGGACGCGUCACAUGACAAUUGGAUCAAUUGUUUCCGAAACGCGAGUUAUAUGAUGGUAUGACGUGGGCAUUGAGACCCACUAAACGCACGUGUCACAGGUGCAUGUCACAAAACUCAGAAGCAUGGAGUGUGACUGUUCACGUGGCGGACUGUGGUCCCGCCCUCAGUGGAACGCGGGGCCCAUAAGAAUGGGAUGCGCGUGACGAAGAUCACCGUUCAUUAUUGGCCCUCGUGCAAGUCUCGAUAUAGAUUAGCUGUUGUUCCAUUCACGUGGGACCCAACACAAUUAAUAGUGUCCGUACAUUAUUGUAAUCAAAGGGUAAAUAAUAAAAGAAAUUUAGUUGUAUUUACAAGUGGGAAAGAUUAAAAACAAUAUAAUGUUUUUUUUUUUUGGAAUAUUCAAAGUAAUUUCUUGGGAAGUGUACGAUUAUUUAUUUAUUUAUGACAUGCUCCUUGAAUAUUUAUUAUUAUUAUUAUUUAUAAUGCAUAUUUAGUAAAUUAAAUGUGCUAAAACAAUUUCUAAAUUAAAAUAUUUUAAUGAGAAAUAUUUCAAUUUUUAGGGUAUGUUUAAUUCCCCAAAAAUUGAGGGAAAUAAUAUAUAAAGAAAAAAUGAAUGUUUAAUGGUAAUGAAUUAUUUUUAGAUAUUUCUAUAAAGUGAUUUCACUUGUUUUUCUUUUUCUAUACAAAGAUUAAUAAUAUAAAAUUUUAUUUUUCUAUAAAAAUAUUAAAAAUAUAUAAUUUUUAAACAAAUUUUAAUUAUUUUUUAUUUUCUUUUAUAUUUUUUGUGAUAAACCUAAAAUAAUAAAAUUUGUCCUUCACAUUUCUUUUAAUGCUUUCUUGGAAUCAAAUAUACAACAUUAUACUAGUAUGAAGUAGACAUUACAAGUUUAAUUACACAUAACGACAAAAAAUAUCAUUUGAACACCAAAUUUUUAGUUAGAUACAUUCAAUUUAUAUUGUAUCAUUACAAAAGGAUGAAAACAAAUAAAUAUCAUUCAAGAUCUCUAAAGAAAUCAAAAUUCUUAGCUAGAUACAUCGGUUUCAAACUUUAAAUGCAUUUGGAUGAAUAGACCCUACUUGAAUAUCAAUCUCCUAAAGAUCGAUCAAUAUCAAAUAUGUGAAAGUACAUAAAUCAUUUGUCUACAUAUUGGUAUAAGGUAGAACCCACAUUGCUUGAACCCUAAUAUUACCUCCAAGACCAAAGUAGGUUGAGAAGGCAAUGAUGGAGAGAAGAUGAAUGAGCUUUCAAUGUCAACUUAUUUUUAUCAGCACUAGAGAGGGAGCAAAGAAGGUGAUGUGUGAGUAAUGGUAUAAUAAGUGAUGUCCAGUGAAGUAUAAGCAUGAUGAGAACAAAUUGGAGGAAGCCAUGUGACAUUGGCAAGGAUUAUGGGGGCAAAUCCCUAGCAUCCUUGCACCCCCCAUAUGCAAAGGUAGGGUUUGUUGGGUAUUGGCUUCACUCCAAGGCAUCCUUUUCAACUUAUCUUAAUGUGAGCAUUAAGUUUUCUAAAUGCUUUGAGAAUCAAACCUUGAAUUAACAAUUAGGUUUGGUUUAUAGAAUUGAUAUAUUCUAUUAUCAUUCUUUCACAACUCUUCCCGAGCUUUCUUUAUUUGUCAAUUUUAUUGGAGGCUUUAAUCGAAAUUGACUUGAUACUCAGGGUCGGGUUAUUGUCCAACAAUUCAAAAUUUUUGGUCAAAUUGAUAGUUAAUCCUAAUAUUAUAGUCUUAUUCUAUAAGAUUUUUUUUUCUUUUAUCAAGCUUAGCUGAAAAUCUAAAGAAAGCUAUAUGUGAAACUUGAUAUUCAUUAUCAAUUUUGUUGAAUAACUUAUUUAUAUGUGAAUUAGCAAAAUAUGCUCAAAACACAUAACUUAGAAUAAGAAAGAUAAGAUAAAAAAUCGAUUUGACUGAUUUUAAUAAUUGAUUAUCAAGUUACAUAAUAAAAAUGACCUUAUAUACAUUGACACAUGGCUUCCAUUAGGCCUUGGGUUUGAUAUGAUUUAUUAUUAUUAUUAUUAUUAUUAUUAUGUAUUUGGUGACUUUUAAUAUGGCAUUGAUGAGGGCUUAAUUAAAACCUCCACAUUUAAGAUGAGAUGGAUAAACUUGAAAUCAAAUUGAUUAAGUGGGUUGGUAUGAUUAAAAAAAAUGAUAAUCUUCCAUAAUAAUUAAUGGCCUUCGAGCUCCUCCAAUAAAUUUCCCAUGAUUAAAUCCUAGUUUCCAUUAUUAAACUUCAUCUCUAUCCACUUACCCAUUUUCUUUUGCAUUCAUGAGUCUUCUCUUUUUGUUUCAUGGUUUUGAAAUCCCAAAAGUCAAAAUACAAACGGUAAAAUUCCCUAGUGUCAAACUUGAGGACCAUUAAUUACCUUUGAGAGAGGUUAAAUGGUAAAUUUUUGCACGCUCCCCCCUUAAUCUUUUAUGAUUAAAGGUAAUCUUCAAGGCUCCUCUAAUUAUUUUCUCAUCAUUAAUAUUUACCAUAUAGUUUUUACCAUUUUGAAAUUCAAACCCUCAAAUUUUACCAUGAGAAUCACUACAUAUAAAAUUAAAAGUACGAAAAAUGUGAUUAAAGUAUAAAAAAUAUGGUUACUAUGAUAAGUAUCCAAAUAAUUUGACAGUAUGUAAAAAUUUGAUGUAAUAUAUUAUAAAAUUUUAUAAUAAAUUAAUUUUUGUAUUCCAAUCAUUUCGUGACUUGGAAGAUUGAAAACGUUUUUUAAAAAUAUUUUUAUUUUAAUUAAAAUUGUCCAAAUUCACACCCGUGGAGUCACUCAAUAUCCUCUUUAUAGUGGGUCAAACAUGCAUGUGCAAUGUUUAUAAUUAAUUGUACAUUGCACAAUAAUCCAUGUUUUGAUUCCUAGCAUGAAAUGUAUAAUUUUCAAUUUAAAUGACAGCUUAUAAUGAUUUGAUUUGGCUGCGUUACCAUAUGAAUAGGUGCAACAAAAUAAAUCAAAGCAAAACCAUAUUAUAAAAACAAAAAUUAUUUCCCAUAACCAAAAAUAGAAUACUAACAAGAUUAAAAAGAAAAGAAAAGAAUCUUAUUCCUUUUUGCCCUUUUCAAAUUUAUUAUUAUGUCUUGGCCUUAUUAUGUUAUCCUUUAAUACGUAUAUUAUAAUUUUGACAGCUCAUUAGUAUUUCACAACCUAUAAAGUAUUAUUAUUAUUAUUUUAUGUAAUAAAAAUCUCGGGCCGUCCAUCUGAAAGUCAAUCUUGAAGGCAGAUGUGAUGAAUGGCCAAGAUGAAUGAUGGGUCUAUGGGGGGUAUAGGAUAAAAUGAUGGUCAUCUCCACAUUGGAUCAGAAAUUCCAGUUCAGCCAGCCUUUAGAAUUAAUAAUUCACCUAAAUUCACUUCAUCUGUUCACAUUCCUUUGCUUUUCUUUCCAAAAGAAGGUACGAACACAGCAGCUAAAAUGAGUAGCGAUACACUGGAUCCUGCCCCACAUCAGCAGGUGGACCCCUCAGAUAGUUCUGCUCUAAAGGACGGUCAACAUUUGACGAUAACACUGUUGUGCACAGUACUUUUUAUACACUUUACCAUACACUAGCAUCACCCAUACGUUCACACCAUCAAAGGCUUCAAAUUCGAAUUCGGGAGGUGAACGCGUAAAGGAUACAUGAUGUCAUUUGCCCGUUAAAGGAGGGGUAAUUUCGGAAUUGAAAAGGUCAGUCGGAUGCCAAGUCAUCAAAUGCCACGCUGUCAGCGGCUCCUAUGAGGAGGGACAUGCACGCGCAAGUUCCCGUUAUAAAGCUUCUCCAGUCGUUUCCCUUCUCUUCAAGCUUCACGUUCAAGGCGUGUAGUUUUGCUCUCAUUACUCUCUUUCUGCUUUCUUUCUCACUUCCCUGUAUUCAAUCUUUCUUCAAUUUCAAGCAAGUUGAUCUAGUUUCCGAUUUAUUGCUUACUUUUGAUUUUUAUUUAUUUUUGGAAUUGAUCUCAUUCGGAGAUGAACAAGUGGGAAAAAUCAUUGAGAGAAGAUAAAUCCAGUCACGAGAGGAAGAAUCCAUCUUUCUCUUCGAGUCUUCUGGAUGAAAUUUAUCGUUCGAUUACCGAUGGUGACGAGGAUCACAAAGAACUGCAUUUUUACAGAGAAACAAUGGCGAAGAAGCAUAGUUUGAGAGGCAGCAGAGGCGUUGGAGAGGAGGAAAUGGCGAGGGUUCGUGGAGCGGGCGUGACGGACAAAUGGAUGGAGAAGAAAGGUAGUGAGAAGGUUGUUUCGCGACAUCAACGGCGGUCGUUGCCGGAAAUUGAUAAAAAAUGGCAGUACUAUCAGGAUCCUCUGUUCUUCAGCUCGAGUUCUAGCUCUUCUGAUUCCAGUUAUGGAGGAUUUUCGUCGUCGGAGACGGAAUCGAUGAAGUCCUUCUUCGCUCCGCCACCAAGGCCUAGACCGAUUCGAACCUCUCGUUUGGAGAGGUCGGAGCAGGCUUUGUCCUAUGGACAGAGCGAAUUUCACAUGUUUGAUGACUAUCGCCAUCACUCUGCGAUCACAAGAGAACCGUCAAAGAGCGAAGAAGAGAUUAUCAAGUCGAAAUCGAGAGCUUUGAAGAUGUAUGGCAACCUCAAGAAGGUGAAGCAGCCAAUCUCACCGGGAGGCCGACUCGCGACGUUUCUUAAUUCACUUUUCACUGCAGGAAACACUAAGAAGUCGACGAAGACCACAUCAUCAGCUGGAGGUUGCGAGGAUUGGAGUUCCGAGAGGAAGCUUAAUUCGCAGCCAUCAACUUGUUCUUCAGCCUCCUCAUUUGCAAGAUCAUGUUUAAACAAGAAUUCUCCUUCCGUAAAGGAGAAAUCCCGCAAUGACGCGAAGAGGACAGUCAGAUUCUUCCCGGUUAGCAUUAUUGUGGACGAAGACUGUCGGCCAUGUGGCCGUAAAUGCGUUUAUGGAGAAGAAGGCUCAACUCAAAUGUCGGCAUCCAGAAAAAUUACCAAAAGAAAUGAAGAAGACCUCAAAUUCCAGGACCAAACCAGACGAGUCGAAGCAGCUGCCAGAGAAUUACACAGAAACUUUCAUCAGAAGAAAAACGAUAACAUUUUCAAUAAAUUUCAUGUCAAUUAUGACGAAGAAGACGAAGAUGAUGAUGCUGCAAGUUGUUCAAGCUCUGAUCUAUUCGAGCUCGAUCACCUCGCAUUAAUCGGUAAUGACAGGUAUCAAGAAGAGCUUCCAGUGUAUGAAACCACUCAUAUAGAUACUAAUCGCGCCAUAGCUAAUGGCUUGCUUGUGUAGUUUCCCAAAAAUAUUUCACAAAAAAAAAAAAAAAAAAAAGAUUGUUAUUAUAUAUUUCCGUGAAUAUCAUCUUUUGAAUUAGUACAGUUUGUUCUUGCUUUCAGUUUCUAGACAGUUUUUUUAUUUUAUUUUUUGCAAACGGAACAAAAAGAAGAAAAAAGUGGGAGAGAAGAGAGUGAUGGCGAAAACUCUGAAAAGCAUGAACCGAGGGGUGAUGAUCAGAUGAUUUUGAUUACAAGUAGGCGAAAAAAAAAGGGGGAAAAGGAAAGAGAAGAAGGGAAAAUGAAGAUUCGAGAUCGUAAUCAGAAGCAAAAUGUGAGGGUGAUGGUAAAGAGAAAGGCAGAUCUUCGCCCAUGGGAAUAGAGA
rnacentral:lncRNA from 1 species